UUUUUCAGGAAGGUUUGCGAAGGGAUUUUUAACUAUGUUAAGCUUAGAAUCAUUUGAUAAACAUAAAAAUAAGAGAGCUACAGCCAUCAGGAAGGUCUUUUACCUAGAAGGGCUAUUUGGGAUUUGGAAUUUCCCUUUAGAUAAGAGAACGAGUGGGUGCAACUGAAUUUGAGGGAACAAUAAGCACAAGGAAGGGUAUUCUGGGGCAAAAAUAUAUGAUCAAUUUCAUAUUUUAGGUGGCUUACCUUUCCUUUUUUAAUAGGAUAAUUUUCUAUAACACAAGGAUAGGAAGGACACGACUUUUUCUUAAUAAAACAUAUAAGAUACUAACCUAAGAGAUAUGACCAGGUCCUUCUCUAGUUUGAGUGAAUCUGUAACUUUGUACUUAUCACAUUUGUCCACCUCUAAAGUUGUUCCCACGGGUGUAUAUCUACAAAGGUAUGGUACUGCAUUACACCAAUACGUACCUAUUCUACUAAGGUACCUGCCUCCUGCACAUAGCCAAUUUUUUAGGAGAUACAUUGAUUCGUAUGUUAGGUCAAGUCAAUUAAAUCACUGCUUGCUUCAACUUUUUAUCCUCCACAAACUCCCCCUUUUUGAACUAUUAAGAGACCAACCAUUAGUUCUAAGAACUAGGUGCAAGUCUUUGCUUCAUUCACACUGCCUCAAGCUCCUUAAGAUGAAUUUCUUUGGGACUAGGUCCUUGAGAAUUAUGACAUGACCAUUUCUUGUUGGUCCUCUUCUUGAGCUGAGAUCAGUGACUGGCAUUCUGAAUUAACAUCAUUCUCAUCUUCACCUUUUAAUUUUUCAUCAUCAUUAUCAUGAAUAAAUUUUUUCACUUCUGAGACUUUACUACCACUAGGGACCAAUUGUUUUUUGACUAAUAAGGAUCUCCAUGCUCUUCUUACCUUGGGAAUUUUGGCUCUGUUUUGUCAGGGACCAGGUCCUUUGAAAUCAACAGUUUUAAAAUAUGAUACUUACACCUGAAGUGUCCUGAGAGAGAGAGAGAAUAGUCUGACCUUCUAGAAUUAAACUUUUAGCACUUAUCACUGAAAUAUUUCUAACUGCAAUCCCCUUUCUCAUACCUGGACUAUGAUCACAAGUUAAAUUUGGGAACCCACUUGAGUUUGAGUUCUCGAUAGGAGGACAAUGGUGUGAUCAAAUCCCUUUUGGCCCAUCUAGGUAGAGAGUUUCUAUUCAUAAUUCUUUGAGGAUUGAGACCCAUAGAAUGUUUAUUCCCUUAUUGAAUAAAUGUAGAACCAUUAGUUCUGGCUCUAAUCCAACUCUGAUAAUUUUUCUUUGUGUGCCCAUCUCUUCCAUAAUGAGUACAUAGAGGCUUGUGGACCUUAUUCUUAGCAUCAUGAUCAACCUUCCCUUGAGACCCACAAAGUUAGGUUCCUUCUUGAUAACCAAGACUCUUCCCAUUAUUAGCACCUUGACUAGUUUAGUUAAAAAGGAUCUGAGAGGAAAUAGUCCAUUGUAAGGAUUUUUUAAGUUCUUCUAAAACACCCCAGUUUUGAUCCUUAGAUAUUUCCUAAGUUUUGAACUCUUUGGACAUCAUAUGACUAAGGGUACUAGUCGUAUGUUGGGGUACGGGUUUGGGGUUAUCACUUGUAUCUUAAAUAGUGUAGGUUGGUUUGGCUACUAUCCAAGGUAUAAGUGGAUAACAUACAGGUCGUAUGUAUGAGUGGAUAACAUACAGGUCUUAUGUUAUGGUACGAUUCGUAUGGUUCUAACUCAUAUGUAAACAAGAGUAUCCUUGAUCAUAUUCUCCCUAGGAUACGAUUUGGGUGGGUACUUGUCGUAUGCUUGGGUAUGAUUGGGGCUUGGUAGUCGUAUGUUGGAAAGUGUUGGGGUUUCAAGGAAUUCCUAGGGUAUGAGUGGUAGUUACCACUCAUACGAUAGGGUAUGAGUGGUAUGAUGGAGACGUACCCUCCUGCGGGAAUUUUAUAUAGCUUAAGUUGGGGGUAACAUGGAUAUUUCCCCUCUUAACCCCUUAAGGCCCCAUAACUUAUAUCACUCUUAUGAGAUUAUUUACCCAAAUAUUCUAAUCUUAAAUACUUAGAAACUCUCUCAAAGGCUCUUAGGUCAAAGAAGCUAGGGUUUCAUCGAUAGGACCAAUUUGGGUCUUAAAAGGGUGGUUUCUCAUUAUCUUCUUCACUAUCCAAGGCAUGUUACUCCUCCCUCAUAGUUAGUUCCAACUAAAUGCAUGUUUUAUGAAUUUUUUCAUGGCAUAAUUGUUGUAUAAUUUUGGGUUUUCAAAUAUAUGUUGGGGUUUUUGGUUAUAAUGGUUGGUUAUGGUUUUCCCAUGUCUUUUACUUAUGGUUUUUUUAUUAUAAUAAUGGUUUGAACAUUUGGUUGCAUGGGAAUGGUUAAUUGGUACUUGGUUUUGGCUUUAGAAACACUAUGCCAUCAACAUGUUUGAUAAAAUGUCUAUGAGAAUGCUUUUACUAUAUUGUUGGACUUUUAAUAAAACUAUUGUGUGGUAAAACUUUGUAAUGGAACCUUAAAUGGUUUAAAUAGUUUGGAAUGGUUAAAUGGUAAGGUAUUGGUAGUCAUGGUUAUGGUUCAAUUGAACUUCCUUGUGGGGUACAAAGGAAUCCGCCAAGCAAACAUAAUAAUGAACAUUUUGUGGAGUACAUGAGAAUUCCCCAAACAACUAAAUAAUGUAAUUUAUGGGUAUAUGAGAAUCCCUCUCUUAUGUAAAAGGUUGGCUAAGUAAAUUGCUUGCUAUAGUCAGUAUGAUGAUACUACUACUUAUAGCCUUGGUUAAUAAUAAACGGAAUGGUGGUUUGGUUAUGUGGUAAUGGUUGUAAUUGGGUAAUAAUGGCAGGGUGUGAUGCUAAUCGUGAAGGUGUGAGUCCAAUGGACGAAUGCAGGAAACUCAUAUUAGCCGACAUCAGGAUUGGUCAUGAUGACCAUCUAUGAUACUUAUGGAGUAUAAGAAUCCCCUAAGUACACAUAUACAUAUACAUCAUGGAGAGCAAAGGGUACUUGGGAAUCCCUUACUCCUAGGUAUCUCCGAUUCAUGCGGCUAUAUACAUCGAGGCCCGUUCAGGGGGUUACACUGGACCCAUAAAGCCCAUGAGUUGUUCUAGGAUGGUUAAGCUACAUAUACCCAGGUUAAUGGUUUUAAAGGCAUACUAAACCUGAUUCUCUUUUUUGGCAUGAAUUUAUAUAUAUAUAUAUUUGUAUCAUUUUGGAUGCAUAUGGUUGUUUUCUUGGUUUUAAUGGUUAGCAUUAUUUUAUCCAUAUCCUGAGUACUUGCUAGAGAUUACUCGCUAACCCGUCUUCGAGAGGCUGUAUCCCUACGCGAUGUAGGAACCAGCCAUUUUACUCUUUCUGCUUAGUGAUUGGAUUCGAGAUCAGCUAUUGGAUUGAAUUGGUGAGCUUCCAUACUCCGAAAGGUUCUAUUUCAUAUAAUGGAUGUCUUUACAUACUUUGGUUAUUUAAUAGACUAUGGUUUUGGCUAUGGUUGGGGGCAUGUUCCAAUCAGAUAUUUUUUUUCUUUUGGUUAGAGGCUUUAUGGAACUACUAUGGGUUGGUAUGGGCGGUAUCGGUGGUGGUGUCAGCCUUAGUAUUGGCAUUGAUAUUGGGGCUGAUAUCAUUUGACUACAUUUAUGAUUGUUCCAUCCUAUUAUGUUAUGUUAUGGACAUGAACUUGGUUAUUGUUUUGGUUUUGGUUAUGGUGAUUGUGUGGUAUUGGACUAUCGGACUUACUUGGGUUGGUCAUGGUUUUGGACCUAUGCCAAAGUCGAGAAUUAGACAAAUACUCUAUCUUGUUAUACGUUUGAAAUUCAGCCGACUUAGGGUAUAUAUUAGUUGGUUAGGUUGGGUAUCGGGGGUGGUCUCCAAUUCUGGUUGUACUUAAGAUGCCCAUUACGACAAAGCCAUGGUUUAGGUCGUGUCAUAUUCCCUCAGAUGGACCAGGUUCCCCUCCAACUUCACAUUCUUCUGGAGUGUAGACAUACGAUGCUUUUGGGAAUCCUCCAAUUUUUCUUCAAGCUCAACCUAAACCUUUGAUUUUUCUUUCUUCUCUUUACUCUCAGAAGCAUCUACUUUCUCUAGUUAACUCACCAAGCUCAGAUUUUCAAAUUUGAUCUUAGAAACUUGUUGCUCAUUAUCAGAUAUCUGGAGAGUCAAGGCUAUCAAUUCCAUUUCCUGAUCUUCUAUCUUUCCUUUUAGAGCAUUAUUUUUCUCUUUAUCAUAGGUACUAUUAGCUUUCUCUAGUGGAUUUACUAGGCUUAAUUUUUCUGAUUUUAACUUGGUAACCUGCUCUUCAAUUUUAGAUAUUUGGAGAGUUAGAGCAAUUAACUCAACCUCUUAACUUUCCAUUUUUUCUUUUAGAGCAAAUUUUUUCUCAAUCAUUUCACAAUAGAUUCAAUCAGCACAUUUACAAGUCUUUUUAUCUUUCUAGUAGAAUAGUUGUCCAAGUUUUAUUUAAGGUGAGAAAGUGUUACCUCAUUUUUUUCUUCAUCUUUAGUGUUUUUCAUAAAAUCAAACAAGGAAUCAAAUGUCACUUUCUCAUCCUCCACUUCAAGCAUGGAAACAUUUACAGACUUCUCAGCUUCAGCAGAUUCACUAGAGGAGUCACCCCAAUCAGCUAAGGCUUGUUUAACUACAAAAUCAGCUGAAACCUGUCUUCUUGACUUUACAGGAACCUGGUCCCUGUUACUUCCUUUGUCAACUCCGAUUUAGUGAUAAUCUUGAUAUUACAUUUUGUGCAUUGGACAAUCCUUAAUAAAAUGUUUAGGACUUCCACAUCUGUGACAAACUUCCAUAGUGCCUCCCUUUUUACUGCUACUCUCACUUCUUUAAAACUGGCCACUUUGUCUCAUAUCUCUAACUGUUCUUUUUGCCAAAAAGGCAAAAUCACUAUCUUACUCAUUAGAAUCCAAUUUAAAUGCUUUUAGUGCCAUAGAUUUUUCCUUUUUUACCUUUAUGUUCUCAUUCCCUUACUGCUUUUUAAGUUCAUAAGUCUUCAGAUUCCCAAUGAGUUCAACCAUAGUAAGAGUUUUCAAGUUCCUAGCCUCAAUGGUAGCAUACACUUUGCUUUCCCAGGAUUUAGGAAGAACCCUAAGGAUUUUUCUCACCUGUAUAUAUAAAUGAAUUACUUUUCCUAAGCAGUGCAACUCAUUAGUGAUAGAAGUAAACCUGGAAUGUAUCUCUUGAAUAAUUUCUCCUUAUUUCAUUGUAAAGAUUCCAUACUAAGUGGUCAGCAUAUCAACUUUUGAAUUCUUCAUAUCAGUUGUUCAUUCAUGAGCUGUCUUUAAACAGUCCCAUAUUUCCUUAACUGUUUCACAAGCUCAAAUCCUAUUGUAGUCAUCUAGUCCUAUGCCACAAACAAGAAAUUUCUUGGCUUUAUAGUUUUUCUCAAUUCUUUUUCUAUCUUCAUUAUUGAAUUUCCUCCUGAUUUUGAUAACCAUUUUAGUAACAUCUCCUCUUUUAACUUAUCUUAUAGGUACAUGAGGACCAUUAAGAAUAAUGUUCAUCAGUUUACUAUCUUCAUCCAUAAUGAAGUCAAACAUCCUGGUUUUCCACCACCCAUAGUACUGACCAUUAAAUAUAGAUGUUUUAGUGGUAGAUUGCCCUUCUUCCAGGUUUGGUGGAGCAGCCAUGAUAACCAAAACACUCUAGGUGUGAGCCUUUAAGAGUUAACCAGCUCUGGUACUAAUUAUUGAAGCCCUAGGGGUUACACCACAUAGGGAGGGACCAGGUACCUUAAAGUCAAUCACAGGUAAAAUACAGAAAAAUAACCAAGAAUUAAAAGGCAAUGCAGGAAGAGUAAAAAUACAAAAUUUAAUGUAGAAACUCCCUUGCUCAAGGGAGGAAAAAAAUACGGCUUGCCCUCAUGAUGAGUGGUGAAUUUACCACUCAUUUUCACUCAACAUUCACGCACACUACUACAAUUUGAAUGUAUAAGUGAGACAUAUUUGUGGUUAAAUGCACUAAUUCCCAAAUUUUGUAGGUAUAUAAGUGCUGAGAAAAAAAGAAGCAAACUUGAGCUAAAAAGGAUCAAAAAGGGGAUUAAAGUGUAAGAGAUGGACGAGCUGAAGCCGGAGCAGGAUCUGGCCCUCAGUUACUGUGAUUGCGACUAGUCAAGCUAGUAAACCAACAACAAUCACGAUGGACUUACCGCGAUCACAGUAGGUGCAAACGGGAUCGAUCUUCUGCAAUCGCAUGAGAGCAAAAAAUGACCCAAGGGCAGAAAUGCCAUUUCAUCCAGCCAACCUCAAAUACCAUUUAAGGAUCAAAACUCAUUCAUUCUAAAAAAAAAUCUAACACAAUCAUCAUUCCACAACCCUACAUCCCAUCCUUAGUUUAGGGUUUUUGUAAUUUCUUGGAGCUUGGAGCUAAAUUUGUACUAAUUGUGAGCUAAGAAGACAUUAGAGCGACCUCCAAGUAGAGAAUUGGCAAAUACCAUUUAGGAUUCAUUCAAACUUAGAGUGUGGUUUGCAUUCUCCUUACUUUUGAUGAAUUAAUUUAAUGGAGAUUUUGGUUUAUUAUCAUCAUAAGUAGCUAGUUCUUCCUUUUGGGAUUAUGUUAGAAUAGGGUGUAAAUUGUGUGGGUUGUGAUUCAUAUGUUCUUAUGCUUGUUUGUUGGUGAUGGGUUCUUCUAUUACUUAACUAAAUUUGUUGGGAUUUAUAGGUGAAAGCCCCAAAUAACCAAAUAGGUUUGAUGGAUGAAAAUCCCAAGAUCCUGAAAGCCUAAAGCAUCCUUGAAAGAGGGGUUUGGGUGAACUUUAGGAACCCACAUCAUCCUUGAAAGAGGGAUGUAGGAACCAAGGCAGUAGUAGACAAUUAUGGGCAUAGUUUAUUAAUUUUCACUAUCUUAGAAAUAAGGGUGAUUAUGAGGCUGACUAUACCAUGGGUAUCAUCCUAGAAAUAGGGAUACCCUAUUGAGUUGUUGGGUGGUCUUAAUAGUUGCACUCAUUAGGUACUCGAAAAGGGUAACAUCUUUGAGUCUUUGUUGAAGCACUAGCCUCAAGGACUAUAAACCUAGCCUACCAUAUCAUCAAUGAAUAGAAUUUUCACCGAUUCAUCACAUACCCACGCAUAACUUACCCCUAGGAUAGCGUAAUCCUAAGAUCCAUGCCUAAUUAAUUGCUCUCUAAUUAUUCUUAAUCUUGAAUUAGUCCCUUAGAAGCCAAAGAAUUACUCUCACAUUUGCAAAAAUUAAAAACCCCCAAACCAUCUUGUACCAUAGGUUUGAACUUAGCAAGUAACUUCAAUUUCGAACUUACUCAAUCUCCACUCACAUUGUUCCUCGUGGAUUUGACUCCGACUCCAAAUUUGGAUAAAUAUAUUGACAAUGACCUCCUUGCACUUAAAUUAACGUGUAAGUUGAGUGUUAUCAAAAAUGAUGUCGUUGCCGGAGAACAAUUUGGCGUAUUGAGUUAUUUUGAAAUUUUAGCCUACUUUCUUUGAUUCAAACAUUUAAAUAUUUGUUUGUGAUUUUCUUUUGUUUUUUGUCUUAGGUAGGUUUUUAUUUUUAUUUGUUCAUCACAAUAGCAUCAUGGAAUGAACGUGAGUUCGGUGGUUGGAGAUCCUAUCGUGACAAUCCAUGUCCACAUUGUAAUGGACCCCACUUAUGGAAAGAUUAUAGAUAUGCUCCCCGAAGAGAGAUAUGUACACCAUGUUGAUCUUAUAGGGAGUAUGUUUGUUCUCUAUAUGAUGGACCAGAUAGACAUUGGAGUAAUUGCCUAAAUGCCCUCUACCCCCGUUAUGCUAACCCAAGUGCUAGUUCUUCAUAUGAUUUUGAUAGGUCUUAUGAUCAAGAAAAGGAAGAAUGAAGCACUGAAAAUAAUAGUGUUGAAGUAACGCUUUAACUUAUCUUGGAUUGGGGGACAUCGAUGAGGGAUAAUAUACAUGACAUGCAUCAAUCCAUGGAGGCAUGUAAUGAGAAAAUAAAGAGAAUAGAAGAGAUGGGCAUGGAGGUCAAUCACACAAGGACUACGACCAUGCCCAUGCUUCUAAAUGAGCUUAACAUUGAAGUAUCCUUUGUGAUUUCCCAACCAACCGAGCACAAUAUGGUUGAAAAUGCCGGAAUAAAAGACAUGGUUCUAGAGUCAAAAGAAGAAUCCAAGAAAAUUUCUUAUGAAAACUCUAGUCCAUUUAGUGGUGAGGAUGCCAAUAGGGAAGAAACUCUAAAAUUAAGGAACAUACCUUAUUCAAACCAUUUUUCAACAUUAUGACUUGUAUAUUCGAUGAAAGUCCAUCCACCUAAGAAAAUAAUGGAUUUUGGAGAGAAAGAACUUCAUCCCUACAUUUUGGAGUUUGACAUCCUAAAAGAGCACACGGAAGCCCCACACUCAAAGGCCAAGGAGCACAAUUUUUGAUGUUCAACUAGUGGCCUAUUGAUGCUCUCACCUUUACCCAAGGAUCCAACUCAAAAAUUUGAUAUGAAGUAGGGCAAAAGGUUUAAGUCUUUGAAGUGGAAUGAUAGAACACGUGCUAUUAUGCCCCUACUUUUUUUCAAAGAGCAGCGAGGAUGGAAUGAUCAAAAGUUUGGGAAAAGGUUUAAAUCCUCUAAGUGGAGACACAAAUUAGGAUUAAAGAGUCAUCGUGUCAUGAUGUUAAAUCAACCGCUUGAUGGGAGGCAACCCAUCGCUUUUAUAUUAACAUCUUUAUGUUUUUGGAAUAAGUCAUAUAGUUUUGAUGUUUUGUAGGUUCUUUGGAUAGGUUGGAAUCCAAAAAUAGGGGAAAACAAAGCUUGAGAAGUAUGAAAGCCCUAUAGAAAAAUAGGGCAAAAUAGGGGAGCAGAAUGCCUCAGGUACCACGAUCGCGAUCGUGCCACCUUUGCCACGAUCGCAAUAGCUCACCCAGCCUACACAUUGGUUAUCACUACAGUUUCAGGGAGUCUUGUUACCCUCCUUAUGUUUUUGUGUUAUAAGUGAGGUCACUAUAAGUCCUUUAGUUGGGGGUGUGGCCCUACCCUUGUGUGUAUUCAUUAGUUUGCAAUACUUGAACUUAGUUCACACGAAGCAUGGAAAUUUUUGAAUUAAUUAUCUUCAUUUUUAGUUCUCUUUUACUUUUAAUAAUUAUGGUGGAAAAACCUUUCUAUGUGAUGGAUUGAUUGAUGAUAUUCUUAAGGAAAAGCAUCACAAAUGUGUUUUGAUCCACAGAUGCAGGGGAAGUCUGAGUACUCGUGGCAUUGUGGAUUUGGGAUUGCAUUCAUAAUAUUGGCUAAGUUUGAGUAUCCAUAUGAUUAAUUUUUCCUUAUGAAGUCAAAAUAUGAGACUGAGACUUGGGUUGUUGCCAUGGUUAGAAAAUUGUGCAUGGUUCAAAUUCAAAGCAAACACCCCAUUCCAUCCAAAAUAUUUUGAAAAUCAAGGGCAUGGACGUGAGCGGCAUUGUAAUGAUUCUUUUUCUCUUUUUGUGACUCCAAAUUUUUGACUUGUGAAAAUUAGGAGAUACUCUAUUUUUAUGUCUAGUGGGAGGGGAAAUUGAGCCUCAUUGGCGGAUUUGCAUGCCAUGUGUGGUGAGCUUAUUUGUUUGAAUAUCAUGUAUACUUGUACCAUCUAGAACUUGAUCCAUUAGUCUCUCAAAGCUAAUUUUAAUUGUAUUUGGUUGGGAAAAUAAUUGUAGGCCAUCUUUGUAACAUUGGAAGUCCACUUUAGCUUGAAAAUCCUACCCUUCAAUAGAUGUUAUCCCUAGUUACCCACUUUGAGCCAUUGGACCUUUCUUUGGCAAACAUAUUGCAAGCCGUGAGCCUUUCAAUUCUUAUCCCUUUUUUGAACCCUAUCCUCCUUGUACUUAAAAUGUAAAUUAAGGCUAAAAGCGUAAAUUGGGGGUGGUGAAGAUUGGAAGAGGUAACUUUUAUAACAUAUGAAUAGGAAAAAGAAGGGACCCAAGAAAGAAAAUAAAAGCAUAAAAUGUACAAGGCAAAGAGGUGAAAAUAAGAUACUUUCCAAAAAAUAGGUGAAUCAAGGUAGUAAAAUUACAAACAUGCUUUAAGAGUGAAAACAAAAGAAGUGUCCCAUGGUCAAAAGUUGGAUGGAAAAGUAUAAUGUAGAUUUUCAAGGAGGGUAUAGUCACUUUGUUCCCAAAUUAUAUCCUACCCUACCCCAAAUCUACAUUACAAGCUCAAAAAGCCAUUUGAGAUCACCAACCAAUUACAUUCAUUUAGUGACAAUUGAAAAUAGGGGCAAGCCUAUGGUAUGGUACUUGUUAACAUCGAGAGUUCUUGAGAGAGAGAGAGAGAGAGUUUUGCACUUAAAUUUUUUGUUGCAUAACUGAUAACUUAGUGUAUGGAAUUCUCCUUCUUGUGACAAGGCAUGUAAACAUAUUGAGAUGGGUGAUUUUUUCAUCUCCCAAAAAAUGAGGCAAAAGGAGUAUAAUGUAGUUGAGGUCAAAGAGGAGUCAUUUCUUGAGUAUUAGUAAUUGUUGCAUGAUUACUCUUUGAAGUAUUUUGCACCCUUGAAGAUUGUAUUUUAUGUUGAAAGUGUCGUGAAAAUAGUCUUGCUCAUGUUUGAAGAGCUAUUUGUAGUAGUAAUCAAGUUGAAGUUAUCAUGAUCAUUUGGGUUAUCUAAUUUGGGCAUAAAUGUGCAUUGUCUUAUGGUAAGAGGUAGUGUCGCUUGUCGGCAAGAAAAGCUUUAAGUUGGGGGUGUUGAUACGUUGUGAAUUUACCACUCAUUUGCACUCAACGUCCGUGCAUACUACUACAAUUUGAAUGUAUAAGUGAGACAUAUUUGUGGUUAAAUGCACUAAUUCCCAUAUUUUACAGGUAUACAAGUGCUGAGAAGAAAGGAAGCAAACUUGAGCUAAAAAAAUCAAUAAAAAAAUCAAAAAGGGGAUUGAAGUGCAAGAGCUGGACAAGCUAAAGUCGGAACAGGAUCUGUCCCUCGGUUACCGCAAUUACGACAAGUCAAUCUAGUCAACCAACGACGAUUGCGACAGACUUACCGCGAUCGUAGUAGGUGCAAACACGAUCGAUCUUUUGCAAUCGCAUGAGAGCAAAAAUUGGCCCAAGGGCAAAAACAUCAUUUUGUCCAGCCGACCUCAAAUCCAGGAUCAAAACCCAUUCAUUAUAAAAAAAAUUCGAUUACAAUCAUCAUUCCACAACCCUACAUCCUAUUCUUAGUUUAGGGUUUUUGUAAUUUCUUGGAGAUUGGAGCUAAAUUUAUACUAAUUAUGAGCUAAGAAGACACUAGAGUGACCUCCAAGUUGAGAAUUGGCAAAUCCCAUUGAGGAUUUAUUCAAACUAAAAGUGUGGUUUGCAUUCUCCUUACUUUUGAUGAAUCAAUUUAAUAGAGAUUUUGGCUUAUUCUUGUUUAUUAUCAUUAUGAGUAACUAGUUCUUCCUCUUGGGAUUAUGUUAGAAUAAGGUGUAAAUUGUGUGGGUUGUGAUUUAUAUGUGCUUAUGCUUGUUUGUUGGUGAUGGGUUCUUCUAUUUCUUAACUAAAUUUGUUGGGAUAUAUGGGUGAAAACCCUAAAUACCCAAAUGGGUUUGAUGGAUGAAAAUUCCAAGCUCUUGAAAGCCUAAACCAUCCUCGAAAGAGGGAUUUGGGUGAACUUUAGAAACCCACAUCAUCCUUGAAAGAGGGAUGUAGGAACUAAGGCAAUAGUAGAUAAUUAUGGGCUUUGUUUGCUAAUUUUCACUAUCUUAAAAGUAAGGGUAAUUAUGAGGUUGACUAUACCAUGGGUAUCAUCCUAAAAAGAGGGAUAUCCAAUUGAGGUGUUGGGUGGUUUUAAUUAUCGCACUCGUUAGGUACUCGAAAGGGUCAAUGGGUGACAUCUUUGAGGCUUUAUUGAAGAACUAGCCUCAAGGACUUUAAACCUAGCCUAUCAUAUCAUCAAUGAAUAGAAUUUGCACCGAUUCAUCACAUACCCACACACAAAGUGCCCCUAGGACAGCGUAAUCCCAAGUUCCAUUCCUAAUUAAUUAAACUCUAAUUAUUCUUAGUCUCGAAUUAGUCCCUUAGAAUCCCAAGAAUUACUCUCAUAUUAGCAAACAUGAAAACGCACAAACCAUCUUUUACCAUAUGUUUGAACUUAGCAAGAAACUUUUAUUUUGAACUUACUCAAUCGCCACUCAUGUUGUUCCUCUUGGAUUCGACCCCGACUACAAAGUUGGGUAAAUAUAUUGACAACAGUCUUCUUGCACUUAAAUUGACGUGUAAAUUGAGUGUUAUCACCUUACAAGCAACUCAAAAUCCACUAUAAUCAAACUCUUUAUUACAGCAUUUAACGAACCUAACUCUAGGUUCCUUUCACUUGUAAUAACUCUACUAUAAGCUCAUCUUGGCAACUCUGCCAAGGACCCUCUUCACUGAUUAACUUUAAGCAGUAUCUUACUUAGGCAAACUCUACCUAAUCACUUCUCUCAACGAAAGAAAAUACUACUCUUAUAGAAUGAGUAGUUCAAUUAUAAUUAACACUCACUCACUUUUUAAGCAUACUACAAAGAUAGGAACAUGAACAAAGCUUGAGCAAUCUUGAAAUGGAGUUUUUGCUGCCUCUUUUCACUCUUUAGAUUUAUGCAAAAACUAUUUAAUGAAGAAACAUUUUUUUCGUUUAUUGCUGGGUGAUGAUUAGGGAUGAAAUAUCAUUGGACUAGGUGUCCUAUUCAGUACAAGCAACACCUGCAAGUUUGUUACACAAGAGAAAAAAACUAUGCAGACACGCGUUCUAGCUGUACUGUACCAUGCACAUCCAUGGACCUAUUCCCUUAAAGUUAACUACUUAUCAUCAAAACUACAUAUAACAGCAUUCCCCUAAGAUGAUUUGAUAAAUUGAAAGGGGGUAGAGGUAUUCCCCCAAUUUUAUUUGAUAAAUUAAAGGAGGUGGAGGCAUUCCUCCAACUCGAUUUAAUGAACAAAGUGGGUCGAGGCAUUUUCCCAAGUUAAUGGAAUUAUAAUGGCAUAAUUAUAAGCUUGCAAGCAUAAUAUUAUGAUGAUACUUGUGUUGUGCCUUAAUGUAUAAUUCAUUGGUUCAAUGAAUGGAUUAUGUGGAACUUAUUUUAAUUGGGCUUAAUGGGGGUUAUGUAUCUAAGCCGUGAAGGUGUGAAUUCUGAAGUACUGAUACUUUUAACUUACAUUUGUCGAUGUGAGGGUUGGUCUUGAUGACCAUGUGCAUGGUUCAUACUUUUGAUAUACUUGUAUCCUAGAUAGGCAUGGGGUCGGGGCAUUCCCUGGUCUUUCUUGAUACCUCCGGUUCGUGUGGAUAACACGGACUAGACCCCUUCCAGUAGGGGCAACUGAACCCAUAUAGCCCGUGGGUUUCUAUUUAUGACGGUUGAGCUACAUAGUCAAGGAUAAUGUUUUACUUUUAUGCUAAAUAAUGUUCUCUAUCUCAACAUGUUAUAUAUAUAUAUAUAUGUACGUAUGUAUAUGUAUGUAUACUGUGUGCAUGUGAAUUUUAUUGUGGUUUUGACUUAGCAUUAUUUUAUCUCAUCUCUGAGUUACACGCUAGUGUUCAUCCCACUAAUCAUAUCUGGAUGAUAUAUCCCCAUGUGAUGCAAGGUCUAAAGGCACUUCUACUUUUUCUGCACUGAUAGGCAAUUUCAGAGUUGCUCGUGAGUCAGCUUGAAGUGGUGAGCCUCCUUCUUUCGAAAGGCCUAUUACUUUUUGGUCUAGCUUAUGUCAUAGAUUAUUUCCUUUGAGACUUAUUUUGGCUAUCAUCGGAGGUAUUUCCCGACUUAGAUUGAUGUUGAUUUUAUUUUAGAGUCUUUAUGGAUUACUGUGAUUGGGUUGGUUAUUGAUAUUCUCAGAUUUUAUUGAGCUUAUACUUUUCUAUCUUGAUAUAUGUUCAAAAUUCAUCCACUGCUUGAUGUAUUGUGUACUGUUAUACUAGGUAAAUAGGAUGGUCUCCGGUCCUCAACAGGACUUGAGAUACCCGUCACGGCUAGACCCUGGUUCGGAUCGUGAUAAGAAAUUAGGAAGAAGAGGUGAUAGAGGAGAGGGUUUUUUAAUUUAAAAAAUAUUUUAUUUUCUUAAAAAAAAAUGAAUGAUUUUUCUUAGAAUUAGUAAUUCAUUUUGAAAAAAAUGAAUUAAUGUUCCUUUUUGAAAAAAAUGUCUCAUUUACUAAUUAUUUCAUUUGAUAAAUCAUACAUCAUUAUAUCGUGCAUGUAAUAUAUGUUUAAUUCAGAUGUUCACGAGAUACACUAGUGUCAAGUAAAAAUAUAUGUAUGUUCAUUGAUAAAAGUUCUUCUUUGUGAUCAAGUGUAUCAUGAAUAAGGAACAGUUUUUACUAUUCCGACAGUGUAGUUGUCACUUCUCUAAAACUUCUAUGUCUUCUCUUGUAGUGUCAAAGAACACUUUUUUUUUUGCAUGAUUUAUUAUUUUGACACUUCUCAAAAGAAAUUUUACCACUCUAAUGUAUUAUUGAAUCUCAUUUUGUAGUUGUCCACUUCGAUAACAAUUGCAGAAAGCCUGCUUGUUGUUUUGCAAAGAGAAAAUCAUUCAUUUGGCAAAUAAAAUAGGUCACGUUCUUUUUGACUUUGACUAAAUAAUUUUUUUGUUGGUCAAAAUAUCUAUCAAAAUAUGAUGUAGAAACAUUUUUUUUAUCUAAGCAUUUUUCUGCACAUUAGCUCCUUCCGUUGUAUAUGAUUCAGUUACAUCCAGUGCAAUGAAAUGAUUGAGAAUUAUGACAAAAUAAAAAUAAUUUUUUCUUAUUUGUAUUAACUAAGUAUUGCAUGAUUGAAUAAUUCAAGGAAGGAAGGACCAUGUAGAGGAUCCUUUUAAGUAGAUAUAUUGUCAGGAGGUCAGAGCAAGACUUCUUUGAAAAAAAAACUUGCAUGAUUUUUUUUUAAAGAAGUCGUCAUCUUUAUCAGGAGUACUGUGUUAUUUUCAAUCAUAGCAUACUGUAGAUGUUUGAAGGACCAUCUAAGUAUUUUUCAAGAAUAUAGUCUUGACAUAGAAUAUUGAAUUAUUUAUUCUUGUGUUUAGUUGCAUUUAUUUUGACUAUCUAUAAGUAAUUCAAAAAUAAUUAUACUGCAACUUCAACAUUGUUUUAUACCAUAUCUAAUGUGAGAUAAUAAUAAUAAAUUAUUUAAACUUAGUUUUCGUAGAAUUAAACACAUAUUUUAUUUUAUAUCUUAUUUUAUAUUUAUUUUCAAAAUUUACAAAACAGAAAAGAAGAAGUAUAGCAGCUAACAAAUCUCAGUAUUAUUUAAUUUUCUAUAUAUAUAUAUUUGAAUUUGAAUGUGCAUAUGAAUAUUAAGAUGGGCAUCAAAAUUAAAUAUCUGAAUUUGAAUAAUUAUCUUAAUAUUAAAAUAUUAAAUUAAAAUUUGAAUAGUAAAUAACUAAAACUAUUUAUUUUUCAGCAUAUGAUUAUAUAAAACUUGCCUUUAUUUGAAAUUAAUAAAUAAAUUUUAAUAAAAUAUUAAAUUAAUCUAGUACUAUAUUAAUAAAUCAUUUUAAAAGUUUAAAUGAUAAUUAGAAGUGAUGAUGACUAGUUGUAGUGAUUGUGGUGUCGAUUGAAAAUUGUGUGGGGUGAUAGUUCCUGAUAUUAGUGAUUUACAAUGGUUGUUAACUGUGGUAGUUCAUGGUAACAACUAAUAAUUAUGGUGGACAGUGGUAAUAUUUAAUAGUGGUGACGAAUGAUGAUGAUGAUUGAUAAUAUAUAGUAAUGAUUGUCGUUAAUAAUUGAUGAUUAUAAUUAUAGUUGAUGGCGAUGAUUGUACAUGGUGACUAAUAGUUUAGUGAUUGUUAACUUACAUAAUUAACGAUAACAAUGAUUGUGACUAAUGACGACAGUUGUAGGUAGUAGAUGAUGAUUGUUGAAAUAUAAUGGUAGGCGACGAUGACAAUUUUUGGUGAAAAUAGAAAGAGUAUCACGAACUAUGUGCAAUUUUGUAGAAAUCAUUAUACUUUUAAUGAUUAAGAUUUAAAUGAUUAAAAUCUAAACUUAAAAUAUAAAUUGAUAAUAUUUGACAUUUAAGAUUAAAAUUUUCAUUAAGUAUAAAUAAAUGAGUCUUUAUAUUAUAAUUCAAGUAAAAAAUUUUUGCAACCUAAAUGACCCUAAGUUUUUUAUUACUUCAUUGGUUCCAUUUAUGUGAUACCCUUUCUUUUUUAAUUUCUUCCAGAAAAAUAUUAUCUUAUUAUUUAUUAAUGUCACUUUACUAUAAUCGAAAGUAAUUUGACUUUAAAAUUCUUAUUUUUAUCUUUAAUGGAACAAUUUAUAGUCACACGAGUACUUAAGAAUUGUUGUACACCAUAAGGUUCAAAAAUAUUUCUUUUCUUCUUAAAUAUCAAACCAAAUUAAAGUAUCUCUAUUGUAAAAUAUAAAGUAGAGAAAAAGAACAGAGAGAGAAGAGAGAGUAAUUCUUAUUUAUCUUGAGGGUUGAGGGAUCAUCUUUAGGGAUGAUUUACAAUGAAUAAAACUCCUCUAUUUAUAGAAAAAAUUUCUACUAAUUUCUUUUCAAAAGAUACACAUUCCAUAUCUUAUGAAUAUCUACUAAAUCCUGAUAGAUACUCAAUAUAUCUUGAUAGAUAUUCACUAUAGCUUGAUAGACAUUCAUUACAAUGUAAAUACAUUUAUAACACACACACACAUGAAUUUUUAAUUGAUAAUAAUGUGUCUCGUUAAAACCUUACUAGAAAACAACUCAAUUGAAAAAAUCUAAUGAAGAAAAAAUAGUACAUGUCUCUAAUAAUACGCAUAUAGGCCGCCUCAUUAAAAACCUUACAAGAAAAACUUAGAGGGACAACACCUAUAAGGAAAAAAUAGUACAACGUGUAUUAACUCCGCCUAGUGAGAACAUCCUUGAACCUUUGCAACCCGAUAUUGCGCACUGUCUUCUUGAAAGUUGCAAUUGGAAGAGACUUGGUGAAUCAAUCAGCCACAUUGUCACUUGAAUAAAUCUGUUGCACAUUAACAUCACCAUUCUUUUAUAGUUCAUUGUAUAGAAAAACUUUGGCGAAAUGUGUUUCGUUCUAUCUUCUUUUAUAAAUCCUCCUUUAAGUUGUGUUAUUCAUGCUGCAUUAUCUUCAUAUAAAAUUGUGGGUACUUUGUCACAUUUCAAACUAUAUUUUUAUUGAAUGAGAUGUAUCAUGGACCUCAAUCACACAAACUGUCGAGUUACUUCAUCAAUAGCUAUUAUCUCAGCAUGGUUCGAUGAGGUGGCUAUGAUAGACUACUUUGUAGAUCUCUAAGAUAUGGCAGUACCCCCACAUAUGAACACAUAUCCUGUUUGAGAUCGAGCUUUAUACAAACUAGAUAAAUACUCAGUAUCAGCAUAACCAACAAGAUCAGAACUACAAUCUUAAGAAUAAAAUAAACUCAUAACGAUAGUCCCUUUUAGGUACCGCAAUAUGAAUUUAAUCCCAUUUCGAUGUCUCUUACUAAUAGCAGAAUUAUACCUUGCUAACAAAUUAAUCUAAAAGGCUAUAUCAGGCCUUGUAGUAUUUGCAAGAUACAUUGGUGCACCAAUUGCACUAAGAUAUUGUCAUGACCCGAUUUACGAGUCAUGAUGGCACCCACCAAUUUUCACCUAUAGGUAAGCCAAUACCAUAACCUAGAGCUAACAUAAUGGGUUAAUCCGGUAAGAAAGGCUUAACAUAGUCAAAAUUCAAGAACAUCAAUUAUAAACACAAGGAUUCUAGAUAGAAUAAACAGUCAUACAAGAUACCAAUCCCAAAACUUGAUAAAAUUAGUACAAGAGCAUCUAAUAGUAUCAAUACAACUCUAAGUCUAGAAUAGUCAAUACAUCUAUCACAGAUAAUAAAGACUAAAUAUAAGAGAUGAAAGGAAAUUGAGUGAAUCAAACUAAAAAAACUCACCCUAUCUCCGGGAAUCAAUCACCGUACGAACCACGAUCAACGACAACAGCUAAUACUCGGAUCUGCACCAAAAAUAUAUAGAAGUGUAGUAUGAGUACCAAAACAACGGGUACUCAGUAGGCAUCAUCGGUCGACUGAGCUAAAUCAUGAUGUAAGAAUGAUAAAAUGCAAGAUAAUCAUAACUAAGUCAAGGUAUAGAAUCAAACCUGAAUCAUCUCCAUCAUCACUAUAUAUAAUAAGUACGUAAAUUGGAAUAAUAGUGUGAUAUAGGCAUCAACACAUGUCAAUAUCGUUGUGCAUUACAAGCAUUGAAUAUUGGAAAAAUAAUAUAACAUAAGGCAUCAACGCAUAUCAAUACCGUUGUGCAUAAAAAGUAAAUGAUUCGGGAUCAUAAAGCAACACAAGUUCAAUAACAAGCAAACAUAAGUACAAAGUUGACGCCGAUACACCAACUAGUGCAUAAAGUAAAGAACUCAUCACGACAUUUCAUACCACCAGAGAGUACACCCAAGAGAAACAUAAGGGAGUCAAAUCAACAAUAUAUCCAAACUUUCUCAUUAGCUAUAGUUUUCUUUAAUUUUCAUCAAAUGACCAUUUGUCAACAUUCAUAAUGAUCAUUAAUGUUCGUAACUGAAUAACAUAUACUAAUAUACUCAUAAUUGUAACCAUACAAAUCUAUCGUAUCUAGAGCAUCAAUACACCCUAUUUACUCAUUAUUAGGUAGCCAACACUUAUUACUAAACCAAUUACUCACUAUCCAUAAUACAACCUCUAGUUAUUAUCUAUCAACUAUUCAUAACAUAAUCACUAUUCAUGGUUCAACAACUAACCAUUAUAAACUAACUAGCCAAUAUCUAGCAUCUAGCCAAUAUUCACCACAAAACCACAUUCGAUAAUUAACCAAUACUCGUUUCUAGCUAUUAUAAUCCCACUAGCAUCAUUCAUCAUACGACCACUAAUCAUCACUCAUUCACUAUUCCUCUAUCAACUAAUAUCUUUUAUGAAUUAGUAUCAUUAAUCCACAAAUCCUUGUUUAACAACUAAUUAACAUCAUAGACUUAGUUAUCAAUAACAACUAAUCACCACUAUUGCUAAACCCAUUAUCACUAACCUCUUUAAUAAGUUAAUCGUCACUAUUAAUAGUCAUCAAUGUCAUUAGUCCUCUUUAUCACUAAGGUUCACAAAUCCACUAGUCAUUAUUAGCCACUUAAGUAAUAUCCACCACUAAGCAUCUUUCAUCCUUAAAUCAACAACUAUACCACUUUAUACCUUAACUCAUUAGAAAACUAUAACCGAUAUCUCUAAUAUCAAUAUUAUACCCAACUACACAAGAGCAUAGAUAAACGUAUAAUUGCCAUACAUAGAGCUAGCCAGAUUCGAACUGGUAGAUUUUACACAUAGGCAUAACAAUAAUGAUCAUCCGGCCUUGUCGGUCAUUAUCAUAUCAUUAUAGUAUCCUCCGACCUUUUCGGAUAUCAAUAUAAUAUCACAAUAUCCUCUAGACGCACCAGAUAUUAUCAUAUUAUCACAAUAUCAUCUAGCCACACCGGGUAUCAUCAUAUCCUCCUACCUUAUCGGGUAUCAUUGUAUUAUCAUAAUAUCCCCUUGUCGGGUAUCAUCAUAAUAUUCUCCAGCCUUAUUGUGUAUCAUCAUAUCAUCAUAAUAUCCUCUGGCCUUGCCGGGUAUCAUCAUUAACAUAAGUAUCACAAAAGGAAGUAUCAUGAGUACAAAUAUAAUCGAUAGAAUAUCUUUACAUAUAGUCAACAAACGUGCCUUCUGGCAUUAUUAACAUCAUCGUUUCCAAUAUCUACAUUAAGGAAGACUUAUAAUAUGAUUUAUUAGUGUAAUUAUUAAGCAUGAUCAUAACUUGGAAAAUAGUAUAGUUAACUUCCCGAACACUAGCCUAAAUAAUGGAUUAAUCAAUGAUGUAGACAUGACUUAAUCAAGAGUAUAAUCAAGGACUCAUCAUUACAUAAUUCAAAAUUUAUUCAUUUAGACCAUGGGCAUAACCGUAAGAGAUAUCAUGAACAAUGGCCCACUAGUAGCAUAUUCAUUGGCCUAAAGAUAAUUUAUCAUUAGUAUGAACAAUGGCUAAAGCAUGACAUAAUCUAUAGCUUAUUCAUAGCCUGGUCAAUAACAUCAUUUAUGGCUUAGGCCAUAUUAUAGUAAAGGGCUUAUUUAAUAGCACGUUUGUUAACUCAAAUAAUAGUUAAUCACAAUAACAUAAUUUAUAGCUUGACAUAAACUUUAGCCAAUAAGGCAUACACGGAAUAAUCCCUUAGGCAUUAUUCUCAAUGUCAUUCCGCAUAACCAACAAGUACCAAAAAUCAUUAAUAUUUCCUCAAAGAGGCACUCUCUAGUUAAUUACUAAGCGUAAAGGUUCAAAGGAAAAAAUCAUAAGUCUUGUCUUAAGGUGUGUCAAUAAACUUACUUCUAAAUCCCUGAAAUGCACUCUAAGUCAAUUUCUACUUGGAACUAGGCUAAGGUAUCUAAACCAACUCUUAGAUGUAUAAUAAGCCACCAUAAGCCCUAAGACAGAGAUUCUCACUCAAGCACUUUUACCAAAUCCAACAGAACUAAGGCAACCUCCUCAAGUAUUAGAAACUAAGGACAACUUACUCUAAGUAUGAGCAACUAGAUCAUUUCACCUAAGGUUGAGUUUCUAAGGCAUUCUCAUGCUAAACAUGAGUAAUGAAGUCUAUUCCACCUAAAAUAAUAGGAAACAAGUCAAGCUUUUCAAAUCUAAGAUUCACAUAGCCUAAAAUGGUCCAACUAACCUAAGUCUUAUAUCUCAUCAAUUCUACACUUAAACCCCAUCCCAAUCUAACAAGAUAUGACAAUUAUACUAUAACAUAGCUAAAUCUAACAAGGAGUAAACCUAGCCUACCUCAAAUCCAAAGAAUGCUCAACAAUCCACUAAACCUUCACUUUUCCCCUCUGCUCUUUCCUUCCGAGAAGAUUCUUCAAGGUGUAAAGCUAUCAAAAAUACAUUCUAUACAUCAUUACGAAAACAUCAAUACCCAUAUUGCACCAUUGUGCUUCAAAUCCAAAAAUGAUACCAAAAACUCUAAGUAGGUCCCACGUAUGGAAAACACAUUUUUGAGAUCAACCCAAUGUUUAUAAACCAUUAGAGAAUCAUAACCCUCAAGAAAUAAGUGAAAACCAAGCUUAUUUUAGGCUAAAAUUAAGCCCUAGGUGAUUUGGGAUUUUGGUCAAAUAAUCAAGAAAUUCAAGCUUGAAAAUGAUGGAUUCUUACCUUAAAUCCGAUGUUAAUCACAAAAAUAUAUGUUAAUCAAGCUUCCAAGUCAUACCCAAGACUCAACUUACAGUUAUCUCACCCUUCUAGGGCUUCUGGCCUCAAAGAUGAAAAGAAAAUGGCCAAAUCCCAACUUGGGGGACUAUUUAUAGCCCCUUCAGGAAUGGAGAUGCCUAGAUCGUCAUCAAACAUGCCGCAAUUGCCAUGCCGCGAUCACUAUCAAAUGGGUCGCGAUCUCCAUGCACUAGUACCAGCAAAGUCAAAACUUAUUUUUGACCCUAGGAACUCAUUUGGACUUCAAUUUUUGCAAAUAAACUAUGUAAAUUCACUAAAUUCGAUGUUACAGAUAUGUUGGUGAGGUCGUAUUUUUCAUCCAAUGUCUUUUAGAUCAAUUGUGAGACUCACACUCAUAUCUUUUGAUUUUCUCACUUUCCGACCAAUAGGUCAUAAUGAGCUUGAAUGCAUUGGGACCCGAACCAAAGGCCUACCUAGCCCAAAAUUGAUAUUCCGAAGCUUGUUGGAGUAGUUGAAAUUUGCAUCCAAGAUUGUUUUGCUGAAGUUUUUGCUCGGUGGUCAUUUGGAAUCAACGAAGACAUCUAAAUAGGGAUUAGCUCUAAAAAUCAAAAUAACUGCCUGGUAACCAAACUAUCAACUCCAACAAGUCAUAAAUGACUUGAACCAGCUAUGAAAAAUCUCUAACUGCGAAGAUAAGCAGAAUUUUAAAAAAUGACCUGGAGGGUCAUUACAUUUAUGAUACUUCAUGAUCAAUUUAAUUCAAUAUAUUUCUCAUUUCAACACAUAAUCUAUUACUUUUGAAAACUCUCCAAGGAUUUCAAUAAUAGUCAAAUCAUUGAUUUAUCCCUUAUAAGGAUUUUUAAGAAGUUUUCUAGAAAAUUGUACAUGCUUUAUACAUUUUGAAUCCUUCAAGAAUUUUCAUAUCGAUUUUGUUGAGUGAUAAUAUUCUAACAUUUUAUAUUUGACAUCUUAUAAUGUCUGGACUGCAAAAUAAAUAAGUUUUGUGCUUAUAAAGAUGCAUUCUUUUAUGUCAAUUGAUAAAUAACUAUACGUCUUCAUGCUCAAAUACACGUAGAAUUUAGAUCAUCGUAAUCUCUUAUAAUAUUGCGUCAACAUUGUAUCAAAUAUAUUAUCGAUAAUAUAUCAUUUUGUAUCGGUUCACAAUGUGAUAUAACAUUUUUAGAUCUCAUCACUUCAUUAUUUUCAGGUACUUGAACCUCUUAUAAGAUUUUAUGAAGUGUUAUGUUGUAGGCUCUUCAAGAGCACAAUGCCUUUUAAUUAUAAGCAUUUGCUCCUUACUCUUUUCAAGGAUUAUUUUAUUUGAAAUCGAUUAGUCUACCACGUUUUAUGUUUGCGUAGACUUUGUCUUUUAGGGACAUACAAUAGGACUACUUGCAGCUUAAAUAUGAGAUUAAAUUUUAGUCAGCAGAUAUUUUCGGUAUUUGAUUUGAAUUAUCUAUUUCAUAGCUACUUAUUAUCUCCUCCCUUAUGUUAGGAAACCUAACAUAUAUCCUUUAUCUUUUUUAGGGAUGGAAAACACAUCGACAAGCACCUCAACUUGGCACUAUCUUUCGCUUUGACACCUUAAGUGGUCGGUUUUCAUUUUGUGUACCUAAACUGGUUAUAAAUUGUGUCAUUUUGGCACAUUUUUGCAUCAGAUCUGGUGUGCGGGAUGCACUCUCUCUGACGCAGAUUAAAUGGACAAUUAAUUAAUGCCAACCCAUUUUAAAUCGUCACAUCAUUAUGUACAUCUUAAUUAUUUUUUAUUUAAAGAAAACACUAAAAUAGUCUUCCCCCACCAACCCAUCUUCUUUAACCACCAUUAAUAGAGGUUGAAUUUGUCAUUUCCUUUAUGAGCUUUUUAAAUCGAGUCAUUUGCAUACCCACAAAUCAAACUAGUCUAAGAAAACACAUCUCUUUCAGUUAUUCUAUCAAAAACUUUGUAAGUAUCCUUCGUAAUCUUGAAAACCUCAUACAUAUUAAUCAACGAAUUACCUAUAAAUAAAUUUGACUCAAAUCCAUUCCUCACCAUCGAUUCGUUAAUAAUUCUUCCAUGGACAACUGAUCUUUGGUGUGCACAAGACGAAAUAAUGAAAGUGAAGGUAUGCUCAUCGGGAAGAACUCGAAUGGGGUGGUCUAAAUUCAAGAGUUGGUGAAAAAGACUAAAACUUUCAAAAGAAUUUUGAAUUUUUUUAGAAAAUUAAAAAUUGAAUUAACAAAAGAAAACAUGGGAACAAGCAAAAUUAAAAGUUCAUGAAAAAAUUUCUAGUUCUUCAACAUAUGUUUAAUAGUCAAUAUGCACAUCUUUACGAUGUCGCAGUCAUUCAUUUUAACUUAUGAACUUUUAUAUUAGUAAACUUCAAGUUUACUAUGACAUGUGCUUUUUACUUUAGUAAAUUUCAGAUUUACUAUUACAUGAAUAAAUUUCAGAUUUACUACUUCACAAGUAGAUUUUAAAAUUACUCUUCUCAAUUAUUCUGCUUCUUUCGGGGGUGAGUUGUGAUACCACCACAAUCAAGUGCACAUUUGUAUUAAUAAGCUUUAAAUAUUAUCACAUUCACCUUAGGAAAUGGAUAUGUACUUAAAAUAAUCAAAAUUCUCAUUCUCUUAAAUGAAAUAUAGUUGUGCCUAAAGCCUAUUAAAUUUUGAUAGCUUAUAACCCUUUUCAAGAUAUUGCUACUUCAGGAGCAAAUCAAGGCAUACAUAUAAUGUAGAGGCUUUUUCUCUAACAUAUCUGAUAAUCAUAAUAAGCGUGUGAGAUAUUAUCACUUUUGAUAAAUAUUAUCAUAUUGUCCCUCCACGCUUAUAUUCAUACAUUCAAUCACUUGUCUUCUUUCAGACAUAUUAUAUAUUGCUACCACAUUCAGUUCAGGGAAUGAAGCAUACUCAAUGGGAUAAAUUUCAUGUCUUUCCCCAAAACACUUUAUUUUGUCUUAGUCACCAUUUCAUCAUCAAUAUAGUGCAUUGAGAUCCAAAAUCAACAUCUUAUUUGUAUAAAGGCGUCUUAUAUUAUAAAUCAAUGAGACUUGAACCCAACAUCUUAUCAUUAUAGUGCACCGAGACUCUAACUCGAUGUUUAUUCUUUUAGUGCGAUGAGAUUUGAAUCUACUGUCUUAUCAUUUUUUGUUGAAUACAAUCAUAUAUAAAUUUAAUCCUAAAACAUUUAUAAAAUUAAAUAUAGAUUAAUACCUAAAUUUGAAAGAAGCUACGCGACAAAAAGCUUUAAAUCAUCUCAUUCAAUUAUAUAUCAAAAUAAAUAUUCAUAAUAAGAUCAUUAGAAGUUAUGUAAUUAUUACUUACUUGCCUGGAUAAAAGAAAGUAACGUUUUUUACUUUUAAUUGAAAAAGAUUGUUCCAACUCUGGGUGGAAGGCUUGGUCUUGACACUUUCAAGUUGCUCGAAAAUUUAUACAAAUAGAAUAUUGGAAGAUUAAAUUCUUACCGAACAAAAACAACCACCCAACAAAACUACGACAAUAGAGAGUAAUAUUAUCUCUCAACCGUAUUCUUAAAUUUCUUUGUUGAGUAGUAAAUAUUCGUAUUGAUAACGUGUUAUAAAAUAUGAAGUAAAGAAAAAAAUAAAGAGAAAAGGGAGAAUAAUUUUUAUUUGUUUUGAGGGAUGAGAGAUCAUUUUUAGGGAUGAUUUACAAUGAAUAGAAUUCAUUUAUUUAUAGGAAAAUGUUCUAAUUUCUCUCCAAAUGAUAAACAUUCCAUAUCUUGAUGAAUAUCCACUAAAUUUUAAUGGAUACUCAAUAUAUCUCGGUAGAUAUUCACUAUAACUUGAUAGGCAUUCACUGUGUAAAUACAUUUAUAACAGUCUCAUGUAAAAUGUGACGGAGGGAGUAAAAUUCUGUUCAGAUUCACUUAUCACUAUUUUCUUUAAUUUGAUUUUUAUUUUUACUUGUUAUUUUUGACAAAUCAAGAAAAUAUGAAAGAAUUUCAAUAUUUUACCCUUGAUAUUAUUUAUUUAUUCUCCAAAUUAUUUUUAAUAUAUAUUAUUAAACAUCAACUAAUAAAAUAAAGGAAAAUAGUCAAAAAUACCCCUCUACUUUGAUUAAUUGAUUAUAUUUACCCCUAGUCAAACUAUAGGAUACAAUAUACCCCAACUGUUAAUAAAAUUUUCAAACAUACCCUUUAUUUUAACAUUUUUCCACCUUUGAAAGUUAAGAGUCUUGUGGUGUUACAUUUUGGGUGAGGUGGAUGCCAUGUGGCGUGCCACCUCAUCAUCCGAUUUUUCUUUCCUUUUUCAUUUUAACCUUUUUUUAUCAACUUUUAUUACUGUAUUUAAUUUAUUAAUUUUUUUAAAAAAAUAAAAUAUGAAAUAAAUUAUUUUCAAAACUACAACUCUAGAAUUAUAAUCAUGAGUUUAUGCUUCUGGUCCAAUUUGAAACCAUUCAUUCUCUUCUCUCGAACUCUGAUUCCCAAUGGAUUUAAAUUCAUACCUGACCUAUUUCCUUAACCCGGAUAAUCCAAACAAAAUUUUUUUAAAUACAUAUACAGCUGCCGAAGGCACACCGCCGAAGUUCUCCUCUCACUAAAAGCUACCAAAAGGUCAACUAAUUAAGGUGUGAUUCAACGAUAAUUUAGGAGUAUCACUGAAUCCUUUGUGAUAUCGUCGACCUCCCUCGUUCCUUUGGCGUUUUAUACCCAAACUUUUUGUACAUUUAAGCAAUGAACACAAAAAUCGCUAAUUUUAUUGGUUAUGCGCCAAAUUAUUUGGUGAUACAUAAUUGAAAUUUUUAUACAUAAUUGAUACCCAAAAACUUUUUCUCCAUUAUAUUUGUUAAGUAAAACUCUCAAACUUUACCUCUACUUUUUCUUUGUUAUGGCAAAAUCCUAAUACAUAUACAACCUCUUAAAUUGUCAAAAUUAUUCAUUUUAAACACCGGGUUAAGGAAACAGAUCGGGUACGGCUUUGAAUCCAUCAGGAAUUGAAGUCCGAGAGAAGAGAAUGGAUGAUUUCAAAUUGGAGCAGAGCAUAAACUCAUGAUUAUAAUUCUAAAGUUGUAGUUUUAAAAAUAAUUUAUUUCAUAUUUUAAAUUUUUUUAAAAAAUUAAUAAAUUAAAUACAUUAAUAAAGUUGAUGAAAAAAAGAUAAAAAAUGAAAAAGGAAAGAAAAAUCAGAUGUUGAGGUGGCAUGCCACGGGACAUCCACCUCACUCAAAAUAUAACACUACAUGACUCUUAACUUGCCAAGGUGAAAAAAUCUUUAAAUGAAAGAUAUGUUUAAAAAUUUUAUUAACAAUAGGAUAUAUUUUGAUCCUGUAAUUUGACUAUAGACAAAUUAAUUUAGAAAAAUAUUUUUAACUUAUUUCCCUAAAAAUAAAAUAAUAAAAUCACCAUAUGAAUUAUUGUUUUCCCCUUUCUCAAUAGGCGUGACAUAUCAAGUGAAAACCACCGGGGGGAGGGAGUAUAAGAAGUGAUAAAGGAUAUGAGGACACACUUGUCGCUUAUUUUGUAAUUAUGGUGAAUGUAGGAGGAUACGAUGGUAAAACACGCGAAAUUAGGGUUUCAAUUCGGCCCAUCUACUACAUAGUUUCAACUUCGGCCCAUCUUCUCCAUAGUUUCAAUUUUAUAUAUAAAGAGCACUAGAUCUGAGAAAAAAAUAUUACAUAGAGUCGAUUCGUUUAUAUACUUUAUAGGAAGUUCGAAAGAGACGAGGAUUAUUUGGAAGCUUUUGGCGUGAGUGGUGUGGUAAGAUAUAUCAUAUCAUACUCUAUUUAUCACCGUGCUGCUCGGACGUUCAAUAAUGUUAAUAAUUCUCCGACACAGUGAGUCCGUGCAACUUAGAUGGAAUUAUGAUAUGAAAUCUUGCCUACACCGCCCAUGCCUGUGGCUUCCAAUUAUUUCUCCCUUUCCUACCCUUCCUUACUACAUAUACAUGUGGGGAAUUUUUUUGUUUUUUGUUUUGUCAACAAUUUUUUCCAUUUAUUUUCUUGAAGAGCUAUGAUGAGAUCUAGAGAUUGUCAUGCACCACUCUUACAAAUUUAAUUUUAAUUUGAGUGAUGAUAAAUUUCUCAUACCCAAUUUCUGUCUGAGCGCUUAUAUUUUUUUUUUCUAAUUAUUACUAUUAGUAUUAUUUUGUAAACUGAAUUAAUUUUUAGGGAUGAGCCACGUGAUGCGAUUUUUCUUUUACAAAAUAAACUUGGGUUUCUGAUGGCUCCUUUUAUAACUUUUUAUUUCAAUAAUUUUUAUUUUCAUUUGGUUUUGAGUUCUUGGCUCCCUUGAGAGAACUUAUUAUUGUAGGAAAUGGAAAGGGAGGAGAGAUUUGGGGAGCUUUUGGGGUUGGGUGGGGUGGAAAAAUUGUCAUAUUUAUUUUUUUCCUUCCAAGAGGGAAAAGAUAAGAAGUGAGAUUUUUCCUAUUCCACCCAUGCCAAUGGCUUCCAAUUAUUUGCUCCUUUUCAUGCAGUUCUACAGUUGCAAGAUCUGUUCUUGGUAUUAAUAAUUACUACCUAUAUUUGUGCAACUUAACAUUGUUGAUAUGAAAAAGAAUGUUGGAUUGAUGGGGAAAAUUGUUCAUUGAAUAUUUAUAGUGAUGAUUACUUGAGCUAGGUAGGUCAGAAAUUUUCCUUGAGUAUGAAACAAAUAGAUCUUGAUUUAGAUUUAAGAAAUUAUAAUAUAUCAUCUAUUUUAUAAGUGACCAAUUCAAGAAUUUGACCACAUGCCAACCUUCUCGAGAUAUCUUUGAAGUAACAAUAACAACAACGCAAAUGAAAUAACAAUUAUGGUUAAAAAUCUAGUAUAUUUAUUUGUAGCUUGUUUGCUUAAAUCUUAAAAUAAGCUUAUUUUGAUAAAUAUUUUUUAAAAAAUUAUUUUUGGUGAAAACAGUUUGUGGUUGACCACUAAAUUAAAAAAAUAUAUAUUUUUUGAAAAUUAAAAACCAUAUUUUAAUCGUAAGUAGUGUUUGAUGAGACUUUUGUUUAAUAUAUUUUUUGAAUAGCGUUUUUCAUGAAAAAUUACUCCCAAGUGGAGUAUGAGAACCCUUUUUUCAUUCUCAAAAAUACUACAAUAUUCUUUUAAAAGUUGAAUCAAAUAUCUUAAUUUUUAAAGGUAAUUAAAUUUGAUCAGGCUAUUAAUAUAAUAAAAUAAAAUAAUUCUUCUUUUAAAAUAAUAAUAUUUUAAAAGAUAAUUAUCAAGUAUGUGAAAGUAAAACAAACAAAUAAAAUAUUCAUCAACGAUUAUUGAAUUUGCGAAUUUAGCAAUGCAUUACCAUUAUACAAUUAUUAAAUUAAUUAAUAUUAAAAUUUACAUGCCACAUUUUCUUAUAAUAAGGAAUAAUUAUUUCAUGUGUUUAAAGCAGUAAUUUUUUUCAUAAAUUACUCUUAUUUGAAAUAAUAAAUUUAUUUUUAUAAAUUACUCUUAAUUAAAUUAGUAAAUUUUUUUUUCAAAUCUGAAAAUUAUUAUUUUUAUGAUCUUUAAAAAAAUUCAAAAUAAAGUAUUAUUAUUUUUUUUCUUUUAUUUCACUCUAUUAUAUUUUUAAUUUUUUUCUUGUUAUUUUUUUAUUUUAUUUUAAUUUUUUUCAAUUUAUUUUUUCUCUUCUAUUUCUCAAUUUUUUUUUCUUUUUCGUUUUCAUAUUUUUUUCUAUUUUUGUUUUUUUCUUUUUUUUCUUUUUUAUUUUUUUUACUUUUAUUUUUGCAUUUUUAUUUCUCGUUUUUAUUUAUUUUUUAUAUUUUGAUUUCCUUUUCCUUUUAUCAUUAUUUUUUCAUUUUAUUUUCUCUUUUUUUUUUCUUUAUUAUUUUUUUGUUUUCUUAUUUUUUUUCUUUUUUUAUUUUCAUUUUUUUUAUUUAUUUUGCUUUAUAUUGUGUCAUUUAUUUUUUUAUUUCUAGUUCUUAUUUUUAAAAAAUAUAUAUUUAUAUCACAUUAGCAUAUUCAAAAAAUAUACAAAAUAAAUAGUCAUAUAAAUCUGCAUAUGUAUUUACAGUACAAAAUAUAGAUAUAUUCCUACAUAUAUAUUUACAAAAAUGCAUAUCUGUAACGCCUAGAGUCUGUACCUCAGACGUCAUACGGUGCUUACGAUCUCGAAGGACCACAAGUUAACUCAUGGCUGAAAAUGAGUAUGGUUGCGUAAACCCUAGUCUGGCCAAGGGAUACUAACAGGGUUGUGUAAAUCCUAAUCUGGCAGGAAGACCCAUAAUAUAUAUGUAUGGUUGCGUAAACUCUAGUCUGGCAGAAAGACUUCUUACCCUAUGCUGGCUACGUAUUUUUGUAACGCAGGGACUGUUACCAAGGGUCAAACCUUAUGCUGGCAAAAUACCCCCAUCCCUGUGCUCGCUCGGUGUUGAAUCCUACUCCUAACUGAAAGGACACUGCACUGAUCACUAAACUGUACUAGGCUUGACUGAACUGGGCUGAGUUCACUGAGUUCUGUAACUGACUAAAUUCUAUUUGUGACGUUACUGAGACUAUCCUGUAACUACUGUAAUUAUAAGUAAACAGCUAGAUUGUCGGGUAUUGAAUACCCUUAGGACUCAAUAGCAUCUAUACUAAUAGAACAUGGCAAUACUUGAAGCAUGACAAUAGUCAACUGUUCACAAUGCAAUUAUUGAGACAUUUCAUCAAGCACUUGGAAGUCAUGAACUUGUACAUGAAUAAGAAUACAUACUAAUAUGUCAUAAUUACACCAUUCAAUUCACAUAGACAUUCCAACAAACACUUGCACGGCAUAGCUUUAGCAUGAUAGUAAUUUAAACAUGUAGUAAUAGUAUGAGUUCAACACUAGGGUCACCAAUGAAUCACAAAGGCACAAUUAACUCAAUUAAGCAUUUUGUCAAACAUCUAGGAGGCAUAAUCUUGUACUUGGGCAUGAAUAACGUGUUGAUGCAUCAUGACUACAACCAUCAAUUCACAAUUCAAGGGUUGUGACAUGGGGAGUACAACAAUUUCAUACAUGAUAUCUUAUACUCAUGAAAACUACACUUAAAUUUUUAAUUGAAAACCCAUACAAUCAACAUGAACCUGAAAACAACCUAAUUGAUACAUGUAAUUCAUGAAACUAUUAACUUGAGAUUUUGAAAAGGGUUCUUGAACUCCAAGGGUGGAAGGAAACCCAAGGAUGAACACCUAACAUACUUGGAUUAUUAAUUCUCUGAAAAUCAUUGGAGUGUUCUUGAUGCUUGAACUUGAAAUUGGAUGCCCUAGGAUUUUGUUCUUGAGUGUUUUUUUAGAGAAUGAGUGAAUGAUGAAUGAAAUUUGCCUUUAGAAAGGCUUAAUCUCAUGUUUUUGGGGCUGAUUAAAAGGGAAAAAAGACUUAAUUAUCCCUCUGGACGCGAAAUUAAAAGAGCAGAAACUGUGCCCAGUAACACGCAGACCGAUGCACCACGUCGAUGGUUGACGCGAUAACCAACGCGAUGCAUCGAUGUUGCGUUGGCUCACUGAAAUUUGCACUAAAGGCUGAUGACAAAAUCCUGGUCGACGCGAUGGGCGACGUGACGCGUUGAGAUCCUGUCAAUCCACUGUUUUGGACUCCCAAACGUGCCUCAAAUGACGUCCAAAAAAUUUGAAACUCGUUCGAGAACACCUAUUGACAUCCCUGAUCAUGAAUCAAUCUAAGAAUCGAUAUUUUAAGGUCGUAAGGACUGACAAUAAAACCAUUGAAUUAUUGAGGCAAAAAAUAAGACUAAGAGGGUGGUUGUAAGAGAUUAUAAGUUUGGCAUUUUGACCUUUUAGGAGUGUUUGACAAUUUUGAAAAUUGCUUUAAAAAGUCAAUUUUGACUUUAAAAAGGCUAAAAACAAGAAGUUGGUAUCUGCUACUUAUUUUUUCCUAACUUAUAAUUUAUUCAAAAUUGACCAAGUAAAUGACUUUUUUGCCCUUAUAAUUUUCACUUAUUGGUGUUCGAUUGGUGGGAAAGAAAAUUUACUGUCUGAAUGAAAAGUUAAUAUUUCUCUUCACAUAAGCAAGUUAGUAUAGUUUGGUUUAUUCCUUAGUGGACAAUUAAUGUGAAGAGAAUAAUUAGUGGACAAUUAAUUGGACAAAACAUGUAACAUUUCUCUCAAAUUAUACUAAGGACAAAAUAUGUAACAUUUCUCUUCACAUAAGCAAUUAUACUAACUGUUGGCCAAUUAUCACAAUUGUCCAAAUGCUCUUCACAUUUUUCUUGCCCACCUUUACCAAUUUCAAACUCCAAUUUACACAAAUACUUAUAACGUUUGGAUAGAUAUGUCAUUUUUACUACUAUUAUAUAAUGUCAAAUAUAAAAUAUUUCACCAUUAUAUCAUGAUAGAUUCUACAAUGCAAUAUAAGAAAAUUAAAAUAAUAUUUGAAAUAAAUAUUAUUAACAUAACCAUGAAGAAACAAAUAAUCUUUUAAUAGAUAACUAUUUUUUCAAACACAAACAUUAAACACUUAAACUCUUAAAAAAAUGAGUUUUUAGCGCAAUANNNNNNNNNNNNNNNNNNNNNNNNNNNNNNNNNNNNNNNNNNNNNNNNNNNNNNNNNNNNNNNNNNNNNNNNNNNNNNNNNNNNNNNNNNNNNNNNNNNNNNNNNNNNNNNNNNNNNNNNNNNNNNNNNNNNNNNNNNNNNNNNNNNNNNNNNNNNNNNNNNNNNNNNNNNNNNNNNNNUAUCUAUAUCACAUAUAUAUAUUCAAAAACUAUACAAAAUACAUAGACAUACAGAUCUGCGUAUCUGUUUUCAGUACAAAACAUACAUAUAUAACUGCAUAUGUAUUUACAGAAAUACAUAUCUGACUUUUAUAUAUAUAUAUAUAUAUAUAUAUAUAUAUAUAUAUAAACAUAUAGGACACAAAAUCUCUAUAACAAAAAUGACAACUAUAUACAUAUAUAUAUAGGUAAUCAAAAUACUGAAAAUAAGACCAUUUUUUAAGUAUUGUAUGUAAAUAACAAUAUAUAUUUGGAUAAAUGUAUAGUAAAAAAAAAAAGAAGAUACAAUUACAUUACAAAUAACUAAUACAUGUGCAUUUACGUAUAUGUACUUGCUAAAAAAUUUAUGCAAAAUAUAUGUAUUUGAUUUUAAUAAAAAUAUAUUUUCAUCUGUGUUAUGAAAAAUAUAUGUAUAAAUCUGCAUAAAAUACAUAUACAAAGCUAAAAAAUAUGAAAAAUAUAUAACGACCUAUGAAUACAUAUGCAGACAUGUAAAAAAUAUAGGCGGAACAGAAAAAUACAUAUGCAGAAACUGAAUAAUAUAGUUAAAGUAAAUAUGCAUACCUGUAAUGUCCAACUGAAUUUGAGUUUUUGAAAUAUUUUUUUUAAAUUUAGCUAUUAUAAUGAGAUAUUAAACAUAAAAUUAAAAUUUAAACAUUUAAAUUAAUUUGAUUCAACAUCAAUAAUCAAAAUAAAACUGGCAAAUUUUAAAAAACUUUCGACAUGCUACCUGAAAUUAAUAUGUGAAACUUACGAACUAUUCAACGACAUCUCUGUCAACUUACAGUUAACUGUUAUCAAAUACAAAAUAUUCAAGAAAAACAUCAAACUUGUAGCAUUUCAGUGUCUUCUCUUAUCUUAAUUUUUCUGGCAAGCCUCAUUGGUGUUUCGUCAUCACUUCGUGCCUUAUCUUCUUUUUUUCUCAAAUCAUAAUUCCACAAAAGUGAAGCAUAUCUUGUGCGAAGAAAGUUCGGAUCGAAGUCAACAUAAGGAACACCUUCACUAUAAGUAAGGCACUCAACAUAUGUCACCAUAUACAAUCCACAAUCCUUGCAAAAUACAUUUAGUAAUAAAUUAGUAUCUAUUAUAAAAUGAAUAUAUGAAUACAUACAUGUUAUAUGUUUAUUCAGUACUUACAAGCUUUCACUUGGUUGUAUCGCUCUUCAAUAUCGUUGAUAGUGUGACAUCCUAUAUAUGGUGAAAACUUUGAAAGUACUCUUAUCAUGAAUAUUUGAUCACGUGGCACCUACAGGCCCAAAAAAUUGUUGAAAUCUAUAUUACUUGUUCUUCUCACAAAAAAUAAUACAAAAUACAUAGUAUGCGUAUAUUUCCUAUAACAUCAUACAUAUUACAUUACAACAAAUACAUAUAUCAUUGCAUAUGUAUUUUCAAAAUACAUGUCUGUUCCAGAAUACAUAAUAAACUCAUAUGUAUUUAUAAAAUACAUACAAAUAUACAUGCAUAUCAAAUAAAUAUCUUAACAUUAAUAAAUACAACCCAUGUCAACUCAUGUCUUAACAGUAACAAAUACAUAUCUUAAUAGUAACAAAAACAAUUACAUAUCUUAACAAUAGCAAAUACAUAUCUUAACAGUAACAUAUACAAUUUCAUAUCUUAACAGUAACAAAUACAACUCCAUACAUAUACAUAUGAAUGAACAACACAAAAUACAUACUACAAUCUUAAAUAAUAAAAAAAAUACUACAAAUACAUAUGUUAUCAAUUGAAAAACAAAUAUAAGCAUAAUCAUAUGUAUAUUAAAAAAUAUAUAUACCUGUAGAUGAUCCAUAAUCUAUAAAAAUACAAAUACAAAUAUCUCUUUCACUUUUACUUCUUUGAAUUCAUAUUCAGAUGAAUUUUGAUCAACAGGACUUGAUAUUUUACUUGACUUUUCAAUUUUGCCUGACUUUUUUUUUCAUAGAUUUUUGCAUUUUUUGAAAUUUUGAAGAUAAAAAUUUUUUCAUUCCUUUUUUUGCAUUUUUUGAAAUUUUGAAGAUAAAAUUUUUUUUAAUCCUUUUCGCUUCAUAGUUUCCGCAAUCUUUUAACAAAUAAAUUCACAACUCCCCCCUCCUCUAAAAAAAUACAAUUCUAAAUUUAGUAAUUCAUGCUUGUUACUUGUAACUACAAUCAAAUCACCAAUCAACAUACAAAUUAGUUAGAAAUAUUGAUAGGGCAGAAAAUUUUGAGAACAUCCUACGGUAAAUCAACAAUAAGGUACACAAGAAUUUGAAGCCAAUGAAAGCAUUAAUCAUUUCCACAUAACUCUUCUGAUACAUAUGACAUAUCAUUUUUUAAAGAAUUGCUCUCUUUCUUGUAUGAACAGAAGAUUUUUGAACUGUAAAAUUUCCUCCACCCGAAAAAACACAAAUUAGGCCAUACCCCAAGCCAUAACUGAACCAAUAACAAAGAAAAACACACAAACUAAAAAAAGGGGGAAGACUUCAUGCCCAGUGAUUAACUACAUUAUAAAAAAUUAAAAAAAAUACUUGAUUUCUACUGUCUCAGACAAAAAAUUUCUCAAAAACAAACCAAAAAAACGACAUGAACAAUGGAGAAUAAAAAAAAUAAAAAUAUAAAAUAUAUAGAAUAUGUGGAAGAGAUAAUAUGCAAUAACUGUAAAUUGAUACUUACCUUAUUUUAUGUAGCGCAAUCUCUAUCUAUAAUGUGAGAAAAGUAUGAGAAAAAGGUAAAAAAUUGGAAUGAAAAUCUACAAAAUAUGCACUAUUUGAAAAAUAAAUAAAUAAAUAAAAGGUAAAGUAAGAUAGGAAAGAGGUAAAGUGUUGAAGUGAAAAUAGGAGAAGUUAUUAAGAAACAAGUGUGUGUGCAGUGUCCCACCAAAAUAAUGUUACUUUUGCUAUAAACUGUAAUUUUGAUGAAGUGUUACUAGUUAUUGUAAUUAUAAUCUUAAGUAUGUUACUUUUUAUAAUUUUUUUUAAUGGGUGUUAGUUUGGUUUAUAUCCCUUUCUGAUUAAAUUUUAAAUUAAAUUAAGUUAAUUAGUUUUUUAAUUAUUAAAUCAAAUAUAAUUCAUAUUUAUCAAUUUAAUUGAUAUUUAUUUGGUCUAAAUUUUUUAUUUUUAAGAUAAUAAUAAUAUUUUCCUAUCUAUUUUUUUUUGUAAAAAAAAGUAUUUUAUUAUUUUUUUAACUUAUAGUUUGUUAUUAAUUUAUUAUUAUGAUGACUGUUAUAAAUGUAUUAAAAUAUAUAGUGAAUGUGUAUAUAUGGAAAAAUUAAAAAUCUCAAUUUUUAGGAUAAAGUUAGUUUUCACUUAUAAAUAAAUGGUUUUUUCUUCAUUGUUAAGAACCCUUAAAGAAUUUCUCAGUAGAAAUAAAGAAGUCUUCUUUCUUCUAUUUCCAUUCUUUUUGUACAUACUUUAUAUUUCAUAAUACGUUAUCAGCACGAUCAAAUUACCAAAAAAGUUAGUUAGCUUAUUAGUAUCUGACGCCACUUAUCUUAACAACUUCGAAAUAAUAUUAAUAGGAUUCGAUUGAUAGGAGAUUUUUGCCCAUUAAAGCAACGGGUGAUGGCAUAGAUAUAAACUCAAAGACAGAAUCUCGUGUUGAUAACGUAUUAUGAAAUAUAAAGUAACUACAAGAAGAAUGAAGAGAGAAGAGAAGAAACUUCUUUAUUUCUCUUGAGGAAUUCUUUAGGAGUUCUUAAUACGUUAUCAGCAUGAGAAUCUAUCUUGAGCACUUUUUGAAAGAAGAUCUUAUUUACUAUGUUAUUUGCUCUCUUGAAGUAAUUGUCAACUGCAGUGUAUAACUUUAAUAAGUUUUGGGUAAAGUCAUCAAUUUUAUCCUAAACUUAUUUCGGAAAGUCAUUUACAAACUUAAACUAAUCAAACGACCCAUUACACCCUUAUUCUUAUUUUUAGUGGAACUAAUGCUUCCUUAUCAGCUCCAAAAUCAAUCAUAAAUUGAGCGGUGAAAUACACUAGCUCCACGUCACUUUUCAAAUCACUUUUCAUGUCAAAAAUAAUUUUAAACAUUACUUUCAAACAAAAAUUUUCAAGUCCAUCCUCCUUACCCCAUUGAUCUCUUUCGUCACCUCUAAAAGGGAACUUUACCAACAAACGAAUACAUUAACAGAGCAACAAGCUAAACAAGAUUCAAAGGCUUCUCAAUAAGGAUGAGUUGUGAGAUAGAUAGUAGCAAAGAAAAAAGUAAAGGCCUCUGAAAUUUUAUUUUCCAACGAAAGUAGAAGUUUUCAAUUGAUACUUUUGAAUCUUGGGAUGAAAUUACAAGGAGAAAGAUUUGAGGAAGGUGUUUUUCUAUGUGUUUUGGAGGUCGAAGAAAUUUCGUUAGUACCAUGAACUUUCUAAUAAGAUUUUUCAGCAAAACUGCGAUGAGUUUUUUUACUCUUUUUCGAUGAUUAUUAGAUCCACAUUUUCUAAUCUUUUGCUAGUGAUUCACUUCCUAUUUUAAGUAAAUCUAUUGAAUUUUGGAAGAAACAAAGGAAACUGGACUUGAGAAACAUUUUGGGGGUUGGUCGUGAUGAACAUUUUGGUGGCCAUUAAUGGCACUAAGUACAGUGAAAAUGGUGAAAGAGGAAGAAAAAAAGUUAAGCCAAAGAAAAAAAAUUAUUUACCAAAAAGUGAAAGAAAAUAGGCCCACAAAGAUUAGUCAAUUAAUGGUAAUUAGCUUCAUAACAACCGCUAGAAAAAUGACAUGUGUACAGUUAAAUUUAUUUUAAACAUUUUUAGUUAUCUUUUUUCUGCAUUGUACCCGUACACGCGCACAAAAAUAUUUGAAUUGCAUGCACAUGACACAUAAACAAAAAAAGGGGUGUUAGUUUCACAUAAAAUAAGAAUAAGUGUGUAAUAGGUCGUCUGAUUAGUUUAAAUGUGUAAGUAACUUGUCUAAAUAAUUUUAGGGUGAAACUAAUAUCUUUUUCCAUAGGUUAUACAUAACAAUUAUUCAUGCAACCCUCAAUGUAAGUAAUAAAGGUAAAGUUUUACCUUAUUUUUCUGUUUUAAAUUUUUAAUAUCCCUCAACUUGAUUUUAGCUUAAGAAAAUCUAUAAAAAAAAAUUAUGUUUCCACAUUAACAAACUAAGAAGAUCAUAUGAGAUAUUAUAAUUACAUGUGACUUUUGAAGACUUACAGAUUGUGAAAUAUUGUAAAUAAUAUCCUUUAUAUUAUUCUUUUGAGUGAUUAAUUUAUGUUAUCAAACUUACUGUACAAAAUUAUUCAUAAUGAUGUUGUUUUGUAAUAUAUAACCCUUAUUCCUGUGUGUCUGAAUUAUGAUGUUUUAUAAUGAUUUGAUGGUAGAUUCAAAUCUCAUGGCACUAAAAGGGUAAGACAUUGAGUUAGAGUUUCGAUCACCAUGAUAAUAAGAUAUUGGGUCUAACUUCCAUCGAUUUAUGACUAGGACGCUUUUAUAUGGAUAAGACAUUAAGUUUGAAUCUCAAUGCACCAUAUUAAUGAUACAAUGAUGGAUAAAGCAAAUAAUAUUUAUUUUAUGAAAAAUCAUUAAACUUGUUCUACGAAAUAUGCUUUAUUUCAUGAAGUGAAUGUGGUAGCAAUAUAUGAUAAGCCUAAAAGAUGAUAAUUUGCUCCAUUUUUGAAGUGAAUGUGGUAGCAAUAUAUGAUAUACUUUAAAAGAUAUGUUAAAAAAAAAAUUCUCUAAAUUAUAUGUACGCUUCGAUUUGCACACAAAGUAACAAUAUCUUGAAAGAGAUUCUAAAUUAUUAUAAUUUGAUACACUUAAGACACAAUUAUAUUUCAUUUCUGGGGAACGAACCUUGGGAGUCAAUAUAACUGUAUUAGUAAAGCUUAUAAAUUUGAACGUGUUUUUGAUUGUAAGGACAACACAAUCCACCCCCAGAAGAGGUAGAAUAAUUAGAAGAUUGAAUAUCUCCAAGUUACCAUGACAAAAAUCACGAAUGUGAAAAGUUACCCAAGUAUGAUGAGUCACAUGCCAUAAUUAUUGUAUAUUGAUACAAAAUUCAUGUCACGAUAAAUAAAAAGUUUACUAACAUAAAAGGUAAAUAUCAUGGUAAACUUGAAGUUUACUAGUAAAAUAAGUUCAUAAGUUGACAUGAAUGAUUAAGACAUCCCAAAAAUGUGCAUAUUAAGUAUAUGCAUUUAUUGAAGAACUAAAAAAUUCUUCAUCAACUUUUAAUAUUACUUGUUCUCAUGAUAAGUUGGUUGGACCAACUAAUGUUGGAGUUGGAUUUUCUGAAUUCUAAGAAGUAUUAAAGGUGAAUAAGGAUUCGCUCACCAUUAUGUGAUAUGUUGAAAAGAUGCAUCAAUAAGAUAAUCACAUGUACAUAUAUUUUUAACCUGCAGUUUGACAUUAAUAAAAUUGUUUGCUCAAUAAAAUUGAGUUAAGAACAUAAUUUUUAGAUUGUGUAAUCAAGACAAUUCAUCUUGAUAAUAUUUGUUUGACAUUGAAUACCUCCAAUAAAUAGUUGAACUAUUGCUUAUGAGAACGAAGUUUCAUAUGUUGGUCUGAAGUAUGAUACAUUGCAUGCAAUAGUACUUAUUUGCAUUAAAUAAAAAAUUAUGAUUAAUUUUUUUCCUCAAUUGGUUGAAGGUCAGGAAUCAAUUAUUUCAUCUAGUCGUUUUAGAUAUGUGGUAUUUGAUCAAUGGAUAUACCAUGAUGCACAAAUAUGGAUUCUCUAAGGUAAAUUAAAGUGUAUGUUAGAUUUUUUAACAUGAGGGAAAGAUAAUAAAUAGCUAAGAAAUAUGUUGUGGAUUAUCAUCAAUAUGAUCCUCAUUCAAAAGAUAAUUUUGGUUCAAAUGCUAGGAGUAUUAGAUUAUCCAAAACUUGAUAUUAUAUUUAGAUAUUAUAUUUAGCCAUAAAUACGCCAAUUGGAUGUCCCUGAAGGACAAAGUCUACUACAUAUAUGAAACAUGAUAGAUCAGUUGGUUAAAAAUGCAAUAAUUCUUGAAAAAAGAAGCAAAUGAUCAUAAUAAUAAGGUAAUGUGAUCUUGAAGAUCCUACGAUAUAACACUUCAUGAAAUCUUAUGAAAGGUUCAGAUACCUGAAAAUAAUAAAGUGAUGAAAUCUCAAAAUAUUAUGUCAAAUUGUGAAUCGAUAAAAAAUGAUAUAUCAUCAAUAAUAUCUUUGUACAAUAGUGAUACAAUAUUGUGAAAGAUUAUGAGGAUCUGAAUUCUACGUUUAUUUAAGCAUGCUGACGUAAAAAUAUUUAUCAAGUGACAUGAAAGGAUACAUCUUGGUAAGUAUAAAACUUAUUUGAUGUGUAGUCCAGAUACUUGAAGAUGUCACACAUGAAAUGCUGAAUUUAUCACUUGACAAAAUUUAUAUCAAAAUUUUUUAUGGAUUCAAAAUACUUGAAGCAUAUAAAAAUUUUUGGAAAACUUAUCUAUAAUCCUUAUAUUGUACAAAGUUAUAACUUCAAAAUUAUUGAAACACUUGGAGAGUUUUCAAAAGCACUAGACCAUUUGCUGAAAUGAGAAAUAUACCAAAAUGAAUUGGUUAUGAAGUACAAUAUCUUAGUGCAAUUGAUGCACUGAUGUAUCUUACAAAUACUACAAAGUCUGAUAUACCCUUUCGAUUAAUUUGUUAGCAUGGUAUAAUUCUGCUCCUACUAGGAGACAUCGGAAUGAGAUCAAACAUAUGAGCUUAUUUUAUUCUAAAGAUUGCAAUACCGAUUUUGUUGGUUAUGCUGAUGUUGAGUACUUAUCUGACCAACAUAAAACUCGUUCUCAAAUAAGUUAGGUAUUUAGGGAACUGUCAUAUCUUGAAAAUCUACAAAGCAAUCUAUCGUAGUUGCUUCAUCGAACUAUGCUGAGAUAAUAGCUAUUCAUGGAGCAAGUCAAGAGUGUGUGUGGUUGAGGUCCAUGAUACAUCUCAUUCGAUAAAAAUAUGAUUUAAAAUGUGACAAAGUAAUCAUAAUUUUAUAUGAAGAUAAUGUGGCAUGCAUAACACAACUUAAGGGAGGAUUCACAAAAUGAGAUAGAAAAAAACACAUUUAGCCAAAAAAUUUCUAUGCAUAUGAGCUCUAAAAGAAUGGUAAUAUUAACGUGCAACAGAUUUGUUCAAGUAACAAUGUGACUGAUUUAUUCACCAAGUCUCUUUCAAUUGCAACUUUCAAGAAGAUAGUGCAUAAGAUCGGAUGCAAAGGUUCAAGCAUGUUCUCAUUAAGGAGAGUUAAUAAGUGUUGUACUCUUUUUUCCUUAUGAUAUUUUGUCUCACUAGAUUUUCUUGUAAGGUUUUUAAUGAGGCAGCCUAUAUACGUAUUAUUAGAGAUGUAUACUCUUUUUUCCUUCACUAGAUUUUUUCUAGUAAGAUUUUAAUGAGGUACAUUAUCUAUCAACUAAACAUUAAGGAAAAGUGUUAUAAAUGUAUUAUCAUACAUAGUGAAUGUCUAUUUGUGAAAAAAAAAUUAAAAUCCCAACUUUUAGGACGAAGUUAAUUUUUUCCUAUAAAUAAAUAGUUUUUUAAUCCCUUUUUGGAUUUUAUUUUAAAGAAAUUGAUUUUGACUCUUUUAAACUAUUUCGAAAGAUUCAACAGAAUUUUGAAAUAGUUUUGAAAAAAUUUACAGAGUCGCCACUUGAUUUUUAUAAAAAAAAAAAUAUCAAGAAAAAACUUAAAGAAAUCUCAAAGAAUAAAAAACAGAAAUAAAUCUUUGAAAUUAGAGAAACUGAGUAAGGGUUCAAUUAACGCCCUAAGAAAGUUUUUACGGCACUUAGGAGCAUCCGUUUUAAAAUGAUUCACCAAAAGAUUGUUUUUGACUAACUUAAAAAUGUGGCUAACUUUGCAAUAGAGUUGCUUUUAUAAAAUCAUUUAUUUACACGUUUAAAAUUGACAUUUAUUUAUUUAAACAAAAAAAAAAGACUUUUUGAGUUAGAAAAAAAACUCUAGCAUGUUUCAUGUAAUUCAAUAUUAAUUUUGAGAUGAAUUACGAAAUAUUUCGCGUAAUUUAUGAUUAAUUACUUGAGAAAUCUUACAAAAUAUUUUACUUGAGAAAUACUUUACUUAAUUCAUAAUUAACCGCGAAAAGUUAGAAUUUGAGAAAAAAAGUCAAAGAGUAUGUUAAUUGAUAAAUUUCUAUUUAAUUCCUAAUUAUUUUUAGAGAAAUUAUGAAAUAUUUACUUGAAUUAAGAAUAGAACCCUAUCUAAAUUAGAUUGCACAUUUGAUUUUAGGGAGGAAAUAAGUUGUUUUUUUUUUUUUUUUUAUGAAAAAUGAGAAUUAUAUGAUUAUUUAUUAUUAUUAUUAUCAUAAAAAUGGUCAUUUUGUUAUAAAUAACACCUUUGAAAAAUCUUAAGAAAGUAUCAUGUUAAAAAUAUUUUAUCAAUUAUGAGAAGUUAGAAUUUGCGAGAAAGAAAUUAACUUCUUGAGUUGAAGAAAAUUAUUUUUUAACCCAAGUGGAUUAUUAGUCAUAUGAACAAAACAAAUAUCAUUUUUGAAAUAAAGUACACAUUUUUAAAGACUUGUUUAAGAAAAGAGCCACAAGAGCCAAGUUAAUCUAUUUUUUAGAUAAGGUGACUACGUGAGAAAAAUUAUAAAAUAAGCAAGGAAUUUGUCAUAAAUUGAAUGACAACAAUGUGAAAAAUUACUAGAUUAAUUAAUUAAAAUUAGUGCUAAAGUAAAUAAACAAGCAUAAAUUGCAAAUUAUAAGUGAAUAAAAGAUUAAAAGUUAGAGUUGGCCCCUUUUUUGACCCAUCAGUGAGCUGCCCAGCUUUGGGCUUCAAAUUUUCUGAACUUUAGGUCCAUUUCCUGCAUCCAUAUCAGCUGUAUAUUGCAGAUUCAUUCCCUGCAUUUUUUUUGUGUAUAUACGGUGUGUAUAUAACCGUAUUUCAGUCACAUACACAUAACUUCAGCCCUCCCCCAGUAUAACCAGCUUCCUUUUCCAUUUCCAUUUUUCUGCAACUGUAUAUUUACGCAUAUCUGCAGUAUACCAGCAUUGUAUUGAUCUAAUCUCUUCAUGCAUUUGUCCAUUUUGGACUUGAUGUGGGUCUUGACUCAAUGAAAGUUGGGUUUAACCCAACGAAAUGCGAGGGAAGAGAGUCCGAGGGACUCAAUGGAGAAGUCCAUGCAUAAGAGACAAAAAGAUACGGAUUAGUAUCCAUACAAGUACGCUAUAAGGAUGAGAAUUAACCAAAAGAAAGAAAAGCAAAAUUAAUGCACCCUUGUCCUCCGCGAGACACAAAUCAUAAUAUGUAAUUACAAUUCAAGUGAUGAUUUUUCGUUCACAUCCGUUUAAUAUCCUCUACAUCAAAAAAAUAUACUUUGGCAUGUUUAAUUUAUAAACUGGAUAAAAUGUAUCAUAAAGAUGAUAAAAGAGUAAAACAAAAUAAAGUUGAUAUGAGUUUGAUGUACCAGUAAGUUUUUUAUAAAUGAGUUAACAUAGGCAGUUUAUCAACUCAAAGAACAUAUCAACUCAAAGAACAUGUAUUGGUUUCAAACAUAAUCAAAUGAGAAAAUAGUCAAAAGCCCCCACCUUUAACCCAAAUUCCAACUACACACUUAUACUUUGCAAGGGUCCUAUGACCCCUUUGAAUUAUUUUAAAAUGAAACUAUUACCCUUGAACUAUUUUAAAGUGGAAUAUCUACCCGUCUAAAAACUAAUACCCAGAUUUAAUUUUAAUUUAUGGUCUACACGCGCUGCCACGCGUCAUUCCACAUCAUAUUUCUUCUUUUUUUUACUAUAAAAAAUUAAUUCCACAUCAUAUGCCAUUCAAUUCUUCUUCUUCUUCUAUUUUUUUUCUUCUUCUUCAAUGACGACUUCUUCUUCUUCUUCAAUAGCAUAAUGAAUCAUAUGGAAUUCACACAAUAGGUAAUCUUAUUAAAAUCAAAUCAACAAUAAGUGUCUCGCAUGCAAUUACGUCUUUAAUUUAUAAUACCGCAGACCCUUUUUUUUCUUUUCCAUUUUUCUUCUUCUUCCUCCCCGCUUAAAACUUCAUUCGUUUUCACUCCGCCAGCAAUCUUGCUGUUUCUUUAGCCCCAAAUUUCAAUAAGUUUCUCCAGCUACCACUAUAAUUAGUUUUUACUUUUAUUGAUUCUCUAGAAAAAAUAAAAAUACAGUGAAAAAUACUUUCUUUCUUGCAAAAAUCUAACUUACUUUCAAUUUGAAUUGAUUCAACAUUCUCACAUAAUUCGAGUUCUUGGAUGUCAUUGAAGAAGAAGAAUAAGAAUGGAAGAAGAAAUGAAGAAGAAGAAUUGAAGAACAAGAAAGAAAAAUAAUAAUUAUAAUAGAAGAAGAAAUGCCAUUGAUGAGUUCUUGAAUGCCAUGGAUGCCAUUGAAGAAGAAGAAGAAAAAUUGAAGAAGAAAAGAAUGGAAGAAGAAGAAAUGAAGAAGAAAUAAAAAUAAUAAUUAAAAUUAUAUAUAUUUAUUUAAAGAAAUAUUAAAAAUAAAUUUUUAAGAAAUUAUUUUCGUUCUCACUCUCUUUUAAAGAAAGUGAAACACACUCUCUUGACAUGUCAGCGUUUAAGGGUAAUAAUUCCAUUUUAAAAUAGUUCAAGGAGGGUCAUAAUCCUUGCAAAGUAUAAGUAUGUAGUUAAAAUUUGGAGUAAAAGUUUGGGGCUUUUACUAUUUUCUCUAAUCAAAUUGAUGCCAAACUUUGCUACAACAUGCAAAAAAAAAAAAGUAGUUUCCAGACAAUAAUUUCAACAAGUGGCCAUAUAUUUCACAAAGAAGACCUCUAUUUUCAAUAGACUAAAACACUUUCAAACUCCUCAAUAUCAUAUUCAAAUCACAAAUGAGAUCAAUGAAUCCGUUUACUCCAAAAAUCAGGUUCUACUACUUUAAAAUUACAUAGUAAUAAAUAUGAAACUCAAUCCCUUUAAUUAAGAUUCACCUCCCCAUAGUUAAUGACAAACUGCACAUCGAUUGAUAUAAGAGGGAAAAUAUGGCUAAGAAUGUUACACAGACUCAGCCCCAAAUUAGAUUACAUAACAGGACAUCAUAUAACCACUGUCUUGAUUCAAAUCUGCCUUUAACACAAGCUCGGAAAAGAUAAAACACCCAAAAAAGAAAACGACAUCCUUAGCUUUUCCACGAGCAUGACGUAAUGGUGAACGAUACUUCCAUCAUAAAUUUCAAAACAAUCCACAUGCCAGUAUACUAUCAAAAAUUUAAAUUUUUCAAGAAUUCGCACGUAAUCGAAUAAACUCCCAAUGUCAACUGAUUCUAUCAUCAUUACCAUACAAUAAUGCAACCAGACAAGUCCACUCUCAUAAUUAUUGCAAGAUUAUGAUAUUUAAAUAUGAAGAAGAAAAAUGCAACAGAGAUGAAGUGUCACCUAUUUUUGAAUAGCGAACGGAGAUAAACGGGCUUAACGAUGUAACUUCUACCACCUAGACUCGAUUCCCAUCAAUGAAAUUUUGAACAGGCCUUCAAAUUUUGAUUCUUUUUUUUUGGAUGUUCUUCGAGAAUUUUUGAUUAAGUGAGAUUAGAAGCAUGCGCCUCCCAAAUCACCUCCGUAUUGCGUUGCAGACCUUAAAAAAGAAGUGGUAGGGUUUUCAAAUUUCAAAAUGUGAAUUUGGUUGAAUUUUUGAGAUGUUUUUUGAAUUCCACUUAAACUGAAUUUCUGUGAGAGAGGUGAAGAAAAGACUUGGGGGUUACUUCUUUGCCCGAAAUAGACUGAAAAAGAUGAAAGCCCUCUGAAUUUUAGCCAUGAAUGACUGUACGAGAGGGCAAAAUCAUAAAUGAGGGGUCUGGGUUUUUUCCCGUUGUUGGCUGUCGUUACUCUGUUACACGACGUUGGCACAGCUGUUGUGUGCGUUUGAUGUUGUUCGAUGCUGUUGUGAUAACGUUGCUGUUACAGUGUGAUAUCGCUGGGUUGUUGUUGUUGCUGUUACACUGUUGUUCUUGUUUGGAAGCUGUUAACGUUGUACGCUGUUUCUGGUUGUCGGUGGAUUUCUGUAUGUUAGAAAAGAGGAUUAAAAGGUGGGCUUGAGUGGACAAAUUCAGGUUGUUUUGGGCUGGUACAAUUGUUAUUGAAUUGGGCCUUGCUGUGGGGGCUGGGUUGUGGGUUGAUUUAGGUUGGGCUGAGGUGGAAGAUUAAAAUGGGUAAAUUGGUGGCCUAUAAAAAAUGGAAAAGGGCUGAGUGGAGGGUUUUUGGGGUAUUUUCAAUUGUAAAAAUUAGUCAAUUUUAAUUUAAAAUCUAGCUAAAUUGAAAAUUAAUCUAUCAGUUGUAUUACAAUUGUGGUCUAAUUAAUUUCAAUUACGUCCAAAUUCAGUGAAUCGACUAAAUCGAAUCAAAAUUCGAAAUAAAUUAACAAUUAAUUUAAUCCCGAGUUUCUUGAUUUAAUAAAAUCAAACAAAUAUUUUUCAAAAUAAAUUAUUUUUGAGACUAAAUUAUAUUCGAAUCAAAAUUUUAACCAUUUGAAUUAGUUUUUAAGAUAACCCUUGAUUAAAAUGUAAUUUUUGUAAAAUAAUUAUUUAUAUAACGAAAUUAUACAAUCUCGUAUAUAUGGAUACAAAAACAUAUAAUCGUUACUUAAGACGACCAAAUUACCUAUAUAAAUACUUGAGGGAAUUUUUAUUCGGAUCAAAUAAAUGUUGUAAUUUUAUUUAAAAGCGACGAAAUUUAGGGCUAAACUUGGUAGUGAAGAGCAAAAAUUAGGUGUCAACAUUUUUCAUUAUAAAGAACCACUUAAGAACCCUUCAAGAAUUCUUUCUUCUCUCUCCAUUUUUAUUGUACUUACUUUAUAUUUCAUAACAGUGGUAAUACUUUUCUUGAAUUGUAAAGAAUGUCUUAAAAUUAUUUUAUAAGCUUAAUUUAAUAUAGCGAGUAAAAUUGAUUUUUUUAAAAGUAUAGAUAAAUCUCAUAAUUAUUCUUUUUGAAUAGUAAGUUUAAACUCAUGUUUUUUUUAAUUAAAAAUGAGCUUAAGGUAUAAAGUUAAUUAGUAUAUAAAAUAUAAUUAAAAUUUUCCUGAAAAAUGAUAUUAAUAUUUGUGAUAUUUAUAAAAAUUAAUGUAUUGUAUAAAUUCAAAUAGUUAUUUAAGUUAUGUAUAUAAUGUUAAUUUAGUAUAUUAACUUUAUUAAAUUAAACAAAUGCAUUAAUUAAGAAUGUCAAAUAAGUAUGUAGAAAAAUACUACACUUUUUUCUCUGUUUUUAAAUACUUGUCAUGCUAAUUAAAAAUAGAUGUAUUCCAUAAAAUUUGUAUUUUUUAUUAAAAAUAUAUAUUUUAUAAUGUUCUUGUCAUUUUAAAAAAUCAAAAGGUAUAAUUUUACAAGUAUUUAUUUUCAUCUUUAUUUGUAGUCAUAAAUAUGAAGAUACAUUAUUAAUUUAGUGUAAAAGAAUUAAGUAUUAAAUUGAGAGAAGUAAUAAAUAGAUAAAGCUAAAUUAAUCUGAUUAGUCUCCACUUAAUAUUUUUCCUAAGAGGGUGCAAACUAAUGCGAUGAAGUAUUUAGGAACGAGAUGGUCUUACUUUCUGAUCCAUGUCCGACAAAUAAUUUCUAUAAUGCAAAUUUUGGGGAAUCUUUUAUAUAUUUGGAUAUGCAAUUCUGAUUUUUCUUUAAAAAGUAAUGACGAAUUCUCAAGGAAACUCAAAGUGGAAAAAUGGACAUUGUAGUUAUAGUUUUGUAUGUUUAAUAUAUUUUACCAUGACAACUGAAGCAGUGGUCACAAGAAAGAGAUGAAACGAUAUGAGACGUUAAGAUCUGUUGAAGAUUAUCAUCGUUGGGGUACUAGCGACUCGACAAGCAUUGAAAAGUGCGUUACAAAAUGGCUGGUCAAAGAUUUAGUGGGCGUUUGACCAUGAAAAUUAAAAUUUUUGAUGUUAAGAGUUGAAGUUGUGUUUGUCCAUGAAUAUAAUUGGAGUUAUUUUUAAAUUUUUGUGAGAGAAAGAAGAUGAAAAAAAGUGAAAACAAUUUUUUUUUGUUUUUCACUUUUUCAAAUACAAUUUCAAGUUUUAUUUGAAAUUCUCAUUGCCAAACAUCAACUUGAGGUUGCAUUUUUCAUAAAGAAAUUUUUUUUUUUUCGAAAAAAUAAAAAAAUUCUCAUGGCCAAAUGAGCUGUUAUAUAGGACGCACAAAAUAUGGUGCAAGUGCUACGAAAAAUGACAAUGUCCUAAAAAUUACAUAUUACUUGUGAAAAUAUACGGAGAUUGGUUAAUUCUUUUGUGGAGAUUAACUCGCUUGGAACGUGCUAGCUUGUAAUAUAGCUCAAUUCUCUCUUUUGAUUUCACAUGGAAUUUCUUGCGAAUCUGAUUUCCCGUCAUGUUACUAAAAGUUUUAUCCAAAAAAGUUAAUAACCUUGUCUAACCAUAAUCAACUUCAAAAGAUAUUCACUUUACAAGUUUAAAAGAUUCACGACCAUAUAAUAAAUGUAUAUCACAUUGUAUAUCAUGUAUAUUAGUGUUUAAAAUGAAACUGAGAUUUGAAUCAAUAUACAAGCAUACAUAUAGAUCAAUGUAGCUUGAAGACUAAAAGGUUCAACUUUACAUUACUCAAUACCAUCUCAUUCUAAUAUUGAUUAAACUAAUCAAUAUGAAGUCAAUAUUGCACCAACUCUCUUAGUCUGGAAGAACACUUGGACAUAUACUAAUUAGUAUUACUUAUGAAUAAACUAUUUAUGACUAUUGAAAUGAAUUGGGAUUAAUUAUAUGACUUUUUUUAUAUUCGUGUUCAUUUCAAUUUAGACCCUUUCUCUCAUUGUAAAUUGUUUUACCUAAAUAUGUAACGUUUUUAAGAGAUUUUAGGUUUUGUGGAGUAACUAACUUCUAUAUUUCUAAUCUCCAUCUUUUUUCAAUGAAUUUUCUCGGGUCCAUCUUUUUUGAUAACUUUUCAUAUGUCACACUUACACAAAAAAGGGCAUCUAAUAGUCUAUAUUACACACGACCAAAUUAUCUUAGGCAAGUUCUUUCAUUUUAAUUGUUUAAGUUCAUUCUUUGUACACAAACAAUUCCUAACAUAUUCUGCCAGAAUCUUCACAAAUUAUAUCCCCAAUAAAGAUAUAUGUUGAUAUGCCCUUUUCUACACUACUGUAUAAGUAUAUAUGUUUGAUUAUGUGGGAUUUCAUGAACCAAAACAUCAAUAUCUUUAUAGAAGUUGAUUAUGUUUUUUUUUGUACUAGUGUUCACUUUUACAACUUUAUCAAAAUUGAUUUUGCAAUUAUUUCCUUAUGAUUCCUAUUUUAUCAGUAAAAUAGCAUUUCAUUUAGUUUAUGCCACUUAAUUUAUUAAAAUACAUAAAAAAUGAUAUCUAGACAUAAUAACAUUGGAUCACACCCCUUGACAAAGACAUUUCUUUAACGGGGUGAAAAAGAUGCAUCUAUACACUAGGAAAAGGUUUCAAGGUUGAUCCUCUACAUUAUGUAACUGGACUAUUUAUUUUUUAUUUUAACAAAUUAAUUUAAAAACAAGUGAACUAGACACUUGGACAUUUGAAAAUAAACAUAUCUUGCUAAGAAAUAUCAUUUUUACUUGUUAGGAUAAUUACACUUGUAUUAAAGGGCAGCUCGGUGCACUAAAGCUGCCGCUAUGCGCGUGUUCGGGAAAGGGUCCCAUCACAAGGGUGUAUUGUACGCAACGUUACCUUGCAUUUCUGCUAGAGGCUAUUUCUAAGGUUUGAAUUCGUGACCUCCUGAUCACAUGACAAUAACUUUACCAGUUACUCCAAGGCUGCCCUUCGAUAAUGACACUUGUAUACAACAACUAAUAACAAUAAGGAUAUUCUUGUUCAAAGAUUUAAGACUUUUCAUGAACUGAAGCUUAAAAGAAAUUGAUAUCUUAUAGCCACUUCUAACUUCACUUUCGAAAGAUGUAUCCCCUCAAAAUACUAUAUGCAUCCAGUGGUCCAAAUACACACGAAAAUGCAACGCUCUGUUUUAAAAAAUGGAAGAGGGUGAACUGAAUUUAGUUAUUGAAGACUUGCAAAUCGAGUAUCAAUUUAUAAAUUUCAAAGUAAACAAUUAUUAGAAGUUUUAUCCAAAAAAGUUUAUGAAUCUUGUAUCUAAACAAAAUCGACUUCAAAAGAUUUUCAAUAUCACGAGAUCGGAANNNNNNNNNNNNNNNNNNNNNNNNNCAUGUUGUAUAUCAACAUAUAAAAUUGAGAUAAUACAUAAAUAUGACCAUAAACUUGACAUCAAAUUAUAACUUUAACCUUAAACUUUGACAGUGCACAAAUAUGACCUUCGAUCCUAUGUAGCAAAACGCGUAUUCAACACGCAAAACUGGGCGUGUCCAGCUUAAAAUCUAAGGGAAUAAUACAUAAAUAUGAUCUUAAACUUUGACAGUGCACAAAUAUGACCUUCGAUCCUAUGUAGCAAAACGCGUAUUCAACACGCAAAACUGGGCGUGUCCAGCUUAAAAUCUAAGGGAAUAAUACAUAAAUAUGAUCUUAAACUUUGACAGUGCACAAAUAUGACCUUCGAUCCUAUGUAGCAAAACGCGUAUUCAACACGCAAAACUGGGCGUGUCCAGCUUAAAAUCUAAGGGAAUAAUACAUAAAUAUGAUCUUAAACUUUGACAGUGCACAAAUAUGACCUUCGAUCCUAUGUAGCAAAACGCGUAUUCAACACGCAAAACUGGGCGUGUCCAGCUUAAAAUCUAAGGGAAUAAUACAUAAAUAUGAUCUUAAACUUUGACAGUGCACAAAUAUGACCUUCGAUCCUAUGUAGCAAAACGCGUAUUCAACACGCAAAACUGGGCGUGUCCAGCUUAAAAUCUAAGGGAAUAAUACAUAAAUAUGAUCUUAAACUUUGACAGUGCACAAAUAUGACCUUCGAUCCUAUGUAGCAAAACGCGUAUUCAACACGCAAAACUGGGCGUGUCCAGCUUAAAAUCUAAGGGAAUAAUACAUAAAUAUGAUCUUAAACUUUGACAGUGCACAAAUAUGACCUCCCUCCAAGUCAGCCCUUUUAACGAUGUGACACCGUGUGAUUGGAUUACCUUUUCACGUAGGUGCGAGUGAAACUCACGCAUGUGAUUGCAAAAUCGUAGGUCAUAUUUGUUCAGAUUUUGAAUAGUUAAAGGUCCUAUUUGUGCACUAUCAAAGUUUAAGGUCAAAGUUAUAAUUUGGUGUCAAGUUUAGGGUCAUAUUUAUGUAUUAUCUCUAUAAAAUUGCAUUGAUAUUUUCACUGAUAUACAUAUAUACAUAAGACAAGCCGAUAUACAUGAAUUUAUAUGGUGAUAUACAUGAAGGAAUAUAUGUAUGGAGUCUUGUAAAACAACUCACUUUAGAAUGAUUUAAAUUUAAAAGGAGUUAAUCAUUCAAUUCACUUGAUAAUAUUAUUAGAAUACAAUCUCAGUCUACACAUAUUUUUUAGAAAAUAAUUAUUUUCUGCUGAUGUAAUUAUAUUUUUGCAUGCUACAAAAUAAAUAAUUAAUUUACGCCCCAUGAGGUUAUGUCAAUUAAUUGAUUUAAUGUGACGAUUAAAUAAAAAUACUUUUUACUUGAAUUAUAUUAAAAGGUGUAAAGACCUAUUGCAAUUAGUCUUUAAAUUGUGUCACAAUCUUAGUCCACACCCUGAACGAGAUAUGGUCCUUAGAACCACAAGUAAUCCUGAGCCAACUCUUGGCAUAACUUAUCUAAAUAUAAUAUGAAAAAAACUAAAGCGAACACUGUAAAUUAAAAGAUAUGAAAAUAAAUUUCAAAGAUAAAUCUAUUACAACUAAAUACACUACUUAUGUCUGAAAGCUUCUACUAAAAGAAUGAAUUGUUGGAACAAAUCCCCAACUAACUCAAAUAUUAGAAUACUAGAAAGACUGAAAUAAGAAGACAAAACGACUAAGAUAAGUCCCCGAAUAACGAGGACUCACCAACUGUUAAACUAUGAAAUGCCACUCUCCACAAGCCUGAGAACGAUUGCUCGUAUCUACAUCAAAUGAAAAAUAUAGAUAAAAGAGGUACGUGAUCAUUACGUUUGAAUGUAUUGAGUAUAAAGGAAUGGCUAAAUAAUUGAAAUCAUAUAAAUGACAUAAAUAGAUAAAAGAGCCACAAAUGACACAUUUAUAAAUGUAAACAUAAAAUAAUAAUAAUAAUAAUAAUAAUAAUAAUAAUAAUAAUCAACUAUGCAUAAGUUUAACUAAAACCAUGAUAAAAGCUUUAUGAGAAAUACAUAUCUGAAAUCGUAUUAUGAAGAGUCAUAAAAUGAUCAUAUCAAAGGAUGUCAAAGCAAAGCAAAUACUUUUAGGGGGUGAAAAUCUAAAGAAAAUUAUAAUAUCUAAAAUUUGAGUAAAAGUUCAUUUAGAGAUAAAGUAAUGAAGUCAUACAUUUGUAAUAACUAAAAUUGAAUCCUAUAUGAAUUUAAAUAUCUGAAGGAUGCAUAUAUGAAAUCAUGUUAUCUAAAGUUAUUUCAUAUUCAUAUUCAAUGAAGUAAAAAAAUAAAGAAAAUAUUAUAGGUGAGAGUUUUUUUAUAACCAAACAUCACUUGAGCUAGUAUGUUUAACGUCUAACUCAGUUGGGAGGACUGACCCAUACUUUAUCAAGAUAUAGGACCUAUCUAUCUAUAUAUGGAUUCACUAAUCUGAGCCUUUUAGGGCUAAAUGAUCAACUGAAAUUGCAGAAUCCUAUGGUGGCACGUAUUUAUGAAACUUGAGCUAUCUAGAAUCCUCAUUCACUCGGCGCUAAAUACUACUCCCAAAACUAUUUUAUAAUCAUAUACUCAAUAAUAAUUUAAAAAUCAACGUCGAUCUAUUGUAAAUAUCAAAAUUUUAUAAAAAAUUAUAUCUUGAAACUAUCAUAAACUUUACCCUUCCAUGGGCUUAAUCUAUCUUCUUGAAUAUCCAUAAUAACAUAAACGUUCUAAAAUAUUGCUUUAAAAUAUAAGCUUUAACAAAAAUAUUCAUGAUCAUAUCAGAAAUUAAAAGGGCAAUAAGAACCUUGCUAAGUAUAACAAGAAAAUACAAUAGUCAUAAAAUUCAUAAACAUGAUUAAAGACUUCAAGAAAUCAUAUAAUUGUACCAUAAAUGGUAAAUUUGGAAGUAGGUUUAUAAACCUUAACUAUGAAAUUAAAUUCAUGAAAAUUGAAGAGUUUUGGAUAGAGGAUAAAAUAAAACCCUCAUUUAAGUCUUGCAUACCGUAAUUACUUUUCAAGAAGUCGAGGAACCCUAAAGUGAUGAAAUUUUUAAAAAUUUAGUUCUUGGAGGCAUAAUUAAAUUUUUAUUGAAAAUCCUAGGUUAUGGUAUAUGAUUUCAUUAAUAAUUAAGAAAAAGAAUGAUUAAAAUACUAAAUAUUUCUUAGAUUUGCGUAGGAGUAACUUACCUUUGAGUUGAAGGAUGAGGAAAGAAGAAAAAUUGAGGCUGAUGGAAAAUAGAAAGUAAGUGAACAAAGUUAAAAAAAUAAUCUUUUAAUGAAUCAUGUCAGUCAUUCUGGCGAUGUAGAGGUGGGCGGUUCGCCAAAGUGCAGCCUAAGAUCACCAAAAUGAACAGUUUCUGAAGGUUUUUGAACGAGUUUGACGAGCUAGUUUGGCCCAUUACCAAACUAUUCCGCGAUUUAUCAAAUUUUUCUCAACACUGACAUAUUUUAAUAAAAUAACUAUAAAUUUCUACUCCAGAAUUAAAUUGAUGAAUGGUUGAUGGCAUUGGAAAGAAGGCCCAAAGAAUUUUAAUUUUGUGGGUCUUGAGCUAUAAAACUUUAUACUAUGAGUUAUGUUUGUUUAAAUUUGAUCCUAGUAAAAUCUUAUAUGAAAACUUAAUCGGUAAAAAAACUUUCAACUCAACUUUGAGCUAGAAGUUCUUUAUGACCUUAUUCAUAAUCAAAUCUCUUCACACACUAAAGGAUUGAUCUUCACACCUAUCUAUAAGUAUAAAUUAUUAGAUUUAAGACUAUACACAUACGAAGAAUGGUUGGAAUCUAAGCUUAGAAUUCUUGAGAUGUUAUAAUAUUUCCCUCUUUGGACCCUUCAUCCUCGAAUGAAGGUCAAAGAUAGAGUGAACAUAUAGAUGGAGUAACUCAAGAUUUCUUUGUGAUAUCUAUGCUACAUAUACUAGUAUGGAUUAAACUGUAUUAACAACAAGGUUUUUUCAAUCAAUACUAAGAAAUAUGAAAGCAUAAUCAACGAGUGCAAAAGACUAGCAUAGGCAUGAAGACUCAUAAAAAACAUGAAUAAACCGGACAAGAAUCAAGAAUAAGACUACUUUCAUCUUAAGCGGUAUGCUUGGUAUUGUUUAAGCGUAGAAACACUUUCAACUAUACUCUUCUAUCUUAUUAUUACACUUCAUUAAUUUGUACUUACGAGUCCUAUGUGAACACAUGACUACUAGAUCUUAAGUCUUACAUCAAGUUAAUUCCUGUUCAAGCCUAACUCGAUGGUAUAAGGUACUAAAUAUAAAAUUCCGUCUAAUUACAAUCCAUUAGCAUAUCCUCCUUUAAUACAUUACUACUACUUAUAAAAUUAUAUUCAUAGCUGUAUAAGCAUCAAGAAAGUUCCUUUUCACAAUCACAAAAGGCAGCCUAUAUUUAUCAAUUCUUAACCACCUUAUACUUUCACUAAUGACCUAUACUUUUCUAACAUAGUGACACAUUAUCAAGAAUUUCUCACCUAGUUCAAGAAUUCUCUAAGUCACCUUAACUAAUAAUUCCUUAUAUACCUUCCAUCAUGAAAUUUACAUCACACUUAUUACCCCUUAGUUAAUAUCUAAAGACACAUAACUUUAAUUCUAAUUUAAUAGAGUAUUGUGAUCCAUCUAUAUACUUUAAUCAAUUUCUAUCCUUUCUUUUCUAGUCACUACACUUCUAAUAUAUAUCCCCAACUCUAAAAUUAUUCUACUAUUUAUGGCUCAUAACACCCUAAGGCACACUGUCUCUCGAAUAACAACUCUAUCCAAUGAUCUAGGUAUAUACUCUCUAUUUUUAUGGGUAAUAUUUAUAAUCAAGAGCUAAAGAUGAAUCUAAAUACAUAUCAUAUUCUAUUUUAAAAACAUGAUUCAUAUGGAUAAGAAUAUAGGCUUUCGAAACUAGAACAUAAUAGUAGGGUUCUUUUAAAACUCUUUGUAUGAUUUUUAAGGUGUUUGAUAGUUUUAUCUGAGAGCACCAUAUUAGUAGGAAUUAAGCUUUACUACUUCUAUUAAAUUAAAAAUGAGGCAUAGUUGGAGAAAAUUGAAAUAAUGCUUGAAUCUGCAUAAGUUUCUAUAUGAAAGAAGGAAAUAUUUCUUAAAUACCAUAUAGACUCCUAAUUAUAAAUGUGGUUCACAACACACCUAUAAAUAAGACGCUACCAUACAUGACUUUUUAGAUACCCUAGGACUCUUAAACUCUGUACUCUGAUACCAAGUUUGUCACAACUCGUGUUUAUACCCUAGAUAAUACAUGGUCCUUAGAACCAUAAGUGAACCUAAGCUGGCCGUUGGUAUAGCAUAUCUAAGCAUAAUAUGGAAAAAACUAAUUGAAAAGCUAUAAACAAAAAUCAUACUGAAAUAAAUUUUGAAGAUAAAUCUAUUUCAACUGAAUCCACUAACUAUGUCUGAAAGCCUCUAUUAAAAAAAUGAGUUAUUGGAACAAGCCUCUAACUAACUCAAAUACUAAAAUACCAGAAAAAUUAAAAUAAGAAAACAAAAUGACUAUGCUAUGUCCCUGAAUGAGGGCUCACCAACUACUGAACUAUGAAAUACUACUCUCGAGCCAUAAACCUGAGAAUGAUCGCUCGUAUCUAUAUCAUUGAAAAAUUUAGUCAGAAGAGGUAUAUGAUCAAUAUAUUUGAAUGCACUAAGUAUGAAAAGAUAAGAUUAGAUAACUAAAAUCAUAUAUGUGACAUAAAUAGAGAAAAAAAAAAUAGAAAUAGGAUUUUCAUUAACAUAAUAACUAUCAACUAUGAGUAACUUUAUCUAAAAUCGUGAGAAAAGCUUUUUGAGAAAUUAUAACAACCAUUUUUGUCGUUACAGUAAGUAUAGAGUGCCAAAAUUUAGGUUAGGAUUUUUUUCAAAUUAAGAGUUAGGAAUUUCAGAUUAGGCUAGUCUUAGAUAAAGUUUGAACGUGGUAUAGUCUGAGGUAAUUUGAGAAUGACUAGUUAAAGGUUAAAUUCUUUGAGAUGAUUGAUAACUAAGAUGAUAAGAAAUUUAUAAAAAAUUUUGAAAGUGAUUUAGGUUAGUAGAACUCGUGAUUUCAAAUUUGAUGUAUAAAGGUUGAUGCGGGAUGUCACAAUCUGGGGGUGUGUUGUAGAAUUAAAAAAACUGAGAAAAAUUCUGAGUUUCUACCUUGCCUACCUCACUAUAGUAGGUAGUAGGAUGCUAUCACUGCACAACUAUAGUGGGGUUCAACUUUGGUCAAUUCUUCCAUAGUGGGCGGAUCCCGCUAUAGCGGGAUAUGUUGUGAUUAAUGCAGAAAAUAACCCAAAAAUAUUAUUUUCAUUCCAUAUCUAUUUAAGGGAUAGGAGAGAUGAUUUUAGGCAAUUUCAACCUAAUUUUCAUCAAUUUAUUUCGUUAAGGUAAGUUAAUCCAUUCUAUUAACUAGUUUUUGAAUGAUUAAUCCUUAAAAUCACUAGUUUUUGAGUUUUGGAAAGGAUUUAACUUGAUCUAGGUGAAUUUUUUGGUGUAAUUAGGUGAAUUGGGUGGAGAAGCCUUGGGUUUUGGUUAUUGUUAAUUUACAAUUACAUGCUUAGAAUUACUAUUAUAUUCAUGAAAUUGGUAGAGUUAAGGUUUAAUGAUGGUAGAAAAUCCUAGAAUAAGAGGAAUGAUCAUGAAUUUGACCUUGAAAUUAUGGAAUUAGAUUGUAAUCCUUGAAUAUACUAGGUCAUUAUCUAAAUUGUGAUCACAUUAUUUUUUUUAGAUCAGAACAAAACAGAAAUUGCACGAAAAGACAAGUCUCAAGCUCAUUAGAGUGGUGCAUGCUUGGAUUAAGGUAGGUGAUGAUUUGAUAUAGUUGAAAUACAACUUGAUUUUUGUGUGCAUGUUUACUAUUUCUUCGUAUACUUGUCACAAUGCAUGUUAAAAAAGUAAUACUUUGAAUGAUAUCCUAAAUCUUAAUCAUAUCUAAUGAGGUUGUAUUAAAGACUUAUUUAUUGUACAAAUGUGUCACGAUCCAAUUUAUCAAGUUAUAAUGGAGCCUAACUUAUCCCACCAAUAGGCAAGCCAAGCCAUAGCCUAGAAUAAUAGGUCAUGGGCUAAUAGGCAGAAACCAAAAAAAGAUCGCAUACAAAGAUAACAAUUGUAAUAUUAAGUGAUAAACAGAAAGGAAACAUAUAUAAUAUAUCAACAUGAGAUAAGGAAAAAAGUACCCAAGAUACAAAGAAUCCCUCCUGAGACCUGGUAAGGUUGGCACUAGAGACACUACUAAUAGAUAUCUAGAGUACUAGACAAAAUACAAAAUAUUCGUAACAUAUACAAGCUAUCUCGAGUACAAAAAACUGAACUAGAAUAGAUAGAGAAGGAUCAGCCUCGAGCGAUAGUACACUCACCCUUCUCUGAAUUAGUACUGAAAUGUUAUGACCCGAACUAAGGACUAGCCAUGAUAGGUACUCACGUCCAUCGAGGAUCGAAUACCACCCUCCUUUUCUAGUUAAACAAAACAUAUACCUACUAUAACAGCAGAAGCAAUCCAAAUAGAAAUAUGUGUAAGAAACUAGAGAAACCAUAACAAGAUUCUAAAACUUCAGCAACAUCCCAAUCCACAGUAAUUCACAAAAUCCUCUAACAAAACCAACAUCAACCUAAGUUGAGAUAUGACCCCAAUGAUAGCCAAAAGAAUCUAUGAGAAAUAGUCUAAGACAUAAGCUAAACCAAGAAACAACAGGCCUUACGGAAGAAGGAUGCUCACCACUUCAAGUUGACUCACGAACAACUCUGAAAUCACCUAUUACUGCGUAUGAAAAGUAGAAGUAUCUCUGUUCCCUGCAUCACAUAGAAAUACAACAUUCGGAGAUGGUUAGUGGGGUAAAUGCUAGCAUGUAACUCAGGGAGGGGAUAAAGUAAUGAUAUGAUCAAAGCAUUUCAAAAUCACUCAAAUCCAACGCCCACAAUCAUAUACAUAUAUAUAACAUGCAGGAUAAAGAACAGAGCUUAAUAUAUGAGUAAAACAUUAGUCUGGACUACGUAGCUUGGCCGUCAUAAAAACACCCACGAGCUAUAUAGGUUCGACUUCCCCCACCGGUAUGUGCGUAUUAGCCACACAAACCAGAGUGUCAAGGAAGGUCGGGGAAUUCAUGACCCUUCGCCUAUCCUUGACAAAAGUAUAUAUCAAGCAUGACACAGGUACCCAGUCGUCAAGACUAAUCCUCCACCGACAACAAUGAAUUUCCAGUAUUAGUUCCUCGGGACCUCCACCUUUACGACCUAGCUACACAACCCCCUUUAAGCCCAAUUAAAAUAUUUACACGUUCCCAUUCAUUGAACUAUAAUCAUUCACUUAGGCAUAUAUUAUUGGUAUCUUCAUACCAAUUACACUUACAAAAUAUUAUCAUUAUACCAUAUUCAAAUAUCAUCGCUAGGAGGAAUCCACGAUCCCACAAGCUCCAAUCAUUUAUCCACAUGAGGGAAUCCACAACCCCCUAGAUUCAAUUAUUCAUUAGCUUAGGGGAAUCCACGACCUACAAGGUUCAAUUUUAAAAAUCAAUUCAUGUUCCAUUAGCCUCUUAUUCCAUGCAAUGGUUCCAAAAAUAGUUCAAUGUGAAUAUUCUCAUGUUCAAAGUCAAUUUGAUAAGAUAGGGUUGAGGUUAUACCAAUCCCAAUAUCAAAAUCAUCAUCUUAGGGGAAUCCACAACCCCAUUCCAAUUAACCAUCCAUGCACCACAAUUAAGGUAAAACUAUCAGUUUAAACCAUGAAUGAUUCAUAAAAUCCAUGGAAAAGUAAUUUCAUCAAUAAAGCACAAAAUCCCUUAACCCACAUUCAAAAUUCAAUAAUUUAAUCACAUGGAUAAUAAUUAUAAAUACAUGAUUUUAAUAAAAUAUGCUUUGGGAAAGAUUAACAUUCCUGGAAGUAUCAAGAAUUUGGAGAAGAAACCUUAAAUUGACCCCAAGAUGCUCAACCUUAAGAAACCCUAGCUUAUUCUUGCUUGGAGAGUUUGAGAGUGGUUAAAAGUAGUUAAUGAUUUGAUAAAGAAUGAAAAUAACCCUCUUUAGGUGUUUUAUGGUUGUGGGUAUUAAGUGGGGAAAGAGGGAAAUGAUAAGAAAGUCCUCACCUAAAAGAGCAAAAAAAGAUGCUCUAUCGUCAAGGGUCACGUCACAACUCGUGAUGACACCUUAUGAGUCGUCAUCACGACUAGUAGUGUAACCAAAAUAUCUAUGCACCUACACUAUUCUGACUAUGAGUCAUACUCCAUGACUCAUACUCAGACAUAACGACACGUUAGGUGCCACUUGUGAUCAGGACAGAAAUAUUGGGUACUAAAUUGGGUUUUCUACGAAUGACACCAUACGACUCAUGUAGAGUCCUUAUGACUCGUGACAUCCUAUUCAUAGUCACAACAUAAAAUUUAGGCUAUUACAUUGGUCAGUCUACGAUUAGGGUCUUAAUACCCGUAAGGAGACCUUACGACUCGUAGGGUUAGUCAUAGUCAGCGCAGUGAGUUCAAAAACUCAGAAAUUUCAAAGGCAAAAAUCUGGGGUGUUACAUUCUCACCCCUAGGAUCAUUCAUUCCCGAAUGAUGAGUCAAAGCAUCCAUUAGAAUGAUUUUAAGAUAAAAACACAACCAAAAUUGUGUUAAUAAAGUUAGAAAAUAAAGAGAGUAAGAAAAUGCGUACCUCAAGCGCGAUUAUCCAAGUUGGAUAAGUAGAAUGGAUACUUGGACUUAUAUUCUUUUCAGUUCCUCUAUAGAACCUGUACCAAAGCCACAUCCUAUGUCCUUAAAUGAUGGACUUGCCUAUCCAAAAUCUUAAUUGAAACUUCCUCAUAAGAUAAGAAAUUUGACACGCCAACACUCUCCAAUGCAAUAAUCAAGGAAGGAUUGCCUAUGCACUUCUUAACAUCGAGACGUGGAAAUAAAAUGAACAGAACCCAAACUCAAAGACAACUCCAAAUUGUAUGCAACGUUGCCCACUUUCUUCAAAAUCAAGUACGAGCCAACAUAACAGGGACCGAGCUUCCCAUUCUUCCCAAAUCUUAUUAAUCCUUUCACGGAAUACACCUUAAAGAAUACCUAAUCACCAUAUCAAACUCCAAAUCUCUUUACCUCAUAUCUGCAUAGGACUUUUGACGAAUCUGAGUAGUCUUAAUCCUUUCUCUGAUUACCUUUACCUUCUCCAUGGCCCGAUGAACCAAUUCAUAACCAAAUAAUCUAGCCUUACCAACAUCAAACCACCAAAUAGGAGAUCUACAUCUUCUACCAUAAAGAGCCUCAAAUAGAGCCACUUGAAUACUAAAAUAAUUGAUAUUGUUCUAAGAAAACUCAAUGAGAGGCAAAUGAUCAACCCAACUACCACAAAAAUUAAUCAUGCAAGCCCUUAUCAUAUCCUUCAAGGUCUGAAUAGUCUGCUUUGCUUGUCAGUCUAUCUGAGGGUGGAAAAUGGUGCUAAGGUUCACUUUAGUCCCCAAACCUUUUUGAAAUAAAUGGUAGAUGUGAGAUGAGAACUGCGUACCUCAGUCAGAUAAAAAUGAAACUGGAGCACCAUGCAACUUGACAACAUCCUGAAUGAACCACAUAGCAUAAUUUUCCUAAGAGUAGUUAGUCCGUACUGGCAAAAAGUGAGACCUUAAAUUAACCCCUAGAUGCUCAACCUUGAGAAACCAAAACUUGUUCUUUCUUAGAUAGUUUGAGAGUGGUUGAGAGUAGUUUAUGAUUUGAUAAAGAAUAAAAAUAACCCUCUUUAGGUGUUUUAUGAUUUGAUAAAGAGUAAAAAUAACCCUCUUUAGGUGUUUUAUAGUCGUGGGUCUUAAGUGGAGAAAGAGGGAAAUGAUAAGAUUGCCCUCACUUAAUAAUGUAGAAAAAGACAGCUAGUCAUCACAGGUCAUAUCAUGACUCGUGAUGACACCUUACGAGUCCUCACCACAACUCGUAGCAUAAUCAGAAUCUAAGAGCACCCAUACUGGUCUAACUAUAAGUCGUACCCCACGACUUAUUAUAAUAACCUGCAAGAUCCUAGAUAAGUUUUUAGCUAUUCAUCACAUGUUUAAAAGUCUAAAAGCCAUUAUUUCACACUAAGUACAGGUGACAUAGAUAUUUUAACAGCCCAAGAUUUCAAAAAUUUUAUUUUUGGCCUUCCCAAGUUGAUACAUUGAUUUAUGAGUUGAAAUAUGUUUAGGAAUGUUAAAAGGGUCAUCUGGAAGAGUUUCAAAAUUUUUAAAGGAGGUUUGGAGUAGUCUUAGACCACGAAGGUAGUAAACCUUCUCAAUUUCAAUGUGUCAUGAAGGAUAGUCUCCAUAAUACACAACAUGUCGCAGAGAUUAGCCUUCGUGAUAUGCAGCAUGUCAUGGAGGUUGGCCUUAGUAAUAGACGGCGUGCCACGGAGGCUGUGUAAAUUUGGGCAGUUUUCUUAAAGUAAAAAGGGGAAUUUUAGUCCUUUUCCCCUCUCCCUAAAUACUUAAUUCAUGACUCAAAACCUAAGAGGGGAAUUAUUGUCCCCAUUAUUCAUUCAGUUAAUGAUACUCUAUCUCCUCCUAUUCUCAAGAAUAGAAAAAUCAAAUGUUUCUUCCAAGAAUUCACCCAUUUAAGGUCUCAAUUUCAAGUUUUCUUCAAAAAUUCAAGCGACUCAGGUAUGUGGGGUAUUCAUCAAUGGGUUCCUUCCACCCGUUGAGUCCCAAGAAUCCCUUGUUUUUCAAGUAUAAACCUUUUUUCUCCUUUUAUGAAAUUUUAAUGUCAAGUAUGAAUUUACUCUUUUCUCUUAAUAGGUUUGAAUACAAACUAUGCCAAUGUAUUUCCCCAUGUGAAUUAUGUUCUUAUAUGCUUUUAAAUUCUAGUCACCCAUAUCAUAUUCAGUUGACACCAUGUUAAUUUACCAAUUUAUGAAUUGAACCAUGUACACAUGUUGUCCUCAUUAGUUUAACAUAUUCUCAUACUCAUAAUCAUUAAUUUUAUCAACUUUAUGAAAUAUAAUAUGUUUGGAUCUACAAAUCAAGAAUUUACUUACUGUAUUAUGAUGAUACUAUUAUAUUUAAUGUAUUAUUUAAUGCUAGUGGGUUAUGAAUACUUAAUACCUAUAUGUUUAUGCAUGUUUUUGAUUUCAAGCAACAAGUCAGUUAGAUCAUGAUUUUACCACCAUAUUCAGAUUAUCAUAUUUAUGUUGAGCAAUUUUUAGUUGUGAGUCUUAUUAACUUUAAUCAGUACCAGUGUCAGUUCAGUUGGGAGUAAAAUUUAGCACCGAGAGAACCUAGGGAUAAAUGCUCACUCGCCAGUAGAGGAAUGAGACCUUUAGUAGAAACCCCUAAGUUCUAGAACUACAUAGCCAAUGUAGGUUAUGAGAUGCCACCCUCCAGUAGAGGACUGACACUCUCUUAGGGGUCAAACGCUAGUAGAGGACUAAGACCUAGUCCUUUGGGACAUCAGCCUUGUGGAUCUAUAUUGUUAGUCAUGUGUUGGUACCCUUGGCAAGGUAUCGAGACCCUUCCAACUGGGGUUACAGGUUGCACCCCAAUUAGCUCAGAUUGGGGCAUGUUGGUUACAUGAUAUCUACCAUAAUUUCAAUUUUUUAUUUAGAUUAUAUCAGUUUAGAUUUGCAUGACCAAGUGUUUAGUUUGACAGCUAUUCCGUCAGUUGGUUUUAAAGAUUAUAUCACUACAUGCUUUACUUGGUCUCGUAUUUAUUUUACAUGUUAAUGAAUUAAUGCUGUGUAUCCAUAUGUACUUUAGUUAGUCCUUAUCUCACGCACCAGUUUAUUCAAAGUACUGAAUGCAUACUCUCUUUUGUGCUAUGUUGUCUUAUAACAUAAGUUUAGACGCUUAGUUCCACGAUUGCCCUUAGUCAGUUCAGUGCUACUCAACUGCAGUUGUGGUCAAUCCUCAUCCAUUAAGCACAAGUUAUUUACAGUUAUUUUCAGUAUUUCCUUUAUUUUAAUUAGUCGGAGUUAGUUGGGGGUUUGUCCUAUUAACUUCUCAUGUUUUAGAGCUUUUAGAUGGUAAAAUUUGUUUUUAUUUUUUAUCAGCAGCUCAGAUAUAUUGGGUAUUGUUUCAGCAUUACACCUUGAUAGAAUUUUUAUUAGUUCAGCUUCCAUAUAUGAUGUUUUAUUAUAUUUUCAGUGCUCACAAGAGAUACUAGAUCAUGGGGUAGCUUGGGCCCACUUGUGGCCUUAAGCACCGUGUUACGACUAGGGGGUAGUCUUGGGUUGUGACAAACUUACUAUUAGAGCCUAAGUGUUUUAAUGUGUCCUAUGCCGUCUAAAAAUUGCAUUGAGUAGUCUUGUGCAUUGGUCUGAAGUGCGACACACCUAUGGGCAAGAGGCUAUGAGGCGUUUUAGGAAAGUUUUUUUUCUUUAGUAUUUAUGUUGUGACAAAGAUCAUGAGCUCUAUUAAAUUCCCUUUAUAAAUUUUCCUUCACCUAUUUACAAGAAAUGCCUCCCAGAAAACAUAACAGGAGAAAUGGGGAUCAACCUGCACCACCACUUAUUCUGGAAGACCCUCUGAACAAACAUAUUUCCUAUGCUGAAUUCAGGAUUGCUUUCAUUAUUUGGCCCAGAAGAUAGAUGGUAAGAAUAACCAGUAGGCUGUUGCCCCAGCUAAUCCAGUAGUAAUCACGACAACAUCUAGGAUUUGACACUUGGAUAAAUCCUCCAUUGUUUUUUGAUCCAAGUCUGAGGAGGAUCUGCAAGAGUUUCUUGAUGGUUUGUAGAAAGUGACAGAUAUCAUGGGUGUUACUGCUAGCGAGAGUGCUGACUUAGUUGCUUACCAAUUGCAAAGGGUGGCUUAUACUUGGUUCAAGUAGUAAAAGGAGGACAGAGGUAUUGAGGCAGGACCUAUAGAGUGGGAAGAGUUUGCUAUAGUUUUCUUAGAUAGACUUUUCGCACUGAAGUUAAGGAAGGCUAAGGUGAAGGAUUUUAUAAACCUGAAGUAGAGUAACAUGAGUAUGAAGGAGUACUAACUCAAUUUUACCUAAUUGAUGGGGUAUGCUCCUACUCUGUUAGCUGAUUCUAGAGCCAGAAUAAGAAAGUUUGUGUCUGGUGUGUUAGAUGGUGUAGUCAAGGAGUGUAGAACAACUAUAUUGAUUAAGGAGAUGGACCUUUCUAGGUUCAUGGUUUAUGCUCAGAAGAUUGAGAAGGAGAAGCUCAAAGAGAAGGAAAAGGAGAAUAAGAGAACCAGAACCGAUAGCUUCUACUUUCUCACAACAAAGGUCUGAUGGUGAGAAUCAUUCUCAGUUUCUUAAAAAAUUCUUAUCUUCAGCCCUAUCUUCAGCUAGUGAACCAGUGCCUAAGUUUUUGAAGGACAAUUAGGAUAGAGUGCUAGGCUUUAAGUCCCAGGGUAGCGUGAAUAAUAGUCGCACCAAUUCACUUUGCAGAAGAUAUGGUUAGAACCAUCAAAGAGAGUGCACGAUAGGAAGGGAUGCAUGUUUUAGAUGUGGCAACCCAGGCCAAAGAAUCAGGGAUUGCCAAGGGGUUGCCUAGAAGGGAAAGAAUUUUUGUCAAUAAGGUCAGUCCAACUUUUCAUCAGCUCUAACAGGUCACCCGACUCAGCAGGGCACCACCUCCAGUGCCACCAGUAGGCAGAGUCAGAAUUAACUUUAUGCUCUCUAUACUCGACAUAAUCAAGAGAGUUCUCCUGAUGUGGUUACAGGUGAAAUUCAAGAGGAAGGGUGAAUUGAAAAUAUUCUAUGAGUCGAUUACAGGCUCCUUAAAGUCGACUCACUUACAAAUCCGUACACUUUACAAAACAUAUUAGAUUUGAAAUAAUUAAGCAAAUAAAUAAUCGAACAUAAAGUAAAGACACAGAUAUUUAUUCUGGUUUGGAACACCAAUGUGGUGCCUAAUUUCAGUCUCCUUGGGUUUCAAUGUUUCCUUAGAUCGUUCAAAGCAAGGAUCGAGUACAAUGACGAAAAACAAGUUCUGAAGACUUAUUUUGUUCUUCAGAUCUUGUGACACAACUUCAGUUUAUGUUUCAAAGUUAACUCGAUCCUACUCUUAAUACAACAAUUAUAAACUAAAAGUUACAAAGCUUUGUGAGACUAAGAUUGAGACACUUUGAUAUUCUUCUUGAAGUUGCAUAACUCUUUUCCAUCUUUAGUCUUUUUUAUUUAUAGUCUUCGACUACUACUCUUCGUAAGGAAACCCAAGAUAUUUCUUCUCAAUCAAGGAUUUGAAUUGAUUUCUUGAUUUAGGAAUGUAUCCAUAUAAUAUGUCCAUAUCAGAUAUGUCCUUCUAUGGAUUUUACUCAUGUCCAUAUUAGAUAUGUUCGUGAUCUUUUCUUCCUUUUGUUCUUUUUAGUGAUUGAUGCUCUUCCAAGUUUGUUUUUGAUCUUUUCUUUCUUUUACUUCAUUGUGAUUGAUCUAAUCUGCUGCAUUUUUAGGACCUAGAUUUUUCUUUCGAUUGUUUUCAUUUUAAUUAAUUCUCUUAGAUUCCGCGGAUCUUGAUUUGAUGUCCUUCUAUUCAUGGAGCCAGAUUUCUUAUUUGCUUUAUUCGCUAGUCUUCCAAAAUCCUACAAAGAUCCACUCAUUAGUUUAUCAUUAUUGAAACAUAAAUUUAGGAGGCUAAUAAUCUCCCCCUUUUUGAUAAUGACAAAUGAGUGUAAACAUCAGUUGACUUUUCUGUUUGUCAUCUUGCUCCCCCUGACUUUUACACAUAUCUUGAUUAUUUGCCGACUAUCGUUUAUCCUUAGUUGACUCGCUCCUCUUGACUGGUAGGCAUUUCCUGAUUUUCUAAUUUCCUGAUGUACUUGUCUUUCUUCCUCUUUUGGCAUGAUAAAAAAAUAAAACUAUAGACAAGGAGCAGAUAUAUAUAAUCUUUUAACUAGGCAGAUCAAAUAGUAGAACAAAUAUUAUGUAACAAAUCAUCUUACAACCCAUCAACUCAAGGGACAUGAUCCUCUUUUGAAUAAAAUGCAAAAAAAGAAGUCAUCAUUGUUCACCACUUCUUGAGAAAGAAGGUCAGAGUAUUAUGCAUGUUAUGAUAGAAGGUGUCAUAUCAUUUUUCAACAUUUUUGAUGGAGGAAGAAUAGAAAUUUUGGACAGAGAUUGCUAGAUUAUCAUGGAAGGAGUAGAGUUGGGUCUUGAGAGAAUCCGUUCAGGUGAACAUCCGAGUGAACAAUUUUAUACCUUCAUGUUUGAACUCAUCAAGAGCUAGCCUAACCAUUCCUAUGUCUGUGAUGGUACUUUUCCCGAGGUCCAGAAGUUUAGUUAUUGACUCUUUCACCAGCGCAACACUAUCCUUGAUCGCCUUAAAAGGAUCCUUAAUCUCCUCUAGGUCUUUCAAAAUAGGUAUCAUAGGGUUAGAAAUAAAUUUGCUUACCUUGGGAAGUUUCAACCUUGCCUGAGUAGAAUCCUUCUUACACCAUUUAUCUUCAACCAGGAUAUACCCCAUACUUAGAAGCAUAUUGGAACCAUAAGUGGAAAUUACCUCCAAUGGGGUGUAAGCAGAUAGAUUAAUAGAGUAAUACUGAAGAAUUCGAGUAAUGAGCAAGCCAUACUGUAAACUAGCAGAGGUAUGAGAAUCAGAUGCACUUUCAAGCAAGUGCUCAUAGAUCUAUGUUGCCAAAUUGAUUUUGAUUUUCUUAACCAAAUAGUACAGUACAAAAAUGUAUCGACCGGUGAUAUUGCUCAGAUAUCCUUUCCAGGGAAUUGGUGUAUUAGCACUUAUACGAGCCAUAAUGCAAAACUUGAAAAAGAGGGACAGGGGACCAAAACUGGUCAUAGCAGAGUCAGUGCCUAACAAAAAUUUCUUGGCUUUUUCAAAGCUGGCCACAAAAUCAUCGGGCCAAUUACCAUUCAUAAAAUAGAUGUUACCAAAGAACUUAGUAUCAAAGGCAUUCUCAAACAUAAAAUCAUUCACAGUGGUUAUCAUUCCAAGCACAAGAGACUUGAUUUCACCACCAUAAGGGAAGAGGCGAAGAUUCACAUAAAAUAUGUAAACUGGAUUCGCAUAGACCAAAAGUCCAUAGAGAUGACACAAAUCUUGAAACUUAAAAAAGUGAUUGAUAUUAUAGAAGAAGUAUUUUAAUUGAUAGAGGUUGAUAAUGCGACCACGUACAAUGGAGCGACCCAUAAAGACAAGGAAUUUUCCUUUUUGAGAGCAAGUAAAAAAUUUACGCAUGUUCUUUGGAGAGAGGACGAGAAGAGAGCUUGGACGAGGUUUCUUGGUGGAGGGGUCUGGAAUGGAUUAUGACAACCUCUCUUGAUGAGAGUUGACUGAGAGUCCAUUGUAGACUCAUCAGAUGACUCAGAGAGAAGAACAAGGUUGUCAAGGAGGGAUUUGGGAAGAACUUCGAACAUGGUCGCCAUUGAACGGGUUCUGGUCAAGGGAGAGAGAGGAAGGUGAUGUUUAAAGAGGGAAGAUAUAGAGAGGAAAUGAAGGUUGGGAGAACCAAAGGAGGAGUGGGGAGAAGUAUGCGACUGUUGGAAAAGAUAGAUGAGGGGAAGCUGAAAAGGUGUAAGGGAAAGGGUGAUGGAUGAAAGUGAAAGGGUGGCAGUCAAAGUAGUGUUAGGGAGGUGAAGGGGUGCAGAGGCAACAAAAGAGGCGUAAAAAUUGGUGAGGGUAAUGAUGGCUUCAAAAAAAAUUAUUUUUUUUUAAAAAGUAACCAUAUAAUUCUAGUAGAAAAUAAUUUUCCAAAAAUAAAGCUCAUAACUCAUUAAUACUAAGAAUACCUAGUCUUUUUCUAUGGUAGUAAAAUCUUUCUUCUAAUAAGGGUUUUGCAAAAAUAUUUGCCAGUUGAUUUUUGGAAUCAACAAAUGUUAAUGAAAAAUCACAAUUUUAUACAUGAUUAUGAAUAAAAUAAUGCUUUAUAUCAAUAUGUUUCACCCUAGAAUGAUGCACAGUAUAUUUAGAUAGACUAAUAACACCAGUAUUAUCAUAAAUAGCGGUAACAGAUUCAAAAGACAAAUUAAAAUCAAAUGGUUCAUGCAUAAUCCAUAAAAUUUGAGUACAACUUCCAACAGCUAUGUACUCGAUUUCAGUUAUUGAAAGUGCAACUGAAGUUUGCUUCUUACUAUGCCAUAAAAUUAAGGCAUCACCAAGUAUUUGACAAGUUCCACUGGUGCUUUUUCUAUCACUUUUAUCACCUGCAAACUUAGCGUCUAAAUAUCCAAUAAAGUCAAAAUAAUAAGAGCAAAAGUAUCAUAGUCCAAUGUCUUGAGUUCCUAUAUGGUAUCAAAUGAUUCUUUUGACGGCAGUCAGAUGAAACUCUUUGGGAGUCAACUGGAACCUAGCACACUUACAUAUGCUGAACAUGAUGUCUGGUCGACUGGCAGUCAGGUAGAGUAGUGAUCCUAUCAUUCCCCUGUAUAUUUUUUCAUCAACAUCCUUUCUUGACGAGUCCGAAUCAAGGCUUGUGUAUGAACUCAUUGGAGUUUCAUACGCCUUUCCUCUUUUCAUAUUGAAUUUUUUUAUGAGUUCCUUCAUAUACUUAGCUUGACUAAUGAAAGUGCCUUUGGGAGUCUGUUUGAUUUGUAAUCCUACGAAGAAUGUUAGCUCACCUAUAAGACUCAUUUUGAAUUCUCUUUUCAUCAAGUUAGAAAAAUUCUCACGCAGAGAGAUAAUAGAACUACCAAAACUGAUAUAAUCAACGUAAAUUUGCAUAAUAAGAAGACUUUAAUCAAGAUCUUGUAUUAAUAGAGUUGUAUUAAUUUUACCCCUUUAAAAAUUAUUAUUUAGUAAAAAAGUACUCAAUCUCUCAUACCAAGCCUUUGGAUCUUGUUUGAGGCCGUUGAGUGCUUUUGAUAAUUUGAAAACAUAGUUUGGAUAUGAUGGAUUUUCAAACCCUGGGGGUUGUUUUACAAAAACUUCUUCAUGAAUAAAACCAUUUAAGAAGGCAUUUCUUACAUUCAUUUGAUAUAACUUAAAAUAUUUGAAGGCCAUAAAAGCUAAUAAAAUUUGAAUUGAGGCUAACCUUGCCACGGGGGCAAUGGUCUCGUUGUAAUAAAUACCUUCUUGUUGGGAAUAGCCUUGAGCUACAAGUCUCGCUUUAUUUCUGAUAACCUUACCUUCUUCAUUCAAUUUGUUUUUGUAGACCCAUCUAGUUCCAAUUAUUGAGCAGUUUCUUGGUAUUUCAACCAAGGUCCAAACUUGAUUUUAUUCAAAUUGGUCUAAUUCUUCCUUUAUAGCUAUAACCCAUGAUUCAUCUAUAAGGGCCUUAUCAGUUUUCUUUGGUUCAAUUUGAGACACGAGGGAAACAAAUGAUUGUCUUCUCAAUGAUGCUCUUGUUUGCACUUUAUCUUCUGGAUUUCUAAUGAUGUGUUCAUUUGGAUAGCUAGCAUCGUGUUUCUAUUCUCUUAUAAUACAUGGUUUCACUAUUUUUGUUGUGGAAGUUGACUCUGGAGGGGGUGUAGUCGACUUAUCUUGUGAUAACUCAGAGGUUGUGCUAUUAUUUUCUAUAGAUUAUAGAUUAUUCACCUAGUCUUAAUCAACACUUAAAUUUAUUGGGGGGGGNNNNNNNNNNNNNNNNNNNNNNNNNNNNNNNNNNNNNNNNNNNNNGUACUUAGAUUAAUCAAAUACAAUAUGCAUAGAUUUCUCAACACACAAAGUUCUUUUAUUAAAGGCCCUGUAAGUACGAAUAGUAGGAGAGUAUCCAAGGAAAAUACCUUCAUCACUUCGUGGAUUGAAUUUUCUCAGGUUAUUCUUACCAUUGUUAUGAAUAAGAAUUGCAGCCAAAAUGAUGGAAAUAGCAAAUGUUGCACCUCUCUAGAGUUCAUAAGGCAUUUUCUUUAGAAUGGGUCUGAUCGGACAUUUAUUGAUGAUGUAACAUGCUGUGCUCACUGCUUUUGCCUAAAAGUAAUCUGGGAGAUUAUGUUCUAAUAGCAUGGUCCUGGUAGUUUCCUAGAGAGACGAAUUCUUUCACUCCACUAUGCCAUUUUGCUAAGGAGACUGAGGUAAAGAGAGGUUCUGAGAGUAUCCAUCCUGAGCAUAAUACUUCUCAAAUGUUUUAUUUUUGAAUUCUCCCCUGUUAUCACUGUGAACAUAAGUGAUGAGGUGCCCAUCUUCUCUUUGUACCUUUCUACAAAAAAUCUCAAAGUUUAUGAAGGCCUCAUGUUUGUGAUCAAGAAACAUUACCCAAGUAAAACGUGAGUAAUCAUCAACUAUAACAAAAACAUAUCUCUCUCCACCAAUGCUUGUGGUCUUGGUCAAACCAAAUAAAUCCAUGUGGAUUGUCUAAAGAGAUUUGGUGGUAGAGACAAUGUCUUUGACUUUGAAUGAUAUUCGAGUAUUUUUACCCAAUUGGUAGGCAUCACAGAUGUGGUCUUUUUCAAACUUGAGUUUUGCCAGACCCUUCACCAAUUCCAAUUUGGACAACUUCUCAUUGAAGAAGGCAGUUAGGAUCAGAAGGUUGAGGUUUCCUCCUAAGAGGGAGAUAGUGUGCUUCAUUGUCAGGGUAGGUUAUGUGUUCUGAGUGUGGAUGAUUUGAGAUAACUAAUAUUAGUAGAGACACAUAGUGCACGAUAUUCUAUUCACCCAUGAGUCACUAAGAUAUAUCAUGAUUUGUAGGAAAUCUAUUGUAUGAAUGGUAUGAAGGAAGAUAUUGUGGAAUUCAUGGUUAAGUAUUCGAAUUUUCAGUAGGUUAAGGUUGAGAACCAAAGGCUUAGUGCUACACUUUGGGAAUUUAGCAUCCCCACUUGGAAGUGGGAGGAGGUGAACAUGGAUUUUAUGAUAAGGUUAUGUCAUAUGCAUCGUUAUCAUGAUUCAAUUUGGGUUAUUAUAGAUAGAAUGACCAAGUCAGACUACUUCUUACCAAUUCAUACUUUGUAUUACGCCAAAGAUUAUACUAUACCAUAUCUUAGGGAGUUGGUAAAGUUGCAUGGGGUUCCAUUGACCAUCAUUUUAGAUAGUGGUGCCCAGUUUACCUCUCACUUUUCGAAGGCUUUUUAGAAGGGUCUUGGUACCUAAGUCUAUCUCGGUACAACUUUUCAUCCUCAAACAGAUGUUCAUGUAGAUCGGACCAUUUAGACCUUAAAGGAUAUGUUGAGUGCUUGUGUUAUCGACUUCAAAGGUAGUUGGGACGUCCACUUACCUUUGAUUGAGUUUUCCUACAAUAACAACUAUCACUCUAGUAUUCAGAUGGCUCCAUUUGAGGCUCUGUGUGAAAGAAGGGGUAGAUAUCCUAUCGGUUGGUUUGAAGUUGGUGAGGCUUCUUUGAUAGGGAUAGAUUUAGUGUAUGAGGUGAUGGAGAAAGUUUAGGUAAUUCUAGAAAGGCUGAAGAAAACCCAGAGUCAACCAAAAUCCUAUACUGAUGUGAGGAGAAGAGAUCUUGAGUUUGAUAUGACAUGGUGUUGAAACCCUAGAGGUUUUACCACACUGUAAGGGUCCAGGUCCCUUAAAGUAAAUCACAGGAAAAAGCACAAUAAAGCAACUAGGAACACAAUACAGUGUAGAAGAGUAAAAGACACAAGAUUUAAUGUGGAAACCCCCUUGCUCAAGGAAGGAAAAACCAUGGCUUGCAUUCACAAGCUCUAUAAUAGUCUACUACAAUCAAAAUUUUGAUUACAGGCACCAAUGAACCUAACUCUAGGCUCUUCCUACUUGUAAUAACUCUACAACAAGCUCACCUUGACAACUCUUCCAAGACUCCCUAAACACUGAUAAACUCUAAUCAGUAUCAAACUUAGGCUACUCUACCUAAGCACUCAAGAACACUCACUUUUUUAGCUUACAAAAUAAAUAAGAACAUGAGCAAUACUUGAGCAGUGUUGAAAAUUGAAGUUUUUCUAUUUUCUCUCUUCAACACUCUUUUGGAUUUGUAAUAACUACUUGAUAGAGAAACAUUCUUUUCCUUUUAUAGUUAAGUGAUGAUUAGAGUUGAAAUGCAAUUGGACCAGGUGUCCUCAAUAGUACAAGCAACAGCUACGUAGUUUAUUACAAAAGAGGACAAAACUGUGCUAAGGCAUGCCAGCUGUGCUAUGGCCUUAAACAUCCAGGGACCUGGUCCCUUGAAGUUAACUGCUCAUCAUCAAAAUAAUAUACAACAAUUUCCCACUUUUUGAUGAUGACAAACCAAACACUGAGUUUUGAGCAUCAAUGCUCAUGCUCAUUCAUCACAUUUAAUCAGUGUGAUUACCAAUACAGAAGAUGAAUGUCCACCCUAUCAUGCAAAACUAUGCUUUCAUAACUUAGGGACCUGGUCCCUUGUUGUCAAUUGCUAUCAAGCUUCAAUUACUUCCCCCUGUCAUCAUGCACCAUUGUUCAUUUAGUGCAUUUUACUAUUUUCUCCUGCCACUAUGCCUCCAGAUCUUUCCCUCAAACACAUCUACACAUAUGUGCACUUGGUACCUGGUCCCUAACAUCAUCAGUACAUACCUUAAACAUACACACCUAGUACUUAACACUUGAAGUCAGUAUUUUCCAUUUUGAUAUCAUUGAAAAGUGAAAAUAGUAAACCAAGAGUAAAGAUAAGCAUAGGUUAGUUAACUCAUGAGCACUGGGGCAAUACUAAUAUGAAGAACAACUUUUAAAAUAAAGGACAGAUGUAACACACAAACCAACAUUCAUUCAUUCAUAAAACAAAAGUUAGUACUAGUACAAUCAUGCUAAAAUAACACAUAAAAUAAAAUGUCUUCAAGAGCCAACAAAAUAAACAAAAUAUGAGAUUGACAUAGGAUUGAUGAGAGGACAGGGAUAACAUAGCUUAGGUAGAGGGAGGUUUGGGGGGAAAAAGACUUAAUCAACAUCUCUAUUCUUGCACUUUCAAUAACAUGUGCAUCCAACAACUGUUUAGUGGGAACCUUUACUUUAGUAUUCAGUUCUUGAACUUCACCAAUCAGUUCUGUAGCUUUGCUCAAGAGUUUUGCAUUUUCUGCUGCAAGUUCAUAACUGGCACCAGGUUCCUCAGAAGGUAACUUCUAAUUCUUAAAAUUUAUGUGCACUAUCUCAAUAUCUUUGGCAGCCAACUUGAUCCUUAACUCCUCCAUUUCCUUGCCUAACCUUUCUUAAACAACUAGCAACUCAGAUACUUGAGACAUUAUUCCUGCCUUGCCUUUAACAGAGUCAUUUUCCACUAUAGUUGUCGGGAUAAAAAUUUUCUUUACUAGUCCUAGUGUUCCUUAGUUCCAACUACACCAAAAUGCCCAAACACUUUACUCAAGAAAUAACCAUAUGGCAUCCCAUGUUUUUAUUUUUUUCUUGAACCACCUUGUGCAUGUGCUCUAUCAUUAGAGCAAGCAGACUUAAUAGUUCAAAUUUGCUCAAUCAUUUAAUUAAAAAUAGGUCAACAACUGAUGCUAUGGUUAUUUUCUUAGAUCUAGGCAACAGAACCUUAUUAAUGAACUCAAAUACCAGCUAAAACUCACUAGCUAAAAACUUCUUUUUCAUUAUAGCUAUUGAGGUCCCUCCCUCCUUUGAGACAUUAAUCAUAAACUCAGUUGUAGGGCAUUGGUUUACCAUAAUUCUCACACCUACAACAAAUACAUCCAAGAUCCUGCCUAAUGUCUCUUCAUCUAGUUAGAUAGGCUUUCCUUGCACUUGGGAAUUCAAACUUAGCCUAUAUUCCAAGAAAUCCAUGGUGUAAUAAAAUUCUUUGACCUUAUUCUCAAACACUAUGGGAGUUGAUUCCUCAAAUAAGUGCAGCCAACCUUGGUGUCUGACAUAUUUAACCAGCUCUCUCAUUUUAGGCUUCUCAUAUAUUUUGGGAUCAAAAGUUCUUCCUGAUAGAACCUUCUGUGUCAUCAACAUUUUAUUCCUUUGUUCUCUAGCAACAUCCUUCUUCUCUUCCUCCUUUCUUCUUUUUUUGGGACUACAACUCGAUUUUCAACCAUAACUAUUCUAUUCUUUAGAACAAAUCCCUCAAAGUCUUUCCUUUUCUUGACAGCUAUGUAUUUCUGCCUCAUUCUAGCAGGGCUACCAGACUUUGACUUAUAGGACCUCGUCCUCUCAGCAACAUGAACAUCCUUUCUUCUUUCCUUGGUAGCAGCAACAACUCUUGAAUUCAUGUCUUCCCCUCCUCCAACUUCCAUAACUCCAAUAUAUUCUUUGUUCUCUGCUGCAACUAUUUUCUUGCUCCUUAUUCUUUUCAUAGUUGAAGUUUUGUUAUCCUUCAUGGCAUCUUUUGAUAUUUUCCUUUCAGAUCCUUUUGUAUUAUAGGAUCUAGGCACUUUUACCUUAGAGUCUACCACUUUUUCCUUACCUAUAUUUCACCUUAGUUUCUUCACAGACCAUCUCAAAGGAAAUUCUUUCUCAUCCUUCUUAUUUGGAGGAAACAACAUAUCUUUUCCCUCAUUUACUUCAUCCUUAUCACUUUCUAUUCUUCUUCAUUAUCUGAGCUUUCCUUAGAUCAUAUGUAAGCAAAAGUAGAUUUUCAGAUACCCAGUUCUCAUUGUAGGAAAUAUCAAUCAUUUUUACUAGUAUUUCUUUACCAAAUAACUGAGAAAAAAUAGUUUUGAGUCUGAGGGAGUAGGAGAUCCUAGUUCUUUAAAGUUCUUAGAUGUUUUAGCUUUUCAAGUUCUUCAAACAACCCAGGGAUCUGAGAAUCUUCAGGUGCUUUUUAACUUUUUGAGAAAGGAGGAAUUUUGGGUUGAAAGAUUUCUUGUUCAAUUGGUGAACAAAAUCCUUGAUUUGGAUCCUCUACCAUGAUUAGUUGAACAAAAAUUUAUAGGGUUGAGUAAGAUUCAAUGAGAACUGACUCGUUUAGGGGUUUUGGAUUUUUUGUAGAUGACUUAGUGGUUAAAGUUGGCUCAUGUUCUUGUUAGAGACUCAAAUGAUGUUUUCUAUGGCUUUUGUUGUUAAAGGAUUAGAGUAUUGGGAAUGUUCAACUUGAUUUUAUAGGGUUUUAUCUAUUUCAGGACUGUUAGCAGGGUUUGAGAAAGUAGGACUAUGAAUCAUUUGAUUUUGAGAGUAAGAGAGAUAAAAAAGAACUUAUUUGGGUUAGAAGGAGUGUCGAUUUAAGAAAAUAAGUUUAAAUUGUUGAAAAAGAAUAGGAGAAGGUCUAAUUUAGUAGUUUAGAUAAGUGACAGUGGCUAUGUAAGAGAGGUACCUUUUAAAAUGACAUGUUCGAACUUAAUAAGAAUGACUCUUAAUUUUGUAAAGGAACUAGCUGCUUUUGCAGAAAAAAAAAGACACAUGGCCUUUUUUAGACAACAUUUUAUGAAUAUUAGAGCAUCCUGUACAGGUACUAACCUAAGAUGGUGCCAAAACCCUCUCCUUCAAGUGAAUUUUUAAAUUUAUGCUUGUUACAUUUUUCCACUUCCUAAGCUAUUCCAAUGGGUGUAUACCUGCAAAGGUAUAGUACUAAUUUAUACUCGCAUUCACCUAUUCUACCAAGGAUACCUUCCUCCUUAUCAUAGCCAGAUUUGAGAAGCGUCACUAAUUCACAUGUUAGGUUAGGUCUGUUUGAUCAAUACAUGCUUUAGACUCUGUACACCCCUUUUUAUUUUAGAUCUACUCCUCAAAGCAGGUCUGGGUACUAGGUUCUAGACUUAACUUUAUUCAUUUUGUUGAAGCUUUUCCUUUUGAGAUGAGUUUCCUAGGGAUCAGGUCCCUGGGAAUUUUGGCAUGACCCUUUCUCGAUGAUUUUCUUCUUGAGCUAGGAUCAGUGACUGAUAUUUUUAAACCAUCACCAUUCUCAUCAAUGAUUUUUAGCCUUUUAUCUAUAAUUUUAAACAUCACCACUUCUCUUUCUUCAAUCCACAUAAUUUUCUCCCUUUUUGGAGCUUUUAUCUAUAUUCUGCUGGGGACCAGGUCCUUUGAGAUCAUCUAUGUCAAAAUAAAACUAUUCUAUCUUGAAAUAUCUUUAGAGAGAGAGAGAGAACACUAUCAUACCUCUUAGUAUUAGGCUUGAACAUACCCUAUCAAUUAGCUAUUUCUGACUGCAAUCCCCUGUCUCAUACUGGUACCAUGAUCACAUUUUCGAUUUGGAAACCCAUUUGAGUUUGAGUUCCUAGUAGGAGGACAAUAGUGUGAUCAAAACUUUCUUGGCCCAUUUAGGCAGUGGUAGCUUCCUCUUCAUAAUUUACAGAUUCUUAAACCCCUUAGGAUGUGAUUUCCCUUGUUGAACAUCUCUGGAGCCAUUUGAUUUAACUCUAAGCCAUCUCUGAUAGUUUUUCUUCAUAUGCCCAUCUCUUCCACAAUGGCUGCAUAGAGGUUUGUGAACUUUGUUUCUAAUAUUAUGAGCAGCCAUUCCUUGAGACCUAGUAGAUUAGAAUUCUCCAUGAUAUCCUAGGCCUUUGCCAUUAUAACACCUUGACUAGUCAAAUUAGAAAGGAUCUGUGAAAAAGUAGUCCAUUUAAGAGAUUUGUUGAGCUCUUCUCUCAAACAGACUAGGUCUUUUUCUAACUCUUUAUUUUUAUAAAGUGUAGACAUAAGGUGUUUUUGAGAAUCCCUCAGUUUCUCCUCAAGAUCAAUCUGAAGUCUUGAAACUUUUUUCUUCCCUUUACCAUCUAAAGCAUUUAACUUCUCUAGCUGACUCACGCAACUCAGGUUUUUAGCUUUUAAUUUAGUGACCAUAACUUCAAUUUCAGAUAUUUGAAGAGUUAGAGCAAUCAAUUCAAGUUCUUGAUUCUCUAUUUUCUCCUCUAAAGCAUUUUUCUCAUCAGUUAGUUCACACAGAGUCUAUCAGCACACUUUCAAGCCUUUUUAUCAUCACAAAAGAGUAGUUAUCUAGAUUUUCCUUAAUGUUAGAAAGAGUUACCUCUUUUUCUUAUUUAUCUUCCGUAUUUUCCAUGAAUACAAACAAGGAAUUAUAGAUAACUGGACUAUCUUCCACUGCUAGUAUAGAAAUUUCUCCAGGCUUCUCCUCUUCAUCAGAUUCAAUGGAAGAAUUUCCCUAUGUUGCCAAAGCUUGCUUUACUGCAUACUCUACCAUAGUCUUCCUUCUUGAUUUUUCAGGGACCAGGUCCCUGCUCUUUUCAUUGUCACCUCCAGUAUUGAGAUACUUAUGAUAAUUCAAUUUUUGCAUUUGAUAGUCCUUAAUGAAAUGCUCAGGACUUUCAUAUUUGUGACACACUUUAACAUUGCUUCUUCCUUUGCUGCUACUUCCUCUUCUUUGGAAUUGGUCACUUUUACUCAUGGAUUUGACAAUCCUUUUUGCCAAAUGGAAAUAUCAUGUCCUCUUUUGCUUAAUUAUGUUUUGAAUCCUUCAGUGGCAUAGAUUUUUCCCUUUUUAUUUAUUUUUCUCCAGCCCUUGUUGCUUUUUGAGCUCAUGGGUUUUUAGAUUUCCAAUCAGUUCAUCUAUAGUAAGGGUCUUUAUGUGUCUUGUCUCCAUUAUAGCAUCCACUUUUCUUUCCUAGGAAUUCGGAAGAAUACCAAGAAUCUUUCUUAUCUAUUUGUACAAUGGAAUCACUUCUGUCAAGUAGUGAAGUUCAUUUUUGAUAGAAGUGAAUCUUGUAUGCAUUUCUUCGAUUGUUUCUCUUUUUUUUUCAUGGUGAAAGUUUCAUACUGAGAAGUCAACAAGUAUACUUUAGAAUCCUUCAUAUCAAUAGUACCUUUACGAAUAGUCCUCAUGCAAUCCAAGAUCUCCUUAGUAUUUUCAUGGGCAGAAAUCCUGUUGUAUUCAUCAGGUCCUAUGCCACAAACCAACAAUUUCUUGGCCUUGUAUUUUUUCUCAAUUUUCUUUCUAUCUUCAUUAUUUAACUCCUUCCUACUUUUAACAACCAUUCUUAUAACCUCUCCAUAUUUGACUUCUCUAACAGGAACAUGAGGAACUUCAAGAAUUAUGUCCAUCAGCUUACUAUCCUCAGCUAUAAUGAAGUCAAACAUCCUGGUUUUCCACCACCCACAGUACUGCCCAUUAAAGCUAGGUGAUGUAGUGGUUGAUUGCCCUUCUUCUAGGUUAGGUGGAGCAACCAUGCUAGCCAAAUCACUCUAGGUGUGAACCUUUUUGAGUAUUCUAGCUCUGAUACAAAUUGUUGAAACCCUAGGGUUUGCACCACACUGUAAGGGACCAGGUCCCUCAGAGUCAAUCACAGUUAAAAAACACAGUAAAGCAAACAGGAACGCAAUACUAUGCAGGAAGAGUAAAAUACAUAAGAUUUAACGUGGAAACCCCCUUGCUCAAUGGAGGAAAAACCAUGAAUUGCUCUUAUAAGCUCUCAAAUAGUCCACUAUAAUCAAACUCUUGAUUACAGGCUCCGAUGAACCAAACUCUAGGCUCUUUCUACUCAUAAUAACUCUACUACAAGCUCACCUUUACAACUCUGCCAGGACUCCUCAAAACUGAUUAACACUAAUUAGUAUCAAACUUAGGUAACUUUACCUAAGCACUCUCUAAACAAAGAAAACAAAAGAACAUUACUCUUAUAGACUGAGUAAUUUAGUUACAAAUCAAAGUUCACUCAAGAACACCCACUCUUUUAUCUUACAAAAGAAAUAAGAACAUGAGUAAUACUUGAGAAAUAUUAAAAAUUAAGUGUUUGCCUUUUUCUCUCGUCAACACUUUAAAUUUGAAAAAAUGACUUGAUAGAGAAGCAUCCUUUUUAUUUUAUAGUUGAGUGAUGAUUAGGGUUGAAAUUCAAUUGGAACAGGUGUCCUCAAUAGUACAAGCAACACCUGCAUAGUUUGUUACACAAGAGGACAAAACUAUGCAGACACAUGCUAGCUGUAUUGUAUCCGUAAACAUCAAGGGAUCUGGUCCCUUGAAGUCAGUUGCUCAUAAUCAAUACAAGAUAUAACACAUGGUUUAUUUAAAAAUAUCAACCAUAAAAGAGGUAAAGAGGUUUGGUAAGAAAGGAAAUCUCACUACAUGCUAUGUUGGCCCAUAUAGGAUUUUGAGAUGUUUUAGAAAGGUAGCUUAUGUGUUAGAGUUGCCUGCAGAAUUAACAUCAGUGCAUAUGAUUUUUUAUGUCUCCUUGCAAAAUAAAUGUAUCGACAAUCCAGCUUCAGUUUUGACCUUAUAGAGUACGGAUGUAAAAGAUAAUCUCUCAUACGAAGAAGUCCCAGUUGAGAUCCUUGACUGUUAGAUUCGUAGGUUGAGGAAUAAAGAAGUCACCUUGGUUAAGGUUCUAUGGAGAAAUUAGUCAGUUGAAGGAGAUACUUGGGAAAUAGAAGCCGAUAUGCGAGCCAAGUAUUGCCAUUUUUUCUUUUUGAAUUCAGAUUCAAUUUGAGGUAAUGGUUUCCCUUAUAUUGAUUCACUUGUUUUCUAUCUCAGCUAUCCAACCAUCCUCAUGUCAUAGCAUACAUUCUUGAAUUCUGUUUCAAAUUCAAUUAUUUAAUCAUGAUUCAGCUCAUAAAUAUUAAGUUCAUAAUCUCAGUCUUCUUAGUACCUCAACUCAGAAAGUUUCAUUCAGGGAUGAAUGAUCUCAAUGGGGGAUAUUGUAAUACCUCACAAGAUCCUAGACAAGUUUCCAGUUAUUCAUCACAUGUUUAGAAAUUCCAAAGCCAUUGUUUCAUACUAAGUACAAGUGACAUGGUUAUUUUAACUCCCCAAUAUUUCAAAAAUUUUAUUUUUUGCCUUCUCGAGUUUGAAACAUUGAUGUAUGAGUUGAAAUAUGUUUAGGAAUGUUAAAAGGGUCAUCUAGGAGAGUUCCAGAAUUUUUGUAGGAGGUUCAGAGUGGUUUUGGACCACGGAGGCAGUAAGCCUCCAUGAUUUUAGCGUGUCACAGAGGAUCGUAUCCGCGAUACAUAGUGUGUAAUAGAGGUUAGCCUCCGCAAUAACCGGUGUGCCACAGAGGCUGUGUAAAUUUAGGCAGUUUUCUUAAGUAUAAAGGGGAAUUUUGAUCCUUUUACCCUCUCCCUGACCACUCAAUUCACGACUUAAAACCCAAGAGGGGCAUUAUUUGCCCCAUUCUUUAUUCAAAUAAUGAUACUCUAUCUCCUCCCAUUCUCAAGAACACACAAAUCAAAAGCUUCUUCCAAGAUUCACCCUUCUACAGUCUCAAUUUCAAGUUUUCUUCAAAAAUUCAAGCAACUCAGGUAUGUGGCUAUUCAUCAAUGGGUUCCUUCCACUCAUUAGUCCCACGAAUCCCUUGUUUUUCAAGUAUAAACCUUUUUUAUCCUUCUAUGAAAUUUUAAUGUCAAGUAUGAAUUUACUCAAUUUUCUCUUAAUAGGUUUGAAUACAAACUAUGCCAAUGUAUUUCCCCAAGUGAAUUAUGUUAUUAUAUGCUUUUAAAUUCCAGUCACCCAUAUCAUGUUCAAUUGACACCAUGAUAAUUUACCAAUUUAUGAAUUGGACCAUGUGAACAUGUUGUCCUCAUAAGUUUAACAUAUUCCAAUACUCAUAAUCAUGGAUUUCAUCAACUUAGUCAAAUAUACUAUGUUUGGGUCUAUGAAUCAUGAUCUUUCUUACCACAUUGUGAUGAUACUAUUGCAUUUAAUGUAUUAUUCAGUGCUAGUGGGUUAUGAACACCAUGUACUUAUAUAUUUAUGCAUGUUUGCAAUUUCAAGCAACAAGUCAGUUAGAUCAUUAUUUUACCACCAUAUUCAGAUUAUCAUAUUCAUGUUGAGCAAUUAUCAAUUGUGAGUCCUGUUAAAUUAAAUCAGUACCAGUGUAAGUUUAGUUGGGAAUAAGAUUUAGCAUCGAGUGAACCUAGGGAUGAAGGCUCACCUGCCAGUAGAGGAAUGAGACCUUUAUUAGUAGUAUCUAAGUUCCAGCGUAGGUUAUGAGAUGUCACCAGCCAGUAGAGGACUGACACUCUCUUAGGGGUCACCUCCAGUAGAGGACUAACACCCUAACCCUUUGGGACAUCAGCCUUGUGGAUCCACAUCGUCAGCCAUGUGUUGGUUCGCCUGGCAAGGUACCAACACCCUUCUAACUGGGGUUAUAGGUUAGAACCAGAUCAACUCAGAUUGGGGCAUGUUAAUUACAUGAUUGCUCCCCCAGUUUCAGUUUAAUAUUCAGAUUAUAUUAGUUUAGGUCUGCAUGACUAAGUGUUCAGUUUACUAACUAUUCAGUUAGUCUGUUUUAUAGAUUAUAUCAGUACAUGCUUUACUUGGUCUUGCAUUCAUUUUAUAUGUUCAAGCAUUCAUGCAUAGUAUCCAUAUGUACUUUAGUUAGUCUUUAUCUUACGUAUCAGUACAUUCAAAGUACUGACCGCAUACUCUCUUUUGCACUAUGUUUUAUAACAUAGGUUCGGACACUUAGUUCCUUAAUUGCCCUUAGUCAGUUCAAUGAGGUUCAACAACAGUUGUGGUGAGUCCUUAUCCAUCGAAGACAUGUUAUUUACAGUUAUUUUCAAUACUUCCUUUAUUUCAGUUAGUCGAAGUUAUUUUUGGGUUUCUCCCAUCAACUCCUUAUGUUUUAGAUGCUUUCAGAUAGUCAGAUUUGCUUUCAAUUUUUAUCAGCAGCUCAGACAUAUUGGGUAUUGUUUUAGCGUUACAGCUUAACAAAAUUCUUAUUAGUGUAGCUUCCAUAUAUGAUGUUUUUAUUAUCUUUUCAAUGCUCAUAGAAGAUACCAGAUCAUGGGUUAGCUUGAGGUUACUUAUGGCCUUAAGCACCGUGUUACGACUUGGGGGUAGUCUCAGGUCGUGACACUCUUACUCAGAAAUAACGACUCAUUAGGUGCCACUCGUGAUCAGGACAAAAAUAAUGGGCACUACAUUGGGUUGGCUACAGAUGACACCAUAUGACUCGUAUAGAGUCCUUACGACUUAUCUCCUAGUCGUAGUCACAAGAAAAACUUUAGGCUAUUACACUGGUCAGGAUACAAUUGAGGUCUUAAGAUCUAUAACGAGACCUUUAAACUCAUAGGGUAAGUUGUAGUCAGGGUAGUGAGUUCAAAAACUCAAAAAUUUUAGAGCCAAAAAUCUAGGGUGUUACAUGAAAAAUGUGAACUACGUCAACGCCGACUGCUAGUGCUCGGAUCUACACCAAGGAAAUAAUGCAGCAGUGUAUUAUGAGUACCAAAGCAACGGGUACUCAAUACGCAUCCUCGACCGACUGAACUCAAUACAGGAAAAGUAUACCUAAAAUACUAGGGUGUAAUCUAAUCAACAGUAAACGGGGAUCGAAAGGUAAAACAACUACCAAGAUAAACAAAAGCGAUUAAGGGAUAAGCAUGAGUGAUACAUAAAAUAGAUAAUGCAGUAAUAAAGGCAAAUCAAAUACAACCUAACUGGACUCCUAUAAGCCCGCUAGGCACAUGAAAGAACACAAUAAAUGCAAUCGUGUCCCCAUAAAUCGGUGGGACACACAAGAAAUAAUUAAUGAAAAUAAACAUAAAUAAUUCAUAACUGAACCCAUCCCACAAAAUCAUAGUAGCCACCCAGAUGUGUACCAAACUUGAACCGGCACGAAUGGGUAGUAACAAGAGGCCAGAUGCUGGGCUUGAACCGAUAGUAGUGGAUAAUAACAAGAGGUCACAUGCCGGAUUCAAAUUGGAAGUAGUGGGUUAUAAUAAGAGGACACAUAUAUGAUAUACAACAAAGCUCAUAAUCAGAUGUCAGACUCGAACUGAAACUCAGAGGAACCACAACUCCCAGAAUAAUAGUAAUUAGUACCAAACUUCUAAAUCAUCAUACCCAGAUGCCAAACUCGAACCAGAACUCAUAGUAACCAUACCCAACUAUAAAAUUAAAAUCCAAACCAUAUCAUACCUAAUGCCAAAGUCAGAAUUCACAAUCAAUGAUAGAAACAAAAUAUGUGCUAAACCUAAACCAAAACUAAAAUACAUUUAAUUAAUCAUUCACAUAUCUUAAUUAACAAGGGAAAAAUCAAUGGUUUUUUUGACUUAAUUUCACGUUCUAAAGUGAUAGGUGCUAUAUAAUACUGAAAUAUCAGAUACCAAAAUUUACUAGAAUAGGGUCAAAAUCGGACAAAUAAGGCAUGGUGUGUGUGUGUGUAAGCUCAAUUUAAAGAUAGGGUAAGCCUAAUCUACUUGGACGCCAAAGCAAAAACUUCUCCAAGAAGCCUCCAUAGUGUCCUACUAGAACCCAAGUUGAAUAAAUAUAGCACUUCAAAUUUACAUCAUGAUGCAACCAAAGAUGAAUGAAAAUUCAUUGAUAACAAACUUUUUUUAGAAAAAAACAUUACAUGAACAGAAUAUUUAAAACUCAAAUGUUUUAAAGGAAUUGUACUUAUAUAGGAAUGUUUCUAUUCUUAACACUAAUGUUUGUAAUAACUUGGAAUUAUAAUGUUAACAUGAUGACACCUCUUAAUUUGUUGUCAUUUUGCAUAGAUUCCACGUGCAGGGGUGUGGCAAUACCACCCUUUGCUCUCUGUUAAAUUCACACUCGAAUAUUGCGUAGGUUCGUGGUAAAAUAAAUAUAAUAUUUUAAACAUAUUAUAAUUAAUAGAAAAUUAUUCCUAAUAAAAUCUCUAUUUUAUAAUAAUAAUACUUUAACAUAUCUAGAUUUACUAUCUCCGCUUAAAAUAUUAAUAGACUGUAAAAGCUGUUAUAAAGUAAUAUAAAUAUAACGUAACUCAAAGAAUUUUAUCAAUAUCAAAAAUAUUUUGGAAAGGUAAUAAAUUAUAUUUCUACCAAAUGUCAAUUUAGUUAAAUAUUUCAUAAUAUAUUUGGUAUUAUUAAAAUCCUCAAACUAACCGCCCGAAAAUCAAACUAUCUGUACCAACAAGUCAUCAAUAACUUGGAGUGGUUAUAGAAAAGUUCUAGACACCAAAAAUAUAUGAAAAUAAGAAAAUGACCAUGAGAGUCAUUACAACAUCCACUAUUAAAAGGACAUUUGUCUGCGAAAGUAAAGGAUAAGGAAACACCUGAAGGCUCAAACAAGUAGGGAUACUAGGCACACAUAUCACACUCGGUCGUCCAAGUAGCCUUCUCCACCAGACGCUGAUGCCAUGAAAUCUUAACUACUGGAAUCUCCCUGGAGUGCAAUCGUCUGACAUCUCUACCCAAAAUGGACACUGGUUCCUCUAUAAAUUCCAACCUCUCAUCCAACUAAAUCAAUUCCCACCAAAGCACGUGCAAUUCUUCAGUAAUGUACUUCCGCAACAUAGAUACAUGGAACACCGGGUGAAUGGCUGAGAAGGCAGGAGGCAAUGCCAACACAUAAGCUGUCUCCCCAACUCUCUGCAGGAUCUCAAAGAGUUUAAGAUAUCUGGGGAAAAGCUUGCCCCUCCUCCCAAACCUCAUCACGUUUUACAUAGGCGAUACUCAUAGAAAGACCCUAUCACCAACAUUGAACCACAAUGGACGACAUCUACAGUCAACAUAACUUCUUUGUCUAAUCUGAGCUACUCGAAGCCUGUCCUGAAUCACCCGAACUCGAUCCAAUGACCCCUGAAGCAAAUCUGUGCCAUGAGGCCUAGCCUCCGAUGUCUCAAACUAACCAAUUAAAGAUUGACUUCAUCAACCAUACAAUGCCUCAAAUGAUGCCAUUUAAAUACUCAAAGGAAAGCUGUUCUUAUAUGCAAACUUUGCCAAAGGUAGAAAAUAGUCCCACUGACCCCCGAAAUCUAACAUACAAACAUGGAGUGUUUUCUCCAAAACAUGGAUAGUCCGCUCCGACUUCCCAUUAGUCUGGGGGUGAAAUAUGGUGCUAAUAUCAAUCUAGAUGCCAAAUCCUCCUGAAACGUCCUCUUGAAGGUAGAUGUGAACUAAGAGCCUCGGUCUAAGAUAAUGGACAUAGGUACCCCAUGUAAGAAAACCACCUUCUGAAUGUAAACACGAGCUAAACUCUUAAUACUGUAGGAAAUUCUAAUGGGAAUAAAAUGUACAGACUUGGUUAAUUGGUCCAUUAUGACCAAAAUGGUAUCAAAACCAUAAAAAGUGAGAGGUAAUCUACCUACAAAGUCCAUAGUAAUCCACUCCCACUUCCACUUGGGAAUGGGUAGCUUCUAAAGCAAUCUACCAGGUCUCUGAUGCUCGGCCUUUAACUACUGAAAAUAAAGACACCAAGCCAAAAACCCUUCUAUAUCUUUCUGCAUACCAUUCCACUAGUAAUGCUACAUCAAACCCCUACGCAUCUUACUUAUCCUAGGGUUAAUAGAGUAAUUAGAGCUAUGUGCCUUACCAAGAAUCAACUAAAUCAAAUUUUCAACCCACAAAACAUAAAUACGACCAUCAAACCUCAGUAUAACCUCAGAAUCUAAGCUAGCCUUCCUAAACUCACCUCUCAAGACCUGUCAAAUUGUAUAAAUCAUGCUAUCCUAAAUCUAGUGACCCCAAAUCUGCUCCGACAAGGUAGAUCUGGCCUCAACACUAGAAAUGAUCCUUUGAGAGUCAGAAACAUCUAGGGUGAAAUUGAGAAACUAAUAGAGAAUUAGAGCAAAAAUUUAUGAAAUAACAAUGGAAAAAUGAUCACCAAUGCAUCUCCAACUCAAUUCCAUCUCCAAUUAAUAAUUUCCCAUAAGUUCUUGAGCUUACAAGUUCAAUAGUAAUAGAAAGGGGGUGGAAAUGAUGAAUUUUUUGGGAAGACAACAAUAUAUAGGGCCAUGGGUUACUCAUCGUGAAUGCGAGGCCCCUCAACCAUAAUUGCGAUGGACAAAAAAAUCAUUUAUCACUAAUAUAAGGAACUAGCCAUGGACAUGAUGAAUGAAGGUUAUCGCAAAUGCGAUAAGGCCUUCACAAAUGAGAAGAAGAGACUGGAGUGGGUCCUAUCGACCCAUCAUCAUGAAAAUAAGAUGAGGCUCACGAUCCCAAAGGUCAAAGUUUAAAUCUUUAUAAAUAUGGUCAACUCCGCGCGAGUGCAAAGGGGAAGGGUGGCAUGCACCAGGUGUUGUUGUACCAUACAAAAUCCAAGACCUAAUGGACUCUGAUCAAGUGCUCGAGAUUUGUUUGGGACCUCGUGCACAUAAACAAACUAUACUACCAAAUAAAAUUCAACAUUCCUGACUAAAAGAAACCAUCAAAAUUUCUAUCCGAGGUCCUUUGAUCAAAUAUGGGCCUCACACCAAUAGUUUAACUUUUUAUCAAAACCCAAUAGCCCAAAAUGAGUUUGAAAGCCUCGUGACCUGUACCAAGGAUACCCCAAGACUAAAAUCCAUGUUUUAGAGCUGAUGGCGCUAUCAGAAUUCUCAUUCAAGAUUGUUUACUAUGUAUUUUGGUCUGAGACCAAUUCCUUAACAACAAAAGCUCUAAAAUAGGGAAUUGAUCCUAAAACCUAAUUGAAUUAUUCGGUAGCUGAACUGAUAGUUCAAGCAUGUGAAAAAUGACUUAUGGCUAUGUGAAGGCUCAAAAUGCCGAUAAUGUGUGGAAAUUGAGAAAAUGACCUAGAGCGUCAUUCCAAAGGAUCAUUAAUCAUAAUCAAGGUAUCUCUUUGCAAGGACCUUAGUAAUUCAAUUAUAUCAUUCCCAAGAAAUACUAUUACUUGAUAAUUAUUGUCAUAUAAUAAGAAUGAGUAAUGUCAAACAAUAAAAAACCAAUCAUAAGUCAUUUUAGUAACUAAUACACGGGUGACCAUUUCUACCAAUAGACAACCAUAAUUUGAUAAAUACCCAAGAACUUAGUUCCACUAUAAUCACUUAAUUUUCUUAUCUACAAAUUUCAUCAAAAUGCAAGUAGUUACUCUAUCAAUAAUAAAAAUUACUGAGUUAGAUAAAGUUUGAUGUUCAAAUAUGAAUGUUACCUCAACCGGCAAUAUCACCCACAUCAAACAAUUAAUUUUCAUACCAAGGGCUACCAUAUUUACCCUUUUAUUUACUUAUUCAAUAAUUCAAUCAUGAAUUAAGCCUUUAAGUUAUCACAAAAUUUAAAGAAUUUUUUUUUUCUUAAGUCACAAUCAUGAAUUACCAUUAAAAUUUCUUACUGCAAUUCGUUAUCAUGCAACAAUAGCCCUUUUUCUAUGGUACUUAUUCAUAUACCAAUCACUCGAAUCAAGACUUUUCACAAGUAUAUACCUUUUUUCCUUAUCAUUUUGUCAAUUAUAAGACCAUGCCCAACAUUUAGCGUACCAUUUUUCACUUAAACAAUAUAAAAAGUGUUCCUUUAAUCAUUAACAUAUAAGCAAAUUAUGACCUUUCACAAUUCACAAUACAAUAACAACAACAUACACAAUAAUUACAAUAAUUUAACCAACUACGAUUUACAUAAGAAUCAAGCUCCAUUAACAUUAAGUACUAAAUUAAAACUUUAAUUACUAUUAACAAGACAAACGACAAUCGUAGUUAAAUUCCUUCACACACACCACACAACACAUGAUAACUUGCAAUAUUCACCUAUCUCCUAUUCAAUAUUAAUCAAUCAACUAUAAAUCACAAACACAUGAAUUCAAAGAAUUCCCAAAUCAAUAAACCAUUCUUCAUUUAUCAUUAACAUAACCUCUACUCGCGCACUUGAUAACUCUAUGUUUUUAUCUAACAUGUUAUACACAACCCUUAUGGAUAGAUACCAAUUAAAACCUUCUCAAUUUCAGUUUUCAUUGCUUGUGUCCUUUAAAGCAGAGUCAACUGACAUCCAUUUUCCUAGUCGAGAUACUAUUGGAAUCAAGAGAUACCAGUUGGAUUCAACUAAUACAAAAGCUGAACAACUUCACAAGAGGGAAGAAAGAAGUGAAAUAAUUUUCCAAGGUAACUGGUAACCUGGUUUUAAUACUAAAUUAUCACAACCCAAACUAUUAGAUUAUGAGGGCACCUACUCUAAUAAGGUCACCUACUCUAAUACAUCUAGAUAAGAGAAUCCCUUACUACUAGUUCAACAUAACAUGCGGAAGUCUUUAUUAAAUAUAAAUAACCUACCUUUAUUAUAAUUAUUAAGUGAGGAAAUGUAAACUACCCCUAGAAACUAGUCUAAACUGGUAUAGGAACUGUUAAAUCAAGAAUGAUAAGACUAGAUAAAAAUUUUACCAUGAAUAAGAGGAGUAGAAGUUGUUGGAGAUCACUAUCCACGUCACCUGUGAAACAUUAACUAAUCAUAAUUAUUGACAUUACCAUUCUCUACCCAUCCAUCCUUUUAGCCAAAUUUACUUGAUUCUCAUAAUAUGGAACUAUGUUUUGACUUGAUUCCUAUUCAUAUAAGUAGGUAGCCUGAAACAGCUGAGUCUUAUUAAGAAUAUAUUCUUUCUAUCCUUUCAAAAAUCUCAUUAUUAUCUCAAGCCACACCAAACACGUUGCUCUGAUAGAAGGAUGAGAAAAAAGAUUAAUAUAGAAAAAGUCUCCACUAAAAAAUAUAUAAGUAUAAGCACGUUAUUUAGAAUCAAGAAGUGUCACUACUUCAUUACCCGAAUUGACAAAUAUAUUUGCCAAUUUUUCAAAGGUUAAAGAAUGAAACAGCUAGUAGGCCAACUUCUCGAUCAACAUAAAAUCAAGACCAACUCCUUAUACUAAGAAUCUUUUUUUGAGUGUAGGAUCAAGGAUGCUACAACAAAAGUUGAAAUAUCUUGUAAGCCCAAAAUGCUGCCUCACUAUCACAUGAUGAGCAGCUAGGUAUCACCAAUUUAUCCAUAAUUAUUCCAAGAGUAAAGAAUUUUUUUGAAUCUUGCAGGUCACGAUAAUGCUCAAAAGGUACAUACCAAGUAUCUAACAUUAGGAAUAGCAUAACACAACACUCUAUCAAGAACUCGACAUUAUAUUGUUAUCAAAAUCCAGGAGGGCAGUUACAUUAAUUUAUUUGUUAUUACUCUUUAACUCUAAAAGAAAUUGCUUGAUUUGCAGGUCAUGUUAAAGGGAUAUCUCCAUCAAUCCUGAAUGUUAAAUACUGAUCAGUUCUUCAAAAAUCUCUAAAAUAAUAAACAUAAAAAAUUCUACCCUAAACAACAGACAGGGCAAGUUUGCUCCAAACAAUAGGAUAGGGAAGUUUGACCUAACAAAAAGAUAGGGCAAGUAUGACCCAAAUAACAGGACAAGAAAAGUCUGCCUCAAACAAUAGGACAUACAACACAACUUUGACUUCUCCAAUAAACUUCCUCUCCUGGUGGAGGACCUUAUUUUUUAGUAAUUGCUCCGCUGAUAAAAAAUUUCUACAUUGCAAGACGUGACACCAAUCAAUACCUAUAAUACAUUUGCUCUACGUGACAGAAACAACAAUAUUUUUUUGAAUAUCUACACACUACUCUACACAUUACUAUUUAAUUUAUUAUUUUAAAUCACAAUAGGUACUUUGUCACCUUUUUUAUCUGUUUUGCAGGAAAAUAUAUUACAAUGUGAAUCUACCCUCUAAGUAGUAAAAUUAGGGCAAGCUAGUGGAUGUCAAGCAUCACUAUCUAGUCAAAGAUUCAUUCUUGAAACUCGACCCAAUUAUCACACAUUGAAAUUUGAUUCUGGAUCUCCAAACUCUUUAUAUCCCAGUGUCAUCAUAACUUGACAUUGGGGUAAUUUUAAAAAUUCUAUGAUCAUUUUUGUCCCAAAAAUCUUCAAUUGAAAUUUCUAUAAAAAUAUUUCUCCUUUCAAUCUCUCUUUUAGAACUACUCUCGAUCCAAUUCUUGCUUUUUUUAGGGAUACGUAUGUAGCUCAACUUGAGCACAACCGCACUAACUUAAGUCACACCACAAAAGAAAAUAGUGUCAUCAUAAUUCAACUAUUGAUGUCCAAUUUGGCUCUUCUUUUCUUUUAAUUUAUUUGUCUAAGAUUUUUUUGAAUAUUUUAAUUAAAUAUAAUUAGUUAUUAUAUUAAAAUCAAAAAAUAUAUUUUGAUAUUUCCAUUCACAUUUUCUUCCAACUAGAUUUUCUUACUAGAGAAUAUAUAUAUAUAUAUAUUAUAAAAUUAUUAAAGUUAAAUAAGUAUGUUAAAUUAUUUAUAUAAUUAAAAUACAUAUAUAUUAAAAGAAUCAAUUAGGAUCCAAAAAUGCAUUUAGAAAUUAGUUUCGCAGAAAAGAAAGUGUUUGGACUAUGUUCAAUUAAACUUUAAUUAUAUUUGUUCAAACUCUCUUUUAUUCAUCAAAUUUCAGACAAAAUAGGCCCAAAAUUUGACUCAAACCAAGUCUAAUUCACUCCCUCUUUAUCCAAGUCAUCUAUCCGCACUACACCUUCUUCUCCAAUUAAAUCAUUCCAUGUCAUCAAGCACAACAAACACAAAUUCUUCUUGUCUAUUAAACCCAUUUUAAUCUAAUGGCCAUGGAUUUUUUGGUAUAUACACACACACACACACACACACACAUAUAUAUAUAUGUAUAUAUAUAUGUAUAUAUAUAUGUAUAUAUAUAUAUGUAUAUAUAUAUAUAUCCUAUUUUAGGUAUAUGCACCUCGCGCGUGUACCUCACUUUAUUGAGUUUAAACGUUACACUAAAUAGGAUAUUUGUUUAAAUAAUAAAGAUGAAUACAAUAAUUAAAUUCAAUAUUUUUUGGAGAAUUUAUUUAAUUAAACCUAAUUUUACGAAAAAAAUUAUCAAAGUCGAUCGAUAUUUAUCUACCACCUAUAAACUGCAACAAAAUAAUAUAAUGAUAGGGACGUCAAAACAAUAUAAUUAAAUCUAACAUUUACACAAAAUUUUUCUCAAAAUAUUGUGACACUCAUUUACCAUUUGUAAACUAUAACAAAAUAAUACGAUAAUAGAGAUAUCAAAAUAAUACAACUAAAUUUUACCUUCACAGAAAAAAAUUCUCAAAAUAGAGAUUCAAAUACAAUACAAUUAAACCUAAACUUUAUCUAAAAAAUUUCUCAAAGCCGACCGACAUUCAUGUACCACCUGUAAAUUCAUCUACGACCUGUAAACUACAACAAAAUAAUACAAUAGUGAUCACACCUGUAAAAUACAACAAAAUAAUACAAUAGUGAUCACAAAGCUUCAAUUUUGAUGAAAAUAAUUCUUGUCUGAGCAAAAAAUUUGACCCUAAAGAAUGACUUGAAUGAAAACAAAGAAUAUAUAUAUAUAUAUACACACACACAAAUUUUGAAUUCUAUUAUAUUGUCAAAAACAGUGAAGAAGUUGGGGGUUAGAAAAUUAAGCAUCCACUAAUCUAGACAUGUAACCGAAUCAAGUUAGAUGAGCAUCAAUCAUAUUUUUCAACAACUAAACCUGUUUCUUCUCUAGUUUAACGUGCAUCUCAAUACUUAUAGAAGUAUUUCCUUAAUAGAGUCUUAUUUUAGGAGUAUUUUUCUAUCCUAUUUUAGGAUUAUUUUUCUAAUUGAUUAGUACAAAGAAAAAUGUUAAUUGAUUCUCCAUCCAUAUAUUUAAGGAUUCCCAUAUAUUUUAAGAUUUUAGUUAAUUUAAUAAAAAUAAUUAAAUAAUAAAUUAAAGAAAAUAGUGAAAAGACAGUUUUGUCUAAAGGGGAGUCUUUUAAUGAGGACAAAAGGUUCAAAUUACUUUUUUAAGGGUCUUCACAUUUUUAAUAUAUUAUAGAUAUAUAUUAUAGAAAUAUAUAUAUAUAUAUAUAUAUAUAUAUAUAUAUAUAUAUAUACGACUUGUCUCAAACAAGAGAAAGAAACAAGCAUAAAAUGUUUUUUAUAGAUAUUCUAAAUAUGCUCCCUAUGAUAACUGAAUUCAUAAAUUAUGGUCAACAAACAAUACGAGCCGCCAGAUACAUCGGCCAAGGUUUCAUGAUUACCCUGUCCCACGCAAAUCGUUUACCUGUAACUAUUCAAUACCCCUACGAAAAAUUGAUCACACCGGAACGUUUUUAAGGCCGAAUACACUUUGAAUUUGAUAAAUACAUUGCUUGUGAAGUAUGUGUGCGUGUAUGUCCUAUCGAUUUACCCAUUGUUGAAUGGAAGUUGGAAACUGAUAUUCGAAAGAAAUGAUUGCUUAAUUAUAGUAUUGAUUUUGGAAUCUGUAUAUUUUGUGGUAAUUGUGUUAAGUAUUGACCAACAAAUUGUUUAUCAAUGACCGGUGAAUAUGAACUUUCUACUUAUGAUCGUCACGGAUUGAAUUAUAAUCAAAUCGCUUUGGGUCGCUUACCAAUGUCAGUAAUUGAUGAUUACACAAUUCGAACAAUUUUGAAUUUACUUCAAAUAAACAAUGAAUAAAUCUCUAAUUUGAUUCAAAAAAAAAAUUACAAAUUAUGAAGGCUUAGUUCGUAUCUAAAAGAAUGAGAUUUUUGCUUGGUCAAUUCAAACUAGUGGUAGCUUAAUGAGACUCCUAGCUUAAUUUAGAUUGAAAACAAAACGGAUUUCUAUAUUAUAAUAGUAAUGGUUUUAAAGUAGAUAAAUGAUAUCAAAAAUAGAUAGGUUUAAACUACUCUUUCGACGAAUAAAGAAUUGAUAGUGGUCCAAUAAAAUAAAAACAUCUACGUCAAUUCAUACCCAUUACAAUUUCAUUCAAUUAACAAUUUAAAAGUAUCAUAAAAAAUAGAAAAACUUCUUUUUUCCUGGUCAGGUCAAUAAAGUCAUGAAAUUCUUCGUUUUUGAUUUUUUAUAAAAAAUGGAUUUAUCUGAACCAAUACAUGAUUUUCUUUUAGUCUUUCUAGGAUCGGGUCUUAUAUUAGGGGGUCUAGGAGUGGUAUUACUUCCCAAUCCAAUUUAUUCUGCCUUUUCCUUGGGUUUGGUUCUUUUUUGUACAUCAUUAUUCUAUAUUCUAUCUAACUCCUAUUUUGUAGCUGCUGCGCAACUACUUAUUUACGUAAGAGCUAUAAAUUUUUUAAUCAUUUUUGCUGUGAUGGUCAUGAAUGGUUUAGAAUAUUACAAAGAUUUUCAUCUUUGGAUCGUAGGAGAUGAAAUUACUUCGAUGGCUUGUAUAAGUCUUUUUAUUUCACUAAUUACUACUAUUUUAGAUACGUCAUGGUACGGUAUUAUUUGGACUACAAGAUCAAACCAGAUUAUAGAGCAAGAUUUUCUAAGUAAUAGUUAACAAAUUGGAAUUCAUUUAUGAACAAAUUUUUUUCUUCCAUUUGAACUUAUUUCAAUAAUCCUUUUAGUUUCUUUAAUAGGUUCAAUUGCUAUAGCUCGGCAAUAAAAAAUUUCUAUUAAAACUUGGAAUUCAAAUAAAAUUUUGUUCUAUCUUAUCACAUUCAUUUUCCUUCAAUUCUAUUUGAAUUUCAGCUGUAUAAAUAGAAAGACUUUAGGUCAAUCUAGUACCAAUAUAUUUUGUUGUUCCAUACUUGUUAUAUACUAGUCAAUUAAAUUGGUUGAAUUGUUGUUCAUAUUGAAAGGAGUCGAGAUUGAUAAGGAGUUGUUUAAUGAUUCUCGAGCAUGUACUUGUUUUGAGUGCCUAUUUAUUUUCUAUCGGCAUCUAUGGAUUGAUCACAAGUCGAAAUAUGGUUAGAGCCCUUAUGUGUCUUGAACUUAUAUUGAAUGCGGUUAAUAUAAAUUUUGUAAUAUUUUCUAUUUUUUUUGAUAAUCUUCAAUUAAAAGGAGACAUUUUCUCAAUUUUUGUUAUAGCUAUUGCAGCUGCUGAAGCAGCCAUUGGACUGACUAUUGUUUCAUCAAUUUACCGUAACAUAAAAUUAAAUCGUAUCAACCAAUCAAAUUUGUUGAAUAAUUAGUAUUAAUCAUCUAGAUUCUAAUAUUGAUAAAUCGAUUUUAAUUAGCAUGUUUGCUACGUAAGGUAUGAUCUUGUUUGCAAAACAUAAGAAAUCAAAGUAUUUUGGCCUCUCUCAUAUUUCAUAAACCAAUUCCGAAGGGGAUUGAUUGGAAAAUUAUGAUAACUCAUGAUUCAUCUGGUAUCUAAAUAUAUGAUUCAUUUCUAAGUUUAUUAGAUCAAAAAAUUAUAACAUUCAAAAACUUAUAGACCCAAUAUCACAUUCAGUAAAGAUUUAUGAUGCGUGUAUAGGAUGUACUCAAUGUGUCCGAGCCUGCCCCACCGAUGUAUUAGAAAUAAUACCUUGGGACGAUUGUAAGGCUAAAUAAAUUACUUCUGCUCCACGAACAGAGGACUUGUUGCUUGUAAGAGACGUGAAUCCGCUUGUCCAACAGAUUUCUUGAGUGUCCGAGUUUAUUUAUGGCAUGAAACAACUCGCAGUGGGUCUAGCUUAUUGAUACGUCCGAGAAAACUCUAAUCUAAUCCAUUUAAUUUUUUUUACCGAUAAACCUGUGCUCGAAAAUAAAAAUAUUUUGAGCAUGGAUUUAUUUGGUCCAAAUGUAUCUUGUCUUUACUACGAAUUAUUUUCCUUGGUUAACAAUAAUUAUUAUUUUUCCAAUAUUUGUGGGUUCUUUAAUUUUCUUUCUUUCCCAUAAAUAAAAUCGGGUAAUUAGGUGGUAUACUAUAUGUAUAUGUAUUUUAGAACUCCUUCUAACGACUUAUGCAUUUUGUUAUCAUUUCCAAUCGGAUGAUCCAUUAAUACAACUAGUGGAGGAUUAUAUAUGUAUAUAUAUAUAUAACAAAUUAUAAACAUAUACCUGAUCAGUAGCGGGGUAUGAAUUAGAGAGUGAUCUAGCAACACUUUUGCCCCAUUCAUUAACAUUAGUCCUACAAAAUAUUGAGCUUAAAUAACUUAAAAUGGAUUAAAAAGAGGUGAUUAUUUAGAAAACACAAACAUAAGUAAACCAAAUAAAUUAUAACUCGCUGAAAAUAAAUAAAUAAGCACAAUACUAAAAAUUUUAAAACUCAAUUUUUUGAACGAUGAUAAGAAGUUAUUUAGAAUUCUAAAAACAUGGUGCAUAGUUUAAUAUAUAUUAACGUACAAAGUGGUGCAUUGAGGGGGGAAAACGUACCAAUGCAUUAAGGGAAUCAAACCUAUCAACACUAAAUUUAUUUUUCAUAAGGUAUUUAUUAGGAGUCCUUUUUUUUAUUAGGAGUCCUUUUUCUAAUAUUCUUUUCCAUAUAUUUUAGGAAUCAUAUAUUUAUUUCUUUCCAUAUAUUUACUUUAAUUUUAGAAGUCCUGAAUUUAAUAAAAUAAUAAUUGAAGAAAAAUAGUGAAAAUACGAUUUUGUCUAAAGCAAAGACUUUUAAAAAAGGACAAAAAGUUAAAACAAUAUUUUCAAGGCCCUUCACACUUUUAAUAUAUAUAUAUAUAUAUAUAUAUAUAUAUAAUUUUAAUCAAGUUUAUUUUCUAAACCAUUCGAUGAAAUGAUUGGACUGCUUAGAUCAAGUCAACCAUCCAAAUUCCAUACACAUGCUUUCUAUUUUCAAAACCAGACUUGUUUCUUCUCUCCUCUUCCCCAACGUCGAUAAGUCUUCAUCACCUUUUCCAAAAACAACACAACAAACCAAUGACCUGUCUUCUUUUUCCUCCUUCACCUCUCUUCCACCUUAAUUGAAAUAAAUAGUUGUGUUAUGCCUCGCCCUUGUCGUUUGCCACCUCCGGCGAGAUUCACCUAUCUUUACAUUCUCUUAUCUGUAAUUUCAAUUACGAUAUUAUGAUAGAGGAAUAGUCAUGGUUCUAUAACAUAAAAUUGGUUUCAAACCCACAUAUAGGAUCCAAAAUAAUCCAAAUUCGCUAAGAGAAUUAUUCCUUUCAAAUUUUGAAAUUCGAAAUUUUUUUCUUGUCCUAUCCAUUAAAUUCAUCAAAUCUUUGAUUCAAAUACGGACUUGCAAUUCUGAAUUAAUCUAUAAAUAUGGGCAUUUUCCACCUUCAAAGGGAAGUUGGGAUUUUAAAAAAGUAGCAAAAAAUACUAUACAUAAACACUCACAUAUUCAAGAGUUAUUCACUACUCUCUCCUACCUUUUUGAUCUAAAUUUGAGUUUGAGUUCGAGUGGAAGAGGCUAGUAUUGAGUUAGAAUCCUUGACGUUGGAGCCUCAGUUUGCUGCCCAACACAAGGUAAGAUCCAUCCCUUUACUUUGCCUUGGUUCUUUCUUUGUUUGGUCUGGUUCUGAUUAAUAUGUGAUUUAUUUUAAUUUCAAGUUUAUGUUGGUACCUCUGUUUGUUCCCUACAAAAUAUGUCAAGAAUAUGAUUUUUGGUUUGUUCUUUAUUUGUUUAAUAUGUGGUUGUUGUGAGCAUGUAAAAUACGAAAUUCCAUCCCUAGUCUCAUUUAUUACCAAAUAUGAGUUUGAAGAGAUAUGAGAAAGUAUGUUGCCCUCAAAAUUUACUUUCUAGUGAACACUUUUUCUUUGUGUAUUUUUUGUUAUUUUUGUGGAUUGGAUUCUAGGAGGAGUAAGCAAAAACGAAGUACGCGAAUAAUCUCGUCUAGAUCGGGCUCAUUUCGUAUGACUUUUAUAUGUGAAUGUUUUGUGCAUAAACAAGUGUUGUAUGUGAAAUUUGUCUUAUUUUUUUCUUUUUAGUUAAAUAUACUAUUUUUAGGAUUUUGCCCAAAUUAUUUUGAGUUGAGUUGGUGUUUUUAAUUAUUCUUCUCGAAGCGAGUUCAGAUAUUGGUUUUGUUUUAAAUUUCUGGUUAUUUCAGUAUAUGUGGUUUCUUAGUGUCUUAAAUAAGCAAAAAGCAGAAAUUUCAUCCUUCCCUUAUUUUGUUUUUACCAAAUAUGCAUUUGCGAAGACAUGUGAUUGUACGUUGCCUCUUUUCCACAUAUAUUUGUUUAGUCUACCUUCGUUAUAUUCUUUACUUAUUGAGUUUUAGGAGUAUGUAUGUAAUGAACUUGUCCAUUAUUACAUAUAAGACUUCCACUUAAAAUUACAUAUGAAUUCAAAGUUAUAAAUUUUAGGUUAGGCUAGUUUCAAAUAAAAUCGAAGCAAGGCACGGUCUAAGACAAUCCAGAAAUAAUUUGGAUAAGUUUAGUGGUUGUUGAUUUGAUCCUUAGUCAUCUAAGGCAAUAGAAAACCCAUAGAAUUUUCUGAAAUCAAAUUUGGAUAAAUAAAACUUUUGAAAUUGAUCUUAGCAUAAAGGGUAUUAUUUGUAAAGUCUUCAAUUUAAGGUGUGUUGUAUAAAGAGAAUUUUUUUUUGUAGAAAUUGGACAUUCUGUCCCAUCAACAUCUCUAUAGAAAUGCGCAUGUCACUACAAAAACAUGCUCAAAAUUAGGAAAAUUUGCACUAUGAGAAUAGUCAACGCGAUCAAAGGGUCGUUAUAUGAUGAUGCUACUAUAGCGAUGGUGCAAUAGCAACAUAAUCAUUGUUUUAUUUCAAAAGCCCUCAAAAUAGUUUAUUUUUUCAAAAAUUAUUUGGGGCUUCAGCAGUGGCAAUUUGGUGUGGAAAACCAACCAUUUUUAAUCAUAUUUCAUCGUUAAGGUAAGAAAUUCAUCCCCGUCAAUUAGUAAAUCAGUAAUCUAGACUUAGCAUUGCUAGUUUUCACAGUUUUAGGAGGUUUAAGGGUUGGCAUUUCAUGUUUUUUCAUUCAAUGAGAUAAAUUGAGUAUAAAAUUAAUGAGUUUUGCUUAAUUACUGUUAUUUUAUCCUUGCAUGUCAUUAAUUCACUAAAUCACCCAAGUAGAAAAGACCAAGAACAAAGAGGGAAUAAUUAUUAACUUAGCCUUAAGGGUUGGGCGUGAUUUAUAAUUCUUAACAUGGUAGGUUAUUUUGGUAAUUACAUGUUUAUAUGCAUUUUCCAGAUUGAGAUAAAGUGAAAAUUACACGAAAGGGAAAGGCUCCAGCUUAGUGGAGUUGUGAAGCUUGGUUUGAGGUAGGUGAUGGUAUUGUAGUUUAAUUAAAUUUAUACUAUAUUUGCAUUUUAACUACUUCUUAGUUUGGCUUAUUAGUGUAUGUUGUUUGGUGUGGUCCAAGUAAUUAUUUUGUUCUUGUUGUAUGAUUGUGACCAACCUUAUAGUUAAAGAGGAAUGUUCUAAUAUUUUAAAUGUUCUCUCAGCUUUUUGGUGGAAUAAAGUUGGCCGACACUUGUAUAUAGGGUUUUAGCACAUGGAUGAAAUUUGUUCCCUGUAGGUCAUAGUUAGAGGGUGGUUAUGAUACCCAUAUUAUGUAUUUAUGAGGUUUAGGUAAAUUUGACAAUUUCAUGAGUGAAUCAGGAAAUACAUUUAUAUAUAUAUAUAUAUAUAUAUUAUUACUUAACUUAUAUUGGUUGGUAUUGACUUGGUUUAACUUAUUUGACUUGGUGGUAAAUGACUUAACUUGUAGCUUGUACUCCUCAACUGUUAAUUGAUAAUUGGUAUUCUAGAGUAUGUUAGAAUGAGUAUGGAUUAAAUUGUUGUGCUAUGUUUUGCUUAUAUGCUCAUAUUCUCAUCUUGGGUUGGCCAAAUGACCCUACUAGUAUGUUGUUGUUUUCUUGUGUGUUGAUACUAUACUUGAUCUUAUUUUUUUGUGUGUAGCAUAUAUUCCAGCGGCUCCUAUGAGAUCUCAUUUGUGAUUUCAAAGGGUGAUUCAAGUUUCAGGGUGAGCAACAUACUCUGGCUACCAUGGAUUCUUUCUCUUAUGACUUUAUUCUUUAUUUUAGGACUUAUACUUUUUCUUAGUUUUGGGGUUGCAUCCCCUUCUUGACAUUCUUAGAUGUUUUGGUACGGAUGACUUUUUGGUUCUACUGGUGGUUUUGUUAAGUGCAUUGUUCUGAAAUUAGUUAUAAUUAUCUAUUGCUUUCUGGAUUUGAAUAUUUUUUAAUGUAUUAGUUCAGUGAAUCUUUUAAGUAUUGAUUAUAAGAUAGUAGUUCAUGGGUAGAUGGUCCUCCCAUCGAAUGAGUAGUGUGGGUUCUAAUCAUGACGGGUUUGGAUCAUGACAAAGUUAGUAUCUGAGCCUAGGUUUGUUGAUAUCGUUUUACAAAAUUAGAUCUGACAGAGUCUCGCAGAAUAGUACAAAGAUGUCUAUAAUUUUCUUUGGAAGGCUAUAGGACUUUGGGAAAAUUGUCAUUCUUUCAUCUUUCGAGCUAUAACUUGAUUCCAAUUGGUAUCUAGCAAUUAAAUAAGUAUCUAAAUUUUCUUUACUCUUUUAUCUGCAGAUGUGACUAUUAGGUCAAAUAGAACUCGAUCAAUAGCCUCCGCACCGCCUGCUCUAGCUGUGGAGCUAGUCAUAAAGAAAAGAGGAUACAUGAGAGAGAGAGAGGUAGGGAAAGGAGGGGAGGAUCCACACCCAUUAGGGGUGGAGCUCAAGUAGUGACUGACUAGACCCUUUAAAGUUUAGUAUUUCCUCACCCUUCUUAGGAUCAUUUAGAGCAGAUAAAAGUAGUAGAGAAGUAGGUAAUGGGGCUUGAAGUGGUGGCACUAACUGGGGUUGCAACUUUACCCUUUAUGUCAGUUGAGGUUGUUCAAUAGGUGUUAGAUCUUUUAAAUGGGUUGGUGGGAACUGGAUCCACCACUACCGUGUUAGUUAUUCAGGCUCCAAAUAUUCAUCCUACUAUCUCUGUAACUCCUAGAAUAGAUGAGGCUUCAAGGAUAGAUAAUUUUACUUAUCCGGUUUUAGGUUUAUAAUGAUUGGUACAUAAUACGAGAUGUUAAUAAAAUGUUUGAAAAUAAAACCUUCAAUUUUCAGAGUACUAAGACAGAAAAUGAUUUUGAGUUCAUCAUUGACUACUAUGAGAGUUUGCAAAAUAUUGGCAUUUUGUAGAAACAUGGAGUUGAAUUUGAGAUUUUUCUAUUAGAGAAAGAUGUUAUGAAAUGGUGGAGGGCGUAUGUUGAAUGUCUAUCACCGAUUUUUCCUCUAUUGACUUGGAAAUAGUUUCAUACUUUGUUCUUAGAGAAGUAUGUGCCUCGUGCCCUCUGUGAUUGCAAGAAGGAUGAGUUUUUGGCAUUGGAGUAGGGUGACAUAUCUGUUGUGGCCUAUGAGAUUAUGUUUCAUGCUUUGUCUUACUUUUCUACUCAUUUGUAGGCUAUUGAGAUAAAGAGGAUUCAAUACAAUGUCAAGGGUUUGAAUUAUAAUCUUUAGGUCUUGUCUAUAUAUAUGACUUUUGUGGUGAAGGGGUUUAAUGGGAGGUGUCAGAUUAUGUGAAGAAGUUUGAAGGGACGAUACAAGCUGGUCAGACUAAGAUGUUAUCUAAGAAAUCCCACAAUGUUGGGAAUUUUAGCAGGUCGUUAUCUAAGGGAAACAGUUAGCAGGCCUUUCCAGCUUGCCCUAUUCAAUCAACAUUGCUAGAUUCUACUAUAGGUCCAGCUAAGAAAUCUUCUCAAUCAUAGAUUAUUAAGAGCCAAGGGUCUUCUUACUCUUCUACCUGCCAGCCUUCUCUCAAGUGGGGAUAAUACUAUUAUGGUAUUUUGGGUCACUUUAAGAAGGAGUUUUCUUUGAGAUAGGCUAAUGCCUAGGAGCAACAACUAACUUGAGCUAUAGUUCCAGUAGAUAGAGAGGGGGAAUGGAAAAAGGUCAUUCAUUGAGUAGAUGGGGAACUCAAGUAGGAGGUUGAGGUAGUUGAGAAAAUAGCUGCACAGGGGGAGGAGCAUAACUGAGGAAGCAGUUACCUCAGAUUAAUGAUAUGACUUACUGUUAUACCUUUUUGGAAAAAAAUUAAAGUUGAGGAUUCUGAUGCGGCUCUCAUAGGUACAAUUUCUAUUUGUGACCGGAUGGUUUCUAUUUUAUUUAGUUUAGGUUCUACUUAUUCAUAUGUAUCUAUCCAGUUUAUGGUGCGUAUGAAUUUGGUAUGUGAUGUACUUGACUAUCCUAUUAAUGUGUUUACUUCGAUUGGUGAGUUUGUGCUUGUAACCCAUGUCUAUCAUUCUUGUUCUGUGUUUUUUGUAGGUUUUCAUACUUGGGCAGAUUUAAUUAUUCUGUAUAUGUUGGACUUUGAUGUAAUUUUGGGUAUGACCUAGUUAUGUCCAUAUCAUGUUGUCUUAAAUUAUAAUUCCAAGACAGUGACUCUAGCUAUGCUUGGAAUGGAUCAACUAAAGUGGAAGGGAGUGUAUAAAUCUAAACCGGUAAGAUUAUAUCAUUAUCAGGGCUAAAAUGUUAAUGGAAAAAAGGUGUUCAAUAUUUUUAGCUCAUCUCCGGGAUGUGCUUAUGGAGUCCCCUUCUAUAAAAUCAAUUUUGGUGGUUUUUGAAUUUUAGAAUAUGUUUUCUUUAGACUUAUCAGGUACGCCUUUAGAUAGAGAUAUUGUUUUUUGUAUGGAUAUAGAGUUGAGAACUAGCCCUAUAUCUGUUCCUCUGUAUCAGAUGUCUCUAUCAGAGUUGAGGGAACUCAAAAUAUAAUUGCAGGAACUACUUGACAAGGGGUUUAUUUUUCUAAUUUCCUCACCUUGGGGUACUUUGGUCCUAUUUGUUAAGAAGAAGAAUGACGGUAUGAGUAUGAGCAAUGAAUAUAGACAGUUAAAUAAGUUUACCAUUAGAAAUGAAUAUCCUUUACCACACAUAGAUGAUUUUUUUGACCAGUUAUAGGGUGCAGUGGUGUUUUCUAAGAUUGACUAGCAGUUGGAUUAUCAUCAAUUGAAAGUUAGCCUGGAGGACAUACCAAAGACAACUUUUAGAACUCGUUAUGGCCAUUACGAGUUUCUGGUGAUGUCUUUCGAGCUAACUAAUGCGCUUGUAUCCUAUAUAAGCUUGAUGAACGAUAUUUUUAAGUUAAUCUUGGAUUCUUUUUUUGUUGUGUUCGUUGAUGAUAUUCUAGUCUACUCCAAGAGUAAAGAGGAGCAUAAAGGUCAUCUUCUCUUAGUAUUGGAGAUUCGAAGGGAGAAAUAGUUAUUUUUUCAGAUUUUCAAAGUGUGAAUUCUAGUUGUAAUUAGUUGCCCUUUUGGGGCACAUUGUUUUUAAAAAGGGGGGGGGGGGGGGGGGUAAUGGUGGACCCUCAAAAGAUUAAGGUAGUUAAGAAUUGGAUUCGGCCUAAUUUAGUGAUCAAUGUAAGGAGCUUUGUAGGUCUUGCUAGUUAUUACCACAGUUUUUUCAAGAAAUUUGCAUCCAUUGCAAUGCGCUUGAUAAGGUUUACUCAAAAGAAAGUGCAAUUUGUUUAGUCAGAUCAAUAUGAAGAAAGCUUCAAAAAUCUCAAGACACUCUUGACUACAGUGCCUAUCCUUUCAUUAUCGAUUGAAGGUAAGGACUUUAUAGUGUUUUGUGAUGCUUUAGUUUUUGAGUUGGGUGUUGUGUUGUUGCAGGAUAGGAAUGUCAUAGCUUAUGAUUUGAGGCAGUUGAAGCCUCAUUCAAAGAACUACCCGACCUAUGACUUAGAGUUGGUAGUAAUGGUGUUCACAUUAAAGAUUGGAGACAUUAUCUUUAUGGUUUCAAGUGAGAGGUCUUCAUAAACCACCAUAACCUGCAAUAUGUGUUUACUUAAAGGAUUUUAUAAGGCAGCAAAGAUGGAUAGAGUUGUUAAAGGAUUAUAAUAUGACUAUUUAGUACCAUCUAGGUAGGGCUAAUGUGAUGUCAUAUGCAUUGAGCCAAAAACUGUAAGUAUAGGUAGUUUGUCAUUCUUGAAGGUGUCCAGGUAACCUUUAGCUAAAGAGUUUUAAACUCUAAAAUCUCAGAGUAUGUAAUUCAGGAUUUCAUAUAGGGGUGGAAUAUUGUCUAAUGCUGAGGUAAAGUCAAUAGUUUUAGAGCGGAUUAAGGCGAAAAAAUUUAAGGCCAAGAAAUUGAAUGCACUCUGGAAUAAAGUGGUGGGUGGGGAUGUGGUGGAAGCUACUCUUAAUGCGAUUGGGGUAUUGUGGUUUAAGAAAAGGUUAGUGUUUCUUGGGUUAGUGAUGUGAUUUUUGAUGUGCUUUUAAAAGCCCAUGGUUCAUGUUGUUCGAUUUAUUAGGGUACGACAAAGAUGUACCAUGACUUAAGGCAGCUUUAUUACUGGCCCAGGAUGAAAAUGGACAUAGUGAAUUAUGUGUCCAAAAGUUACAAUUGUCAACAGGUGAAUUAUGAACAUCAAAUACUUGCGGGAUUGCUUCAGAGGAUGCUUACACCUAUGUAGAAAUAAGAGUAUAUUGCUAUAGAUUUCAUUGUGGGUCUUCCUAAGACCUUGCAGAAAUAUGACUCUAUUUGGGUGAUAGUGGAUCAGUUGACAAAACCAUCUUACUUCUUAUCGGCUUGGGUAGAAUACAGCUCCCAACAGUUAGUAAAGAUUUAUGUCAAGAAAAUUGUGGGACUUCAUGAGGUACCCCUUACCAUCAUUUUGGAUAGAGAUACAACAUAUACUUAUAAAAUUCAGUAAAGUUUGGAUGAGGAAUUAGGCACCAAGCUCACAUUUAGUAUGACUUUUCAUCCUCAAAUUGAUGGGCUGUUGGAGAGGAAAAUUCAUGUGCUAGAGGACAUAUUAAGAGCCUAUGUUAUUGAUUUUGGAGGUCAUUCAGACCAGUUUCUUCCAUUGUGUGAAUUUUUAUACAACAACAACUAUUAAUCCAUCACCGACAUGGCAACAAUCGAGGCACUCGAUGGAAGAAAGUGUAGGUUACCAAUUGGAUGGUUUAAGACUGCCGAUGUUAAGACUUUGGGCACUGACUUAGUAAGGGAGGCUAAAAAAUGUAAGGUACAUUGAAACCAAGUUGUUGGCUACUCAAAGUAAGAAGAAGGAGUAUGUGGACCAUAAGUAAGGGACAUGGAAUUUAAGAUUAGUGAAUAGGUGUUGCUUAAGGUAUCUCCCAUUAAGUGAGUCAUGAGAUUCUAUAAGAGGGGAAAGCUUAGCCCUCGAUAUAUUGGUCUCUUUGAGAGUAUUAAGGGUAUGGGUCCGCAUACAGGCUAGCAUUACUUCUAGGGUUGUCAGGAGUUCUUUCAGUGUUUCAUAUUUCUAUGUUCCAAAUAUAUCAUAGAGAUGGAGAUUAUAUCAUUAGAUAGGACUCGAAUCUAUUAGAUAAAGAUUUGGCUUAUAAAGAAAAACUAGCGCCGAUUUUAGAUCAGGAUGUCUAAAAGUUAAGGACAAAGUAAAUUCAUUUGUUUAUGUUUCAAUUGAAGCAUCGUACGGUCAAGGAGUCCACUUAGGAAAGUGAGAAGGACAUGUGGGAUCAGUAACCUCACCUGUUUGAGGAUGCAGGUACUUUCUCUUCUCUACUAGUUUUAGCUUAUUUUCUUGGUUGAUCAUUUGAGGAUGAGCAAUGGGUAAACCAAUAUCUGUCAUAAUGACUUGUCCAUCGUUAUGUAUAAGACUUUGAUUUAAAAUUUUAUGUUAAAAUUCUUCCAAAAUGCUAAGUUAUAAAUUUCAAACUAGCUAAUUUUCAAUGAAAUAGGAUCGAGAUAUGGUCUAUAUCUAUAUUUAAUUUCAACCCUCUCCUAAAAUGUUUUACUUUUGUAAGAAAUAUUUGGGGCUUCAACAAUGGAGAUUUAGGGAGAAAACCAUCCAUUUUUCCUCAUGUUUUAUCGUCAUGGUAAGAAAUUCAUCCUUGUUAACUAGUAAAUCAAUAAUCUAGCCUUAGAAUUGCUCGUUUACAUAGUUCAAAGAGGGUCAAGGGUUGAUUUUUCUUGGUUUUCUAAAAGAAAAAGGUUGAGUAUAAGAUUAAUGAAUUUUGCUUUAUUAUUAUUAUUGUUUUAUCCUUGCAUGUCAUUAAUUCACUAAAUCACCCAUGAAAUAGGUAGUUUUAGGUGAAUUAAAGUAGAAAAGCCCUAGAAUAGGAAGGAAAUAAUCAUGAACUUGGCCUUAAGGGUUGGGCUUGAUUCAUAAUUCCUAACAUGGUAAGUCAUUUUGUUAAUUACAUAUUUAUAUGCAUUUUCUAUACCAAGAUCAAAUGAAAAUUGCAGGGAAGGGAAAGUCUCCAUCUUAGUAGAGUUGUGCAAGCUUGGUUUGAGGUAGGUGAUGAUAAUUGUAUUUUAAUCCUGUUUGCACUCUAUGUGCAUGUUAACUACUUCUUAAUAUGAAUUAUUAGUGCAUGUUGUUUGGUAUGAUAAAUGUAAUGAUUUUAUUCUAGUUGUAUGGUUGUGACCAACCUUACGAUUAAAUAAGGAAUAUUCUAAUAUUUUAAAUGUUCUCUUAGCUUAUUGGUGGAAUAAGGUUGGCUGACACUUGUAUAUAGGAUUUUAGUACAUAGACAAAAUUUGUCCUCCGUAUGUCAUGGCUAAAGGGUGGUUAUAAUACCCAUAGAGUGUAUGUACGAGUUUCAGGUGAGUUUGAUAAUUUCAUGAGGGAACCGACACAUUUAUAUAUUUAAUUAUUGCUUAACUUAUAUUGGGUGAUAUUGACUCGGCUUGACUUAUUUGACUUAGUGGCAAAUGACUUGGCUUAUUGCUUGCACUCCUAAACUGCUAAUUGAUACUUGUUAUGCUCGAAUAUGUUAGAAUGAACAUGGAUUAACUUAAUGUUUUGGUUAUACGCUUAUAUUCUUAUCUUGAAUUUGCCAAAUAACCCUACCAGUACACUAUUAUUUUCUUGUAUGCCGAUACUACACUUGCUCUUAUUUUGUUGAGUACAAUGCAUAUUCCAGCGACUCCUACGAGACCUCAUUUGUGAUUACAAUAGGUGAUUCAGAUUUUAGGGUACGCAGUAUACUGGGGCUACCAUGGAAUCUUCAUCUUAUGACUUUGUCUUUUGUUUUGGGACUCAUGUAUUUUCUUAGUUAUGGGGUCGCAUCCCUUUCUUAACAAUCUUAGAUGUUUUGAUAUGGAUGACUUUUGGGUUCUAGGGGUGGUUUUGUUAAAUGCAAUGUUCUGCAACUUUGUACUUGUGUUUUUCUUUUUGGAUUGGAACAUCUUUUAAUGGAUUAUUGCAUUGACUCGUCUAAGUAUUGAUUAUAAGUUAGUAGUUUUGGGCUAAAUGAUUCUCCCACCGGAUGAGUAAUGUGGGUGUCAUCGUCUUUAUAUCCUCGACAUUGUAUUUAAUCAAAAAAGAUGUCACAACAUGAAUUUAUGGCUGAACGGUAAAUAUAUGUUUGCACCACUAUUUAAGGACCUAUAUAAAUUAUGCAAAGUUUAUUCUGAUCUUGCAAUGGUUGUUUCUUUACUGUCUGGACAAAUAAAAAAAUGAACAUUAUAUCUUAGAGAAACAUCUUAACCAAACCUUUUACAUUCUUGUUUGGUGUGUGUGUGCUUUUUGAUUUUUUAAAAAUAGUUUUACAAUAUCACUUAAUUGGUUCCUAAUCCUUUUCCUUUUUCUCUUUGAUGCAGUUAUGUUAAACUCCAUUCCUGUUCGUAAUGGAUCGAGUCAUGUCUGCGAGUUCUACGUUUCGCAUUGGGAAUCUCUUUUCCUUUUUAUGUUUUGAUUUCUUUGUGUUGUUUUGUAUUUACUAACACUCUGUUUCCUUUAAGCUUGUGGGUUCUAUGUGUUUUAAAAUGUCCUUUAUGUAGUUUUACUUGGUCAUUUCAGGAACGAGAGGCAUCUUUUUUCUGUUUAUAGUUUUUAGUUCAUUCAGUAAGGUCAAGUGAAGCCUAAAAACAAUUAUAAAGGGGAUUGUGUAGCCUAGUCAAAUGUUUUGGUAUUUAUUCAAAUUAGGGGUGUGCAAAAACCGAACCGAUAAAAAUGUUAUUGGUUUAUUGUUAUUGGGUUACUGGGUUAACGGUUUUUUAAUGAUUUUAUACAAAAAAUUAUUGGGUUAUUGGUUCGGUUCAAUUUUUUUCGUAUUGGAUUAUUAGGUAAACCGAUAACCCAAUAAGAAUAUAUAUAUAUAUAUUAAUUUCUCUUUAAUUUCUAUAAAUUCACAAACCUAUUAUUUCAAUUAUACAAACUCUUAAAUUCUCCUGACAACAUUUAGUUCAAACUUGAAGAUUCUUGUAAAUUAAAACACAUCAUGUAGGAUUUUUGAUUUCAACUAAGAUUCAUUUUUUUUCAUGUUAGUUACUACUAUUUCUAUUUUAUGAGUAUUUUGUUAUCGAUUAAACCAAAAACUGAACUGAUAAGGACUAAAAACCGAUAAAUCAAAAACCGAUAAAAAAUAUCUUAUUGAUUUGGUUAUUGGUUUAGCAUAUUUAAGAACCAAAAUUUGAUAAAUUAAAUCAAUAAUAUAUAAAAUAAAAUCAAACCAACCGAUGCACACCCCUAAUUCAAAUGAUCCAAGUUUUCACCAAGUUAUUCACAGAGUUUCUAAAACUUUGAUUUGAAAGUUGAGCUUUCUCAUUUUAAAAGGUCAUAGAAAUCUAGAAUUAAUUGUCAGUCCAAAUUUGUUUCCUUAAAAAAUGAACCAUGAUCAAAAUUCUGACUUUUCUACUCAACUCAAUAUACCAUUAUCGUUUUGCUAUAUUCUACUUAAUAUUUAUUUUUGAGAUUUCAUAUUUUUAAAAGUGUCCAAAUAAAAAUUUGAUGAAAUACGUAAAAUUUGUGAUUUUAUGUGAUUUGACUAUUUUAACCCUCUCUAUAGUAUAUUAUGGUAUUUAUAGGGUGUGGGAGUAAUUGGCAUGAUUUUCGAUGCAUUCUGAUACCAUUUAUGUGAUAUUGUGGUUUUUGAUGGCUUCGAGAGCCUUAUUUUAUACUUAUGGGGAUAUUUUUUGAUCCAUACAAUGGAUGAUCGAACGGACUACGCCAGAAGCUCCGGAAUAUCGAUUUUAGGCUAGGUAGACCUUUUGUUUGGGUUCCGAUGCACCCGAGCUCAUUUCGACCUAUUGAUCAGAAAGUUGAAAAAUUGAAAAUAUGGAUGUGGGACCAACAUUUGAUCGAAACUACCUUGGAUAGAAAAUUCGACUUUGCCAACAUAUCUGGAAUGUCAAUUUUAGGGUGUUAGCAUGUUUGGUAUGAUUUUAUGACUUUUAAGUCUCAUUUCGACCCUCGAUUUGAAAAAUUAUAAUUUCGGAUUUCGGGGGUCAACUUUGUGAAAAUAAUACUUUUUUGAAAAUCUGAAAUCACCAUCACAUUCAAAACGUCAAAUUUAGUAUGGUUCCAUAGUUUGUUUGCAUAUAUCGGAUUUAGAACGAAUCUCGGGCACCCCGUCGAAGUUCGGAUUGGAAGUAAAAAAAAACAGUUUCUUUCUGCUAUAACAGUGCAGAAAAUCUGCACUAUUUAAGCAAUUUUUUGAGUCUAUUUUGCUCAUUUUCAUCUUAUCUCUUGAAAUUUAAAUCCUGAAAUAGUACGGGAGCUUAAAAGUGAAGUUUGUGGAGCUUGGAAAACUAGAUUAACAUAUAUUUCUUGGUUUUAUUACGGAUUUAAGGUAAGAAUUCACUCCUUUUUUAGUAAUUUCUUGAUUAAUUUCUCAAAAUCCCCAAAAUCUUAGAGUUUGAUUUUAAACCAUAAUUUCACUCCUUUUCACUUGAAUAAUAAUUUUUUUAUCUUAUAAUUACUAGUUUUUUAUCAAUUUAACCUUCAUAACAACUCCGAUUCUUGAUUUUAACUCAGAUUUUAAAGAUUUAAUCCGGUAAAGCUUUAAAAUAAUUUUUCAUCAAUUUGAACCUCAUUUUUGACUCAAUUUGACUUGGGUUUUUAGAUGCAGAUUCUUAAAAAUAUGGAAAAAAUAUUUUUGAAGUAAAAUUCUGAAUUUGCCCUUCUUUUUGGAAACACAUUUUGGGGGUCCAUUUUAAUCCCGAACCAAAAGUAGUCAAUAUGGGUGUUGUUGGUUUUAUUUUAAUCCAUAGAUUUCAUGUUUUAUAUUUUUAGUAGAGUUCGGGAUCAUUCGUGGAAAGUAAGGUCGUGGGUUUGAAGUGUAGAGCACCGAUUUCGGCUUUUAAGGUAGGUUAUGACUUAACUUUUUUAGACUAGGUUGGAUAAUAAAUAAUGGUACAAAAUACCUAUUAAGGGUGGGAAUGAAUCAUGAAAAAUGUCUAUCUAUGUGUUGUGCCAAUGUGGGAGCCUAUGUGUGAUGUAAUUGUCGAAAUUAGGAUAUUAUGUGAUAUGUGUGACCGUGUGGGGUCCUAUGUGACAUUAAUAGUCUUGAAUACAUGUGAAUAAUUAUAUUGUGUUGUUGAAAUUCUUAAUGUGGUACCAUUGGUGUAUUGUUAUUAUAUUCAUACUUUAUUAGUAUAUGAGACGUGGAAAUUCAUGUAUGAAAUGAAAAUAAUGAAUAGAUAUUGGCUCACGUGGUUGUAAAAAUAUAUCAUUGGGGUUGGUUGUGGAAAUAUAUCAUAUGGUUGGUUGUGGAAAUAUAUUAUGUAGUUGGUUGUGAAAAUACUCAUUGUGAUUGGUUGUGAGCAUUAUAUCUUCAUAUCAUACUCAUUCAUGAAACAUUCGUACCACCGUGGCAACAUCUAAGAAACACUGACAACACUUGAUAACACCUUUCUGAGAGAUGUGCCAGAAAGAAGAGAUGAUAUAUGUGGAUUGUAUAUAGGUUGAUGAACCCCCCAUGGGUCCUGCGUUGGGAGGCUUACCUCCAUUGGUGUAUACAGGGAUUAUGCAACGAUCCCAGAGCUUGUGCAACGACCUCGUGCAUCACCAUCAUCAUAUAUAUUGCAUUACUUUAUUGUGAUUAUAUUGUGUUGUAAGUCCAUUUAUGUAAUUGUCUUAUCUUCUUUUACUUGUAUUUGAUGAUCUUGUAUAUUCAUGUUCCCUCAUGUUCUACUUUUAUGUGAUAUAAUGCAUACUUAUGUUCUAUCUUGUUGUAGUGUUGCAAUAUAUGUGAUAUAUUAGACUGUUAGUGUAAGUGGUGCAGGCUACUAUUAUGAGACAUUUUCUAAUUGCAAGUGACGUGCUCUUAGUAUAUAUUUUGUAUGCUUUAUUUACUAUUUUGCUUGAUCGGCCUAUGAUACCUACUGAGUACAAGUGGACCGUAAUCAUGCCUACUACGCCCUUUCGGUAGAGGUCCUAGCUCGAGUGCGCCUCAUCUUGCUUGACUUGGGUGAUUGUUGGAGCUUCCAAGGUAGCGGUUAGACAUUCAUGCAUCCGAAGUUCACCUUUUUAUUUCUAUAGUAGUUAUGCUUUAUUAGUUUCGGAGACAUAUAUAAUUCCUUUGUGUUUAUUUUUCUGAUGUAUUUGACUUUUGGAUUGUAUUAGUAGUUCUUACACUAUUGACACCUAGUUUUGGGCAUGAUUGAUAUUUUGGAUAAUUUUUUUCUUGCAUUGUUAUGACUACUUAUAUGGUUCGGCUUUAUUCUAGAAGCCUUACCUUGGGAUGUUUCUAUCCUUUUCUCUUUUGUAUCAGUUUAGGUGAUAGGCUUACUUGUUAAGAUACACUACGAUAAGUGCCAUCAUGACCUUUAUUUUUGGAUCAUGACAAAUUGGUAUCAGAGCCAGGUUGGUUUCAUUGGUCUCAACGGUGUAAGGACAGGAUGUCUAAUAUAUUCUCGUGGAUCAGUACAUAGACAUUCGUAUAUAUCUUUGAGAGGCUAUAAGACGUCAUUAGGAAAUUUUCCUUAUUUUAUUCUUUAUCGUGCGAAGUUCUUUCAUACCUUAUGUUCUUAGUUAUGUUUUACUCUUUCUGCGUGGAUGAUGUGGCUUAUACUACUAUCAGUUGAUAGAUGCUAUGAGAGAUUGGUGGAUAUUAUUUAUCGAUUAUAGGCCUAUUGAUGCUCCUGAGUUGUUAUGGGAUCAUUUUGCUGAUGCCUUUCUAGAGAGAUUCAUGCCUUAUAGUUUGAGGGAUCAGAUGCAGGAUGAGUUUGAUCAUUUGGAGCAGGGCUCCAUAGUAGUUGUUGAGUAUAAGACACACUUCCAUGCCCUGUCUAGAUAUUCCUAGGAUAACAUUUUCACUGAGUCUAAGAAGAUUCAGAAGUUAAUGAAGGGUUUGGAUAUUUCUCUUUAGAUGGCUUCGUCUCAAAUGGAUUUUUUCGGGGCUUCUUUUCAGAGUAUUGUGGAUCAUGCUAAGAUGAUAGAGGGUUUUCUUAGUUCAUCUUAGGGAGGCGCCAAGAAGGCGUGAUGUUUUGGUGAGUUUAGGAGUCAGACCUCUCAAGGCAAAGAUUUUAGGGGUUCUCGUGGAUACCAUGGUAGGCCAGUGGCGGCUUUCAGAGUUCAGGUGGUGCAUCUUCUAGUUCAACAGUUUAGGGUGGCCGUUCUGGCCCAGUUUUACCUUCUCCUAUUGAGGUUGUUCAUAGAGGUUGUUAUAUGUGUGAUGAGAUUGGCCAUGUGGCCAGGGACUAUUCCUGUUAGGUGAUUCGAGCUACUCCUAUUUCAGUUGUGAGAGGUAGGGGUUUUACCAGAGGUGCGAGAGGUAAAGAUAGUAGAGCCCAUGGUGGUGAUCGUAGGGCUACCCAGGCAGCUGGUGGUCAUGGUCAAUGUUAUGCUAUACCGGCUAGACUUGAGGUAGAGGUUUUUGAUGCUGUGAUUACAGGUAUCAUAUCCAUUUGUUUCAGACUUGUAUCUUUAUUAUUUGAUCCCGGAUUGAUUUUCUCCAUUGUGUCUGCGUAGUUUGCUUUGGGUUUUGAUUUUGUUAGUGAGCUGCUUUCCAUACCUAUUCAUGUAUCAACCCAGUAGGUGAUUCUUUAGUCGUGGAUCAGGUGCACCGAUCUUAUGUUGUGACUUUUGCCGGGCGUGAGACUUUGGUAGACUUGCUUGUGUUAAACAUGGUCGAUUUUGAUGUUAUUUUAGGUAUGGAUUGGUUGUAUCCUUAUCAUGAUGUCUUUGAUUAUUUUGAUAAGACUGUGACUUUAGCUUCGCCGAGUGUGCCAAGGAUAGCUUGGAAGGGUGCACUUCAUUCUAGUCUAAGAGUAUUAUAUCUUAUGUUCAGGUUCAUAAGUUGGUUGAGAGGGGAUGUUUGUCUUACUUGGAUCAUAUUCGUGACACCAGUGUUUUGGAUUUUUUCUUGGAUUCUGUCUGUGAAUUUAUGGAUAUGUUCCCUACGGACUUUCUUGGUAUGUCUCUGAAUCGAGAUAUUGAUUUCGCUAUUGAUGUUGAGCCGGGCACCAAGCCCAUUUCUUUUCCUCCUUAUAGGAUGGCCCCAAUAUAGUUGAAGGAACUAAAGGAUCAGUUGCAGGAGUUGUUGGAUAAGGGAUUUAUCCAACCUAGUGUUUCACCUUGGGGUGCGCCUGUCUUGUUUGUGACGAAAAAGGAUGGGUCUAUACGGAUAUGUAUUGAUUAUCGACAGUUGAAUAGGGUGACGGUUAAAAAUAAGUAUCCUCUUCCUCGCAUUGAUAAUUUGCUUCAUCAGCUCCAGGGUUGUAACGCCCCAAAAAAGUACCCGGAACGUCACAUGGUGCUCCAGAAUACAAGUAUCCCCAAGCAAACCCUUUAAACCUUAUAAUAACUUUGAAACUUAUAAUAAAGGUGAACUACUCAAGCAAAAUCUUACAAUACUGAAUUACUGUCUUAAAUGAAAAUCUUAAUCAUGGAAAUAAUGCUUUAGAAUCUAGAACAUAAACACAGUCUGAGAAGCUUCUACUAUUAACUAGAGAGUCACUGGGACAAACCCCCAAUUGACUCGAACUAAGCUGAAAACAACUGAUUUAAAAUACUUCAUGAAGCUGAAAAAUCUGAAUAAAUAGGUCCUCGAACUAUGAGGACUCACCAACUAUUAGGAUGUAGGCAAAGAUGCUCACGAUUAAUCACACUGCUGGAGCUGAGCACCUGAACCUACAUUAUAAGACAAUGUAGCACAUAAACACAUAUGUGGAUCAGUACUUUUGGAAUGUACUAAGUAUGUGGGGGUGAAUGCAUAAGUAAAACAAUACUUAAUAGUCAUAUAAACAUUCAAAUAAUUCAUACUAAGCAUAAAAGACUCACCUUGAGCUUGAAUAAAACUGAAAACUAAAAAUCAUCAAUCAUGAAUAAUCAAGUAUACCGUAUAAAUCUUGUGAGUCAUAACACUUAGUUCUAAAAGUUGUACUUUUACUUUUUCUAUUGGGAGGUUCUUCGAACCGAUAUAAAUCAUGUAAGCUAUCAUGGAGUCCAAUGUGUUGUUCUCUAUAGGGAAAAGCUUAUGUUGGGGAGAGUCGUCCUACUCUUGCCACAGAGUAGUACCUGAGCUAAGUGAUCACUAUCUGUAAUUCAUCCAUAUUGGGAAUAAGCUGAACAUAUGUUGGCUCGUAGUUCUGGGGUAUGAGACCUUGGAAUCAUACCCAACUCGGUGCUCAAUACUACUCUCAUAUUACUUAUAUGCUCUCUCUUUAGGAAAUCCACCUCAAAAUAGCAUAAGGGUUUAUAAUGAAAACCAGUUAUGUAUCUCUUUGCUCUAAAUUAUGAUCAAAAUAAAUAAAUGUGGAUUCCAUUUCUUAGCUGAGGAUCAAAAGAUCCAUCUUUCUUUAAAUCUUGGUAUAAAACUAUCAAAUAAAACUUAAGAGCAUGAUCUUCUUGAAAUCUCAAUACUUAAACUUAGGGCUUAAAAACCCAUGCUUUAAACUCAAGUCAAUUCAUAACAAAACUUCAUGGUCAAUAAGAAUCUUAAAGUACUUCAACAAUAUCAAGUCAAGGUAGUGCAAUCUUAUGCAUAAUAGGAAUCUCAUAAGAUAAAACAUGAACAUAAGCACUUCUUAAUAAACUUGAACUUUAAAUCUCAAAAUAAUCACAUGCUUCAAGAAUAUAGAAAUUUGGGUAUGAACCCUACUUCAAAACAAGUAAAUAAAUUCUCAAAAAUUAUGUAAUUUAGGCACAAGGGUGAAAGCAUACCCUUUUUCAUAACCCCACAUACCUUAUUAAACUUUAUUUGAUGUAGAAACUUGACUUUGAAAUCUUAAAGAUGUUCUUGAAGGCUUCUUCUUGAAGUUCUUGGAUUCGGAAACUUAGAUUCUUGAUUGUCUUGAAGAGGAUGUAAUGGAGUUUUGGAUUUCUUAAAAUUAGGUUAGGGUUUCUUGGAGAGAAAUUUGAUAAAAAAAAUGAGUGUAUAAUGCUUUAACCAACAUCUAACUUCUGUUUUUAUGACUUGGGGUAAGGGUAAAUGAAUAAAUUGCCCCUCUGGAGAUUAAAGUCGCAACUGAAAUAUCAUUUGUGGGCUUGGCGCAAUGCGAUGGCAUGCCCAUAGCUAUUUCCUGCAUGACCGAUCAAGACGAAAUGAUUCGCGUACUCCUUUUUUGCGUACUCCUCCUAGAAGCCAAUCCACAAAAAUAACAAUAAAUACACAAAGAAAAAGUGUUACUAGAAAGUAAAUUUUGAGAGCAACAUACUUUCUCAAAUCUCCUUGAACUCAUAUUUGGUAAUAAAUGAGACUAGGGAUGGAAUUUCACAUUUUAUGUACUCACAACAACCACAUAUUAAGAAAAUAAAGACCAAACCAAAAUCAUAUUCUAGAAUUAGUUUGUAGGGAAUAAACAGAGGUACCAACAUAAACUUGAAAUCAAAAUAAAUCACAUACUAAUCAGAAUCAUCCCAAAAAAAGAAGGAACCAAGGCAAAGUAAAGCGAUGGAUCUUACCUUGUGUUAGGCAACAAACUGAGGCUCCAAUGUCAAAGAUUAUAACUCAAUCCUAGCCUCUUCCAAUUUGACUUUGGAACCCUUUGUUAAACUCUAAUCUAAAAUGCAAUCACUUUAAUCUAGAGUUUGGGGUAUAACAAUACACAUAAUUAAUAAAAUUACCCUGAAAGACUACACCUAAAUGUAUGAAACCCACUACUAAUACUUCCUUCUGAGAUACAACUCUAUCUUUCUAUAGCCCAAUAGUAAUCAUUAAUAACUUUAACACUUACUAGCUUAGAAUCUUUAUGAGUAUCACCAUACCCUCUGUUCACACCAUCUAGAGCUUCAACUCUUAUUUCUAAGAGCUUCAACUCUUAGAUUCUAAAACUUACUAUAGAUAUCCCCAAACCUUUAAUGAACCAUACUAACUUUAUUCUUGGACACUCUCUUAGUACAUACCAACCUUAACUUCCUUUAGCUUUAAUAGUCAUCAUCAUAGACUUACACUCUAUUAACUCAACAAACAUACUUGCCUCACUAAACACAUUAUCAUAGCCUACCAAGAUCUCAUCUCAAAAUUAUAUUUUUCCCAAACCAUAAGAAUCAAAAUCAUACUUAAAAGACUCACCACCAACUAUCCAUAACUCUUCAACUUAUCUACUACGAACACAAUGUAUGAUAUAGCUGAUCUUUUCCACUUAACCACUAAAGUGUACUAUUAACCACACAUAAUACUUAAUAAACUUUGGGCACCUUGGACGCACCUCUAUAUCAUACUUACAACAUCAUACUUAAUUACGAAUACAUGAACUUAAACUCUUGCAUACUCUGUUCAAGCCUACUAAAUCACUUCCAUGUAACUGACAUAUCCAACCAUGCAAUCAUUAUUUCCACCUUUAUGAUCACCACUGUUCAAACUUAGUGUCUAGCAUUAGUGUAAGACCCCAUAAGAUCUUAAGCCCAUUUCUGCUCGUUCCAGAGCCCGUGAUGCCCUGCCCAGUUCGGUCUUUGCUUUUUCUUCAGUUUUGUGUUAUGUUUUUAAGGGAAAAUGGGUCAUUUUCCCUUUACCCAUGCACCGCCCAAAACAUGGGUCCCGAGAUGUCACACGUGCUCAAGACAACAAGUAGCCUCAAGCUAACCCUGUAAACCUUCUAUUAAAUCUGAAACUCAUGAUAGAGAAAUAUAAACAUAUAAACAAAGCUGAAAUGUUGAACUCUGUCUGAUCUAAAAUGAAAUUAACUGAAGCUAAUAUCUAAAAAUACUUGACUUAAAAGUAUGGACAAUCAACACUGGAAAUUUGAAUUUUUAACUAGUAAUCUGACAAGCCUCCACUACUAACAACUAGAGAGUUGCUGGGACAGACCCCUAACUGACUCAAUCUGACUGAAAACACUGAAUCAAAUAACUUUAAUGAGUGGAAAAUAAUAGGUAAAUGGGUCCCCGAAUUAUGAGGACUCACCAACUGUCAGGAUAUAGAUAGAUAUGCUCAAAAUCACUCAUUCUGCUAAAACUAAGCACUUGAACAUGCAUUAUUAAACAAAUGUAGCACACAAACAUAUAUGUAGAUCAGUAAUUUUGGAAUGUACUGAGCGUGUGGGGGUGAAUUCAUAAGUAAAACAAUAUCUAAAUGUUCAUAAGAAAAUUCACGAAAGAAGGCAUGCUAAGUGUAAUCUCACACAGGAUUGAAUAACUAAAAGCUAAAAAUUAUAAAUCAUAAAUGAUAAAGCAUAUUGUAUAAAUGUCAUGAGCCAUCACAUUUAGUUCUAAAAGUUGUAAUUGUAUUCUAUAUUUAAAUCAUGUAGUCCAAGUGCAGAAUGGACUCAUUUUUGUAUCUGCAAACUAAAAACUGAAAUUUCAUAGCUAAUGUCUUAUGUAAAACAAUAUCUGAAAUAGAUUGUGAGCCUCUACACUUAGUUUCUAAAAACUGCUCUAUUAUUUUUUUCUGUUAGGGACUUUACUGUAGGGAGGUUAUUCUAUCAUGGAAUCCAACAUCUAGUUUUCCUAAGGGGAAAACCUCAUGUUGGAGAGAGGUGUCAUACUCUUGAUAGGAAGUAUGACCUGAGCUAAGUGAUCACAUAUGUACCUAUCAUCCAUAUAAAUAGGAAUAAAUCUGAAUCUGUACCUAUGUUGGCUUGUAGUUCUGGGGAAGUUGGAUGUGCUAAACCCACACUUCCCGCUCGGUGCUAAAUACUACUCCCUUUAAUCUGUAUGCUCAUUCUGUAGGAAAUCUACUUUAAAACUAGAAUAAGGGUUUGAAAUAAAAACUAGUUAUGCAUUCAUCUAUUUUAAAUAGUAAUCAAACUAUUCUGUAAUCAAUACUGUAAGGUGUAUUUCAUAUCUUAGUUGGGGAUCAAAAGAUGAAAUCGUGUUUAAAAAAUGAAUUAUAAACAAAUCAUGGGAUGCUUAAAAGCAUAAACAUUCUUGGAUUAUAAAUAUUCAAUCUCAGGCAUAAUAACCCAUGCUUCAAACUAUCACAAUUCAUGCUCAAUAGUCAAAAUCAUGAAGUUCUUGCACAAUUCUAGUCAAAACAACGGAAUUCAAACUUCAAUGUCACUAAAACAACUUCACAAGUAUAAAUUUGCAAAAUAAACAUGCAAUUCAUAAUCUAAAACACUUGUGAUAUCAAAAUCUUCAAAUAAUAAUAAUUGGGUAUGGACCCUGAAUUGAAAUUCAUGUGAAUUCAUGUAAAUUCAUAUAAAUUUAGAAUUAAAACUAGAUUUGGGCACAAGGAUGAAAGGAUUAUCCUUGUUCAUAAUCCCACAUACCUCAAUUGAUGAACUAGAUGAAGAAACUUGACUUUGAAUCCCUAGUUGUUCUCUUGAAGAUUGUUUCUUGAAGAUCUUGAAUUGGAAGCCUUGAAUUUUUGGGUUAUCUUGGAAAAAAAAAUGGUGAAUUUUGGAGUUUCUUGAAGUUGGAUGUUGAAGUAUAGGGUUUUCUUGGAGAGAAAUUUGAUGAAUAAUAGUGUAUCUAUGCUAUUUGGAUUGAAAUCAUAUGUUUUGGGCAGAUUUGGGUGAGGGUAAAUAACUCAAAUACCCCCAUGGACCCAUCAUUUAGUGACAUAAACUAGGCACCUGAUGAGAUAGGCGAUGUUUCAUGUCACUCACCUAAUGCGAUAGCUAACGCAUCGCAUUGCUACCCCCAAUGAGAUUACCGAUGUGGCGUGACCUUAUCGUGUCGACUCUAUGUUUUUGUUGCUCAAACAUACCCCAAACCUCAUCUGAAAAAUCCAAAAUUCUCUCAAGAGGUACUACUGACUACCCUGGUCUUAAAAGAAAAUAUAAAUUGACAUUUCAAGGGCGAGAGGAUCGGGAAUAAAAUCUCCGAAGUUUAGGGGUAGAAAAUAAGACUAAGCUUUAACACUUUGCUAAAUUUUCAGGGCCUAGGCCUCACAUGAACACCUCCUGAUCUGAAUUGAACUUGGAAAAAUAUGGGGUAUUACAACCCAAUAGGUCUAUAACAUGGGAUUAAAUUCCCAAAUAGCAUAUUUAAUCAUAUUUUUUACUAAUUACUCAAGAACAAAGCCCUAGUUUCUUUAAGUCCAAGUUCAAGUUCCAAGUAAUCACCAACCACCCUUAUUAAUUCAACUACUAAGGUAUGUUAAGUGUUUAUCUUUGGGUUCCUUCCAACCCUUAGAGUCCACGAACCUUUUUUCAAAGCUUGAGUUAUGAGUUGUUAGAUUAAAUCACACUAUGCCCAUGUAUGUGUUAAAAUUUGAGUGUUAAGUUGUAAAUAUAUGAAUUUCAUAUGAAAUAAACUGAUUCUUAUGUUGAUUGGAGUAUGUAUCAUGUUUAAUCCCAUAACCUGUAAAUUAAAUGAUGAAGUCAUGAUAUGUUAGCAUGAUGAUCAUCCCCAUGUACAAUGUUAUGCCUCCUAAGUGUUUGAUAAAAUGACUAAAUGAGUGAAAGUUGAGUUAUGAUUGUGGUAUGGUCCUAUUGUCAAUCAUAUCGAGUCGUGGGGGUUAUGAUACCCAAAAUAUAGCUGUUUACCUAGUUUACAAUAGUAAUAGAAAGGUUCCAGUCGAACCAUGGGAAGUAGUACUAAGUUAGUUAACAUGGUUGGUGUGAGUUUAAUCAAGCCUAGCCCAGUUUAGUGAUCAGUGUCAGUUCAGUUGGUAGUAUGAUUCAGCACCAAGUGAACCUAGGGAUGGAGGUAUUCCUGCCAGUUUAGGGUGUAACCUUUAGUAGCAAGCCCUGAGUUAAAGAACUACAUAGCCAGCGUAGGUUAAUAUGUCUUCCUCCUAUUCUAGGGUGGACAUACUAUUUACAUCUUAUGAGUUUUCCUGCCAGAUUAGGGUUGAUCCAACCAUUGUUUGUAACCCAUGGCAUGGUAAUAACACCCUUCCAACUGGGGUUGCAGGUUGGACUCCAAUAAGUUUAUAUUGGAGUAUGUCGAUUAGAUGAAAGCUCCCAUAGUUUCAGUUUUAGUACUCAGUUCAAAGUUCAGUUCAGUUUUACUUGACCAUAAUAUAUAGUUACCAUUUAUUUAAAUAUCAGAUUUUAGUAACUCUAUUUACAGACUACUUUAGUACUUGCUUUAUGUGUGUUCAUACAUUCUCAGUCUUUACAGUUUUAUGCAUUUACACUUAGUACCUCAUGCUAUACAUUCAGCUAGUUAGUACUCAUGAACAUGAACCCAUGCAUAUCAGCCUAACCUCAUUUAGCAUACCAGUACAUUCAUAAGUACUGAUGUAUACUCAUUUUCUUGUGCUAUAAUAUCUUAUAUCAUAUAUUCAAAUCCUAGGAUUCCUGACCGUCAUUAGACUUUUCAGUGCAUCAGCAGCAGUAGCCAUGGUGAGUCCUCUUCCUACAAGGAUAAGUUAUUUUAUUUCCAGUUGUGUCAGUAGCUCAGUCAGAGUUAGUUGGGGGCUGAUCCCAUCAACUCCACUGUCAGACAAUUUAAAGGCUUUCAAACUAGUACAGACAGUUGGUUAAUUUUUAGUUGUGAUUAUCAGUAUUGCCAAUUUGUUUUUCAAAUAUGUUAAACCAUUAUUUAGUAUUAUUUUUAGUUGUUAAAACCUUAUGGCAUUUUCAAUCGAGAUUCCACAUAUGUUGUUUAUCAGUUUUAUUCAGUGUUCACAGCAGGAACCAGCUCAUGGGUUCGCUUAUGGUUUCAUGGGACCAUAAGCACCGUGUGACAUCCAGGGUGUACUCCCGGGAACUUGGUAUUGGAGCCUAAGGUUUGUAAGUGUCCUAGGGAGUCUAAAAGUCAUGUCAAGUAGAGUCAUGUGCAUGGAUGUGUGGCGCGCCACACCUAUGGGCAAGAGGCUACAAGACGUUUGGGAAAAGUUUCCCUUCUUUCAGUGUUUAUAUUGUGCGAAAGAGUAAAAGCUCAAGUUAACCUCUCCACAUAAUUCAACUUUUCCUUUCUUUUACAGAAUAUUCCACCCAAAAAGACUAACGGAAGAUGAACCAAAAACCAGCCAGCACCUCUGCCCUUUUAGGAAGAUCCCCUGAAUAAGCAUGUUUCUUAUGCAGAGUUUAGAGCUGCAUUAACCACUCUAACCCCCUCUUUAGCAGCCCAAAAUAUGCGGCUAGCUGCUAUUCAGGCCAACCCAGUGACCAAUACUGCCGCAUCCAGUAUUCAAGACUUCACUCGAAUGAAUCCCUCUCUACUUUUGGGAUCUAAGUCUGAGGAGGAUCCACAGGAAUUCUUAGACAUAGUGCAAAAGGUAACAGACAUUAUGGGGGUGACUUCCAGUGAGAGUCCUGAACUAGCUGCUUACCAACUAUAAGACGUAGCUCGUACAUAGUUUAAGCAAUGGAAAGAGGAUAGGGGCACUAAGGCUAGACCUAUAGAAUGUGAGAAGUUUGCUACUUCCUUCUUGGAUAGAUUAUUUCUAUUAGAACUAAGGGAGGCUAAGGUGUUAGAGUUCAUUAAUUUGAAAUAGGGCAGCAUGAGUGUAAAUGAGUAUUCUCUUAAGUUUACUUAGUUAGCCAGGUAUGCUCUUCAUGUAGUAGCUGAUAACAGGUCCAAGAUGAGCAAGUUUGUUUCUGGGGUAUCUGAUAGUAUGGUCAAUAAGUGUAGGACCGCGAUGUUGAUCAAAGAUAUGAACUUAGAAAGGUUAAUGAUCCCUAUACAACAGAUAAAUGAGGAAAAGGUUAAAGAGAGAGAAGGAGAAUAAGAGGGCUAAGAUAGGUAGCUUUAAUUUUAUUCAGCCAAAGUCAAAGCGUGGUAACAGUUCCACCCAAAAUCUUCAGUCCCAGCUUCAUCUUUGGCUAGUGCACCAAUGCCUAAAUUCAAGGAUGACAUCAAGGAUAGGGCACCAGGCUCUAAGUCUCAUGAUAGGGUGAAUAGUUCUCGAAUAAAUCCUUUUUUCAAGAAAUAUGGUAGAAACUAUCAGGGUAUUUGCAGAGUUGGAAAUAAUGUAAGUUUUGGGUUUAGCAAUCCAGAUCAUAGAAUCAAAGAAUGUCUACAGGCAUUUUUGCAGAGUCAACACAAUUGUCCCCCAAUUCAGUUCGGUCACCCAUCUCAGCAGGGUGUCGCUUCCAGUGCCACCAGUGGGCAGCUCCCAAACAAGAUCUAUGCACUUUAAUUCCGACAGGAUUAGGAAAGUUCUCCUAAUGUGGUUAUUAGUACAUUGCAAGUCUUUCAUUUGCAUAUUUAUGCUUUUCUUGACCCUAGAGCUUCACUUUUCUUUCUAACCCCUUAUAUAGCGGUCAACUUCAGAGUCAGUCCCGAAAUCUUAAUAGAGCCUUUCUUAGUAUCUACCCCAGUAGGUGCUUCUAUUGUAGCCAGGUAGAUAUACAAGAAUUGUCCAUUCACUAUAUCCCAGAAAGUCAUAUCAGUUGAUCUUAUAGAGUUAUAGAUAACUAAUUAUGAUGUCAUUCUUGGUAUGGAAUAGCUCCAUUCAUGUUAUGCUUCAGUUGAUUGUAGAAACAGAGUUGUUCAUUUUCAGUUUUUGAAUGAACCAAUCCUUGAGUGGAGGGCAGUACCAUAGUGCCUAGUGGUCAAUUUAUUUCGUACCUUAGAGAGAGAAAAAUGAUAUCUAAGGGAUGUGUCUAUCAUCUUGUGUGAGUUAAGAACUUUAGUUCUAAAACUCCCAAUCUUGAGUCAGUUCCAGUAGCAAGGUAAUUUCCAUACGUGUUCCCUAAAUAUCUUCCCAAAGUUCCUCCUGAAAGAGGAAUCGACUUCAGAACUGACUUUCUUCCAGAUACUCAGCCUAUUUCAAUUCUACCAUAUAGAAUGGAUCCAACUAAACUCAAAGAGUUAAAAGAAUAGUUGAAAGACCUCCUAGAUAAGGGAUUCAUCAAGUCUAACAUUUCCUCAUGGGGCACAACAGUUCUAUUCGUGUGUAAGAAAGAUGGUUCUCUUAGGAUAUGCAUUGACUACCGUCGGUUGAACAAAGUCACAAUCAAGAAUAAAUACCCACUUCCUAGAAUAGAUGACUUGUUCGACCAACUUCAAGGUGACAGUUAAUUUUCAAAGAUAGACCUACAACUUGGCAUCAUCAGCUCAGAGUAAGAGUAUGUGAUAUUCUAAAAAUAGUUUUCCGAACUUGGUAUGGUCACUUCAAGUUUAUAGUCAUGUCCUUUGGUCUCACAAAUAACCCAACCACCUUUAUGGACUUGAUGAAUCGAGUGUUUAAGCAGUACUAAUACAUGUUCAUCAUAGUCUUCAUCGAUGACAUUCUGGUCUAUUUUUGUAACGAGAACGAUCAUGCAGGCCAUCUAAGAGUAGUAUUAUAAACUCUUAGAGCCAAUCAGUUGUUUGCCAAAUUUAGUAAGUGCAAAUUUUAGCUAAGGUCAGUAUCUUUUUUUGGUCAUAUUGUUUUUGAUGAUGGAAUUAGAGUUGAUUCUCAAAAGACUGAAGUAGUAAGAAACUAGUCUAGACCUAUCUCUCCAUCAAAUAUUAGGAGUUUCUUGGCUUUGGAUGGCUAUUGCCGAUGGUUUGUUAAAGGUUUCUCAUCUAUUGAAUUCCCCAUGUCCAGAUUGACUCAGAAAAAAGUCAAGUUCUAGUGGUCAGAUUCUUGUGAGAAGAGCUUUUAGAAGUUGAAGACUCGACUUACCUCAGCUUCAGUUUUGACCUUGCCAAAUAGUUCAGAUGGGUUUGUUGUUUAUUGUGAUGCUUUCAGAGUUAGUUAGGGUUGUGUUUUGAUACAGAGAGGUAAGGUCAUAGCCUAUGCCUCUAGACAACUUAAAUGCCAUAAAAAGAAUUACCCUACCUAUGAUCUUAAGCUAGCAGCUGUUAUGUUUACCUUGAAAAUUUAGAGGCAUUAUUUUUAUGGGGUGUAUGUUGAUAUAUUCACAAAUCACAAGAGCUUGUAGUAUGUAUUCUCGCAGAAAGAUUUGAACUUGCGCCAGAGGAGAUGGUUAGAGUUGUUGAAAACCUACAACAGAGUGUUUUGUAUCAUUCGAGCAAAGCCAAUGUAGCGGCAGGAACCCUUAGUAGGAUGUACAUAGGUAGUGUGACUCACGUUGAAAAUGAUAAGAAGAAGCUAGUUCAAGAAGUUUAUCAACUUACCAGACUAGGUAUACGUUUGGUUGAUUCAGCUAAGGGUAGUAUGUGGGUGCAAAAUAGUUUGGAAUCUUCUUUGGUUGCUGAAGUAAAAGAAAAGCAGGAUAUGGAUUCUAGUUUGGUUAGGUUGAAAGAGUCUGUCAGAGAUCAGAAAGUAGAGGUUUUAUCUCAAGGGGGAGAUGGUGUGUUGCGUUACUAGGGUAUACUGUGUGUGUCAUGUGUAGAUGACCUGAGAUAAUGAAUUCUUACUGAGGCACAUGGUGCGCACUACUAUAUUCAUCCAGGGGCCACUAAGAUAUACUGUGAUUUGUAGGAAAUGUAUUGGUGGAGUGGGAUGAAGAAAAAUAUUGCAUAAUUUGUAUCUAAGUGCUCUACUUGCCAACAGGUUAUGAUUGAGCACCAAAAGAAGUGGUUUUAUAUAGGAGUUUAUUAUCCCCACUUAGAAGUGGGAGGAGGUGAACAUGGACUUUGUGAUGGGUUUGCCUCAUACUCGUUGCCAGCAUGAUUUGAUUUUGGUCAUUGUGGACAGUAUAACUAAGUCAUUCCAUUUCCUACUAGUUCAUACUUCCUAUUCAGCUGAGGAUUACACCAAGCUCUAGCUUAGAGAGUUGGUUAGGUUGUAUGGUAUUCCAUUUUCCAUCAUUUUAGAUAGAGGUACUCAGUUUACCUCUCACUUUUGGAAGGCAUUUCAGAAGGGUCUUGGUACCCAAGUUCACCUCAGUUCAUCCUUUCACCCUCAGGCGGAUGGUAAAGAAGAGAGGAUCAUUCAGACACUAGAAGAUAUGUUGAGAGCAUGUGUCAUCAAUUUUAAAGGUAUCUGGGAUGAUCACUUACCUUUGAUAGAGUUCACUUAUAAUAAUAGCUAUCAUUUCAGUAUUCAGAUGGCUCCAUUUGAGGCCUUUUAUAGAAGGAGGUGUAGGUCCCUAAUUGGUUGGUUUGAGGCAGAUGAGGCCGGACUGUUAGGGUAUGGUUUGGUGUUUGAUACUUUAGAGAAAGUCCAAUUAAUCAGGGAGAGGCUAAAGACAACCUAGAGCUGACAGAAAUCCUAUACUGACGUGAAGAGGAGAGACCUUGAAUUUGAGAUUGGUGAGUUGGUUUACUGUUGGUGAGUUGGUUUACUUGAAAAUCUCUCCCAUGAAAGGGGUGAAGAGGUUUGGUAAUAAUGGGAAGCUUAGCCCCUGUAUGUUGUCCCUUAUAGAAUUUUGAGUCAUUUUGAAAGGGUAGCCUAUAACUUGAGUUGCCUGCAGACUUAGCAUCAGUGCACCCGAUAUUUCAUGUCUCUUUUUUAAAGAAGCAUACUUGUGACCCAAUGGUUAUAGUCCCCUUAGAAAGUGUAGAUGUCUAGGACAGUCUCUCUUAUGAAGAAAUUCUAGUCGAAGUUCUUGACCGUCAGAUUCACAGACUAAGGAACAAAAAAGUUCCCUUGGUCAAAGUCCUUUGGAGAGACCAGUCUAUUAAGGGAGCCACUUGGGAAGCAGAAGCAAACAUGCGAACCAAGUACCCUCAUCUCUUCUCUGCAUACUUGAAAUCAACCUAAGGUAACAAUCUUAGAUUUAUCCUUCUUCAUACUUAAUUCUAACUGCAUAACAUUCUCAUAUCAUUCAUGCAUUCACAAAUAAGAUUGGUUAGUCAACAUGUUUCAGGCUUAGUUAUGUAGUCAUAUCUCAGUCAUCCAUAUUCAACAGGUAAUCCUAGUACCUCAGUACCUCUCAGCUUAAUUAGUCUCGUUCGAGGAUGAAUGUUCCCAAAAGGGUGAUAUUAUAAGACCCCGUAAGAUCCUAAGCUCGUUUUUGCUCACUCUAGCAUGAAAAGGGGCCCAAGACUUAGAAUAUUUUACUAAGUGUUCGGACUUAGUCAUUUAUAAAUCUCUCAAACUUUAAUGAAUUUAUUCUUGACCUUUUCAACAUCAAAAAGUUAGUUUUUAAGUUGAUUCAUGAUUGGGAAAGUCAAUAGUAUAUCUCGGGUGAGUUUUAAAAUUUUUGUAUAAGCAUAAGGACGUGUUUGGACUUCCAAAAUAGAGACUUAGGGAGACUACCCUGCAACGCCCCACCCAGUCUGGUGCUGGGGGAGCCCAUGAUAGAGCCUACGGUGCCCUACCCAUAGCGGUGCUCCAGAACACGCGGUGCCCUGCCCAGUCCGGUCCGUGUUUUUUCUUUAGUUUUUCCUUCACUCAAUAGGUCCAUAACACGGGAUUAAAUCCCCAAAUAACAUAUUUUCUCAUCUUUUUAACAAAUUCUCUCAAUAACAAAGCCCUAGUUUCUUCAAGUCAAAGUUCAAGUUCCAAGCAAUCACCAAUCACCCUCACGAAUUCAACUACUAAGGUAUGUUAAGUGUUCAUCUUUGGGUUCCUUCCAACCCUUAGAGUCCAAAAACUCUUUUUCAAAGCUUGAUUUAUGAGUUAUUUGAUCAAAUCACACUAUGCCCAUAUAUGUGUUAAAAUUUGAGUGCUAAGUUGUGAAUAUAUGAAUUUCAUGUAAAAUAAACUAAUGCUUAUGUUGAUUGCAGUAUGUAUCAUGUUUAAUCCCCUAAAUUGUGAAUUAAAUGAUGAAUUCAUGAUAUGUUAGCAUGUUGAUCACCCCCAUAUAUAAUGUUAUGCCUCCCAAGUGUUUGAUAAAUUGACUAAAUGAGUGAAAGUUGAGUUGUGACUGUCUUGUAUGCUUUUAAGAUUAUGGUAUGGUCCUAUUGUCAAUGCUAUUGAGUUCUGGGGGUUAUGGUACCCAAAAUCUAGCUACUUACCUAGUUUACAGUAGUCAUAAAAAGGUUUCAAUCAAACCAUAGGCAGUAGUAAUUAGUCAGUUAACAUGGUUGGUGUGAGUUCAGUCAGGCCUAGCCUAGUUUAGUGAUCAGUGUCGAUUCGGUUGGGAGUAGAAUUCAGAACCAAGCGAACCCAGGGAUAGGGGUAUUCCUACCAGCUUACGGUGUGACCCUUUGUAGCAUUCCUUGAGUUACAGAACUACGUAAUCAGCGUAGGUUAAUAUGUCUUCUUGCCAGUCUAGGGUGGACAUAUAUAUUUACAUCUCAUGAGCCUUCCUGUCAGAUUAGGGUUGACCCAGCCAUUGUUAGUAACCUGUGGCAUGGUACUAACACCCUUUGAACGGGGGUAACAGGUUGGACCCUAAUCAGUUUAUAUUAGGGCAUGUCAGUUAGAUAAAAAGCUCCCACAAUUUCAGUUUUAGUUCUCAGUUCAAUUGUGCUUGACCAUAACAUAUAGUUACCAGUUAUGUAACUAUCAGAUUUCAGUAACUCUAUUUAUAAACUACUUCAGUACUUGAUUUAUGUGUGGUCAUGCAUUCUCAGUCUUUACAGUCUAAUUCAUUUACAUUCUAUACCUCAUGCUAUACAUUCAACUAUUUAGUACUCAUGAAAAUGAACCCAUGCAUAUCAGCCUAACCUCAUUUAGUAUGCCAGUACAUUCAUAAUUACUAACACAUACUCUUUUUCUUAUUCUAUGAUAUCUUAUAUCAUAGGUUUAGAUGCUCGAAUUCCUGAUUGUCCUUAGACUUUUCAGUGCAUCAGCAGUAGCAGUCGUGGUGAGUCGUCUUUCUUCGAGGAUGAGUUAUCUUAUUUUUAGUUGUGUCAGUAGCUUUGUUAUUUAGUCAGUCUGAGUUAUUUAGGGGCUUGUUCCAUCAACUUCACAGUCGGACAGUUUAGAGGCUUUCAAAUAAGUACAGACAGUUGGUCAGUUUUCAGUUGCGAUUAUCAAUAUUACCAGUUUAUUUUUCAAAUGUUUGAAGCCAUUAUUUAGCAUUGUUUUCAAUUGUUAAAUCCUUAUGGCAUUUUCAGUCGAGAUUUUACAUAUGUUGUUUAUCAGUUUUAUUCAGUGCUCACGGUAGGUACCAACUCAUGGGUUUACUUAUGGUCAUAUUAGAUUGUAAGCACUGUGUGUCGUCCAGGGUGUACUCCCCUGUCGUUACAGCUAGACAUGAUUUACAAUCCAACCUUACAUACUAUUCUCACUUGGAAGCUAUAAAAUAAAUAAUCAAUAAAUACUAGUCCACUAGAAUCUCAUAAUAAUGAUAAUUGAUCGUAUGAUCUUAGGGCCUAUCUUAUUGUAAUCCAUUAGCACAUCCUCUCUCUACUCAUCACUACCAUUCACCCAUCAAUAUAUCUAAAUUUCUAUCAUAGCUCUAUAAGUUUCAACUAAACUCCUUGCAACCUCAAGAGAAGCUUAAAUUCAUAAUACUCACCUACCAAAUACCCUUAUCAAUAACCUAUACUUUUCUAACACAAUAACUACCAUCAAUAACUCUUUUCCUACUUCAAAUAGACAACAAUUCACCUUAAUUUAUAACUCCUUCUCUGCCUUCCACUAAACUAACACACGAGGAUAUAUUACCUUAUUACUAACUCGGUCAUAUGUAAAAGUUCAUCUUUACACAUUUGAUCUAUCGCUAUUACCACCUUUCUUGUCACUACACUUCUACGCCCAUACUUAUAACUAUAAGGAGGGCCUACCACUUAUGAAUCAUAACACUCAAGGUCAUAAUAUCCCUCAAAUACAAACUUUAUUUAACACUUUGAGUUUAUAGUUUCUCCUCUCAUGAGCACUAUCUGGAUAAAAGGGGUUAAUAAGGAACCUGAAUACAUAACAUAUUCUAUCUUAACUGCAUAACUCAUAUGGAUAAGGACAUAAGCUUUCAACUUAAAGAACUUAUAACACACUAGCGAGCUUUCCUCAAGCCCCUUUCUAUGAUUUCUGAAGUUACUGAUAGUAAAUCUGAGAGCAUCAUCUUAGGAGGAAUUGAAACUUUCUAAUCAUGUUAUCUCAAGAAUAUAACAUAUAUAGAGAACUAUGGAGUAACACACGAAUCGAUAGAAGUUUCUAAGAGAAGAAAUUUACAGCAAGAUCUAGGGUAUGAAUGAAAUAAGACAUUUGUUAAAUGCCAUACAGCCUCUCGAAGAAAAGUCCAGACGUCUCUGUACUAUUUUGUAAGACUCUACUAGACACGGCUUCAGAGACACUAUAGGAAACUUGAACUUUGGGCUCUGAUACCAAGUUUGUAACACCCCGAGACUACCCCAUGGACGUUAUAUGAUGCUCAAAACCAUAAGUGAUCCCAAGCUAACCCUUGUACUGGCAUAACUUAUGAUCAACUGGAAUAAAUACAUAAGAAUGAAAAAAUAAUGUGGAAGAUAAAUCUUUUCUGAAAAUGAUCAAUACAAAACUAUAUUGAAAUGAUUACAACUCUGAUUAUACAAAACAAAACUAGUAUCAAAUACAUUAACUCUACUAACUAUCUAUGAAGCCUCUACUAGUAUUGACUAUAGGUAACGGGGACAUGACCCCCAGCUAUCCCAAAUCAAUACGACUAAAUAAAGAAAACAAAAUGCUACUCUAACUAUGACUGACUUGAACCCUUGAAUCAAACAGGCUUAUAUCCUGCUGACUGGAAGCUGUAAAUGUCUGAUUAUAAUGUGCAGGCUACAAAUCGUACCUAUAUUAUUAAAAAAUGUAGCGCAUAGAUGUAAAUGUGAAUCAGUACUUUUGGAAUGUACUAAGAAUAUGGGGUUGAAUGUAUAAAUAAAAUAAUAUCUUGAUGUUUAUAUAAACUUGUAAAAGGAUGCAUGCUAAGUGUAAAUAACUCACGUUGGCUUGAAUAACUGAAAGAUGAAAAUCGUAAAUCAUGAAUAAUAAAGCAUACUGUAUAAAUCUUAUGAGCCAUAACACUGAGUUCUAAAAACUGUACUUUUACUCUUUCUAUUAGUGGAAUAAGUAGGACUAAAGUUAAGACUAUUUUCAAAUCAUGCAUGCUAAGUGUAAAAAGGACUCACCUUUAUAUCUGUAAACUGAAAGCUGAAAUAUUAUAGUGAAUGUAUUAUGUAAAAUAAUAUCAGAAAUAAAUUGUGAGCCUUUACACUUAGUUUCUAAAAGUUGUUUUGUUAUUCUGUCUUGGGACUUAGGGAGUUUCUUAUAAAAGCUUUUUUGUUAUUCUUUUUUGUUAGGAAAGUUCUUCUAACCAACAUAAACUGUGUAAGUUAUCAUAAAGUCCAACAUCUAGUUACUCUAAGGAAAAAACCUCAUGUUGGGGAGAGGUGUCAUAUUCUUGCCAAGAAGUAUAACCUGAGCUAAGUGAUCACAAUCUGUAUCUACAUCCACAUAAAUUGAAAUAAUCUGAAUAUGUACCUACAUUGGCUCAUUGUUCUAGGGCAUGUGAACUAGGACACAUACCCAACUUGGUGCUAAAUACUACUUUCUUUAAUCUGUAUGCUCAUUCUAUAGGAAAUCCACUUCAAAACUUGCAUAAGGGUUUACAAUGAAAACCAGUUAUGUAUCUAUUUACUUUAAACUAUAAUCAAAAUUGUAAUCAAAACUGUAAAGUGGAUUACAUAUCUUAGCUGAGGAUCAAAAGUUCAAAUCUUAUUCAAAAUAUGAAUAUAAACUAAUCAUAGGGUGCCUAAAAGCAUAAUCUUCUUGAAAUAUUAAUAUUCAAACUAGGGCUUAAUAACCUAUGUUACAAACUCAUGUCAAAUUAUUACGAAGUCAUGCUCAAUAAUCAAAAACAUGAAAUUCUUUCACAGUUCUAGUUAAGAUAGUGAAAUUCAACUCUCAAUGUAGAUAAAAUCACAUCACAAGCAUAAACAUACAAAAGUAGAAAUACAAUUUAACAUUUAAUCACUUGUAACAUCAAAAUCUUCAAAUAAUGAUAAUUGAGUAUGAACCCUAGACUACAAAUCAUAUAAUUUCAUGUAAAUUCAACUUUAAAAACUAGUUUUUGGCACAAAUAUGAAAGAAGUGUCCUUGUUCAUACCCCUACAUACCUUAUUAUGCUUGAUUUGAUGUAAAAGCUUGACUUUGGACCCUUGGGAAUAUUCUUGAAGGAUUUUCUUGAAGUUCUUUGAUUAAGAACCUUAAAUUCUUGAUUUUUGUGAAGAGGAGGUGAUGGAAAAAGAUCUUGAAGGGGAUUGAUUAGGGUAUGUUCGUGAGAGUAAAAUAGGAGAAUAAGGGCAAAUAACGCCCUAAUGGAUGCUUAAAAUUAUGUUUUUAUGACGAAGUUUGAGGUGGAAAAAGACUCAAUUGCCCCUCAUUUAAACCAAAAUUUCAUAACCCGAAUUGAGAUUUGAAGGCUCACUGCGACGUGGUGUAAUCGUAGUGGCUUACUGCCUCACACAAAAAAUUCCAUAACUUUUCACCCAGGUAUCGGAUUAAGGUAAAAUUGGUAUCCUUAGAAAGUAAUUCAAUUAUCUACAAUUUGGUGUGUCUUGAGCUAAAAAAUUCUACAUAGAUCAAAAGUUAUGUACUUUAAAAGUUGACCCUUGUAGAAUCGAACAUCAAGCUUUGGACAAAUCUAAGGUUCUUAGUUCAACUUGGCUCUAAGUGAUUUCUAUGAACAUUCUUCACCUAAUAAGCACUUCAUAUACUAGGAUAAAGAUCAUUACACAAGCAUUUGAAUUAUGAAUCAAGAACAUGACAAAUACACCUUCAUCGCGAUGUGAUGAGUGUCUUAUCGCUAUCCUUGGCUUGACGCGGUGGAAUUACAUUGAACGGGUGGAAUUGAAAUCCAAACGUGACCUAAUCCUCGUAUAAAAAAUCCAAAACUUACCCGAGACAUUCACCUUGUAUCCCUGAACAUGAAUCAACUCAAAAACUAUCAUCUCAGAGUCUGGAAGGUCAACUUAAAACUCUUCGAAGUUAGAAGGUCUUAAAAAUGGCUAAGUCCUCAACACAUAGCUAAAUUUUUAGGCUUUUAGCCUCUUAUAGAAGAACUAGGAGAUGAACUAAACUGAAAAAAGUAUGGAGUAUUAUAUUUCGAUUGCCUUACGGAAUCUCCAGCCACUGAAUGUCCUUAAGCCACUGAUUAAAAUAAAUAAUUUUUUAAGGGCAUUUGUUCUACAAUUUUGAAGAUUGGUGACUUAUAAGAGAUUCAAGAUCAAGUAGCAUUAUCUUUCUGUAAUUUGGAAAGAAUAUAGGCUUUUUGUUGAUCUAAAAGUGAAGAAAUAGCCUUUGGUCAAAGUACAAUUUUGCAUACAACUUAUAUUUUCUUUUCCUUCUAUAUGAGAAACAUUGUAAUCAGGGUUCCAGUCCCCUAAGUAGUCACUAAUUAUUUACUUAAAUGGAAUCUUGGGAAAGAAAACAUAACAUGUUUUGUUUAGGUUUUCUAGCAUGAAGAUAUGGUGUUGCAUCUAAUUUAGCUAUAUUGGAACCUCAUUUUUUUUAGAAACGGAGACUACUGAUAUUUUGUUAACAAAAAGUGGCUACAGAGAACAUGAUUGUGGUAGUACUGGAUGAGCCAUAGAAGUUAUAUUUACAAAUGCCAUUGUAGUAGUAGUAGAAUUAAUAUUAUACAAAGUAAUGGGAUUCAGAUUGUGCAUAUUAAUCCUUCUAAUAGAUAUAUCUGAAUUCCUAUUAGUGCACAAAAGAUCCCAUAGAGGUGCAGGGGCAUCCAAAAAAAAACUUAGAGAGGUAAUUGCAUCAUUAGUACUAGACAUUGACUCUAAACCAUCAACUAACCUAUUUUUUUAUUUGUAGACAUGAAUUACCAUUGUCAUGUUUAGUCAUCGAAAAAGGAAUCUGCAAUCAUUUAGUAAUAAAGAGUGAAUUUUAGAAUUCUGGAGCAACUUAACAACCUCAUGUGCAUAAAUAUUUGCCUCCAAUGGCUACAAAUUAUGGUGAAGUGAGAUUGUUAAUCUCUACAGGAAGGCCAUUAAUUCACCUUGGAAAUAUCCUUAACAAAAGCAUAAAGUGUAAGACCUAACUGACCCUAGUAUUACAUAUUACACAUCCCAACCUUGCAUAAUUAAAUUGAGUAUCUACACAUUUCUAUAUAGCGUUGAUCAUAUACUCUAAAGCAAUUGUCUUAGUUACAUUGUAAAUGAUCAAAAAGGGCUUUUGCUCAAAUAUAAUCUUGUUGCAUUGUGUCUGGAUUACCGAUAGACUAAAGGGUAUGUAUACUUGGUAUACCACACAUUCAAAGUAUCAACGAGGGUCAAGAGAGAUGAGGCUAUGCAAUCAAUGUGAAAACUGUUGAUCUUGAGAGGCGAUGGAGUGAAUAAGACUAGAAAGUCCAACUUAUGACCAUAAUUAUGAGACCUUAGGUAAAGAAGGAAAGAGGUAGCUGGUGGAUAAGCAGUAGAUAACAUGACUUAAUAGUAAACUUACUUCAAUAGCAUUUCUAUAAUAGUGUACUGGAAAGAGGUAGAAGGCACAACGUAAGUAGAAGGCACAAAGUAUUAUGAAGUUUGAGGCUGAGAACCAAGAGAACACAAAACUCCUAACAACAUGAGCAAUCUGUGGACUAAAAAUCACAGUACUCACCCUUUCUUGCUCCAUCACAGCAUGUAUUACCUCCCUUUUUUGAAUUGUACUACUACUAACACUACCCACAGUGUUUGAUCUUUAAUCAUAAUGUGAAUAUAGUUAUAACUACAUACAGUAACAUUUAUGAUAGAGACACUAUUUGGCAGUCAUCUGUAUUUCAUAAGAAUAAAAAAUUCUUUAUAGAAGGAUUUGGCAGUCAUACUUAGAGAUAGUAAGCAAGUAACUAAAUUCACUAUUUUCACCAGAACUAUAUAGACAAAUCAAGUUUUCUGAGGGCAAAGCUCUUCACGUUAUUAAAGAGUAAAAAGUCCUCCAUGGACUAAUUAUGUGCUUCUGAUUGUACCUAGAAAAUACGAAGUUCCAAUAAGUUAAGCUUUAUGUAAAUGAUAAUAUUCUCCCGUUUAUUGAGAUCUCUCUUUCUGAAUUACACUAUGGAUAAAAGAAAGAAAAGAAAAAGAAGAGCACCCACAGAUGUAUCCUAUUAGUUAGUGAAGAGGAUUGAGAAAAAUGAGAUUUCAAGAGGCAUAAAUAAUAAUUGAUUUCCUCUCUUAACCUUGGUAGAUAAAGUUACAUGCUACAUAUGUUGUUGAAGGAAGUAGGCAUCUCAUGGAAUUAAGUUGAGAAAAUAUAAGAAACUAGUCUUCCUUGUAAAUGGCUAAUUUUACCUUAGGGAAGGAAGGAACGAGGUAGCUGAUGGAUAGUAGUAGGUGCAAAACUUUUGUAGUAUGUAAUCUAUCACGAAGGAUAAGCUAUAGAAAAUAUUUUAAUUUUGGUGGUAGUUGGAGCUUCCAAAUCCAACAGAAAUCAAUUGAGGAUGGUUGAAUUGCAACCAAUGCGUGAUAAUAUGACUUAAAAGAAAACUUACUUCAAUAACCUUUCUAUAGCGAUGUACCAGUUGAUAUUUCUCUAUGUUUGCUAUUCUGGCUAUGCUAAAUAUUUUACUGAUCAAAUUAUAUAUAUAUAUAUAAGCAAGAGAAAUAAAGAAAGUCAAAAAAGUUAAAUAUGCCACACACAUUAGAAAGAAAAAUUUAUUCUCAAAUUAUAGAUGAGGUAUGACAUAAUCACACUCUAUGUUCUUUAAUUCUUUUAUUAAUUGACACUUGUAUUGACUAUUUUAUGGCAUUCUCUUACUAUUAAAACAGGAGACAAAGAAGAA
rnacentral:lncRNA from 1 species